rnacentral:lncRNA from 1 species
CACCUCCUCCCCCAGUUUACCUGUCUCCACCUCCACCCUAUCAUCACUACUACGGUUCUCCUUCUCCUCACCACUACUAAGCAAGUGCAUAAGUUUUGAGGUAAUAAUACCUAUCCAAAACUUUAUCAACACAAACUGCCAUGUAUAUCAUGCUAAGGACGUACACUUGAUCCAUGAAAAUGACUAGUAGAAGAUUUUUUUUAAGAACCAAAGAAAUACAUUAUUUUUUCGGUCUGUUUUCAAGAAUUUGAGCAGUAUACAGAUUAAAGAGUGUUUUUUUUUUUGUAAACUUGCUUGUCAACUUAAAAAUGCACAUAGCUGAAAGCCAACUGAAUAUUUGCAGGCAAAGGAGAAGGCAAUCGGUGUUUGAGACCUUCAAGAAGAUGUAGAAGAAUAAGAAUAAAAGCCCAAUGCGAGGAUGAUUCCAAGUUUCUACGUUACCAUUUCUACAUCUAAAUUGACUUUAGCUCCUGAGUUCCAUGUUUAUGGGGUUUGUACCGUUUUACGUACCAUGCAGUACAUGCUUGCAAGGUUUUCUGUCCUGUUGGCAAACUGCAGGUCCAUAUAAUAAAUGAAUACUAUUUACAUUACGACACUUUUCUCUUUUUCUCUUAUAUUUUGUCUUUAAUAUUGUUGAUCAUUUUUUUUUUAUCAAAAGCAUCAAAUGCUUAGGUAAUUUGGUCUAAUGCUAAUUGUUUUACUUUUAUUUUUCACCUACACCCCUUUUCAACUCAAAGGAUGCUAUAGUUUGUGAUAAUUGUUUAAGACCGAAGCAUGAUACUAAUAAAUAUCUCAUUGAAAGUCAAGGAAACUAACAUUAGGAAAAGUUUAAAUCUUGAUUUGAUGAAACUAUUUAUUCGUGGAAUUUAGAGAUACAAAACUCAAAUUGUGACGGUGUUGUUGCUAAAUUAUUAAGGACAUUAUCACCAUUAUUUUUCCCUGAUCACUAGUUUCAACUGCAAUGAUCUCAAUCUUUUUGUGACUAAUUCUUUCCUUAAUAAUUUAUAAAGACAAAACUCACAAAGAAUAUGUGACUAAUUCUUUCCUUUCGUCUUCUAAAGAAAAUGCCAACUGUUAGUUUAUCAAGGGGAAAAAGGAUCGACAUCAGUUAUUAUUGAAACUAGUAAGGAAUAAAUAAUGGUGAUAAUGUCCUUAAUAAUUUAACAACAGCACCAUCAGAAUUUGACUUUGAGCUUCGGUCUUAAACAAUGAUCACAAACUACAGCAUCCUUUGAGUUGAAAAAGGAAGUAGGUGAAAAGAAAAGUAAAAAAUACAAUUAGCAUUCCCUCAAAUUGUAGAAAGUUAGGUAGCAUUAUAGACAAGUUGAUAGCGGCAAUUUUACAUUUCAAACUUCACCUAUUCAAUAACUAAUUCGAUGGCUUGCUACAUGGUCAAUCUUUGGACCCCUUCCUGCCUCCAGAUAUCCCUUUCCUCAAUCAGGGGCUUCUACAAUUACCAGUUUCAAUUGUAUGGUAUAGUGUAAAUAUCAACAAAUUAGAUGUAGAUGCUAACAUAAUAAAUGUGAAUGCUAAGACAGCAACAUACAAUCGAACCUGCAAUUGUAUGAACCCCAAUCUCGCUUCCUAGUCCACCAUCUUUCUCUAGGUAAUAAUCUCCCUUCUAAUUUAUUCACAAAAUGCACCUUUCAUCACCUCCAAUAGCGUCGACAUGAUCUUUACCCUAGAAGACUAUUCACCGACUCUCAAUUGACGUCAGAAAAUCUAAGAGUAAUUCUACUUUACCCUAAGAUUGAUAUCAACAAGACAAGGACAAUUUAGAAUUAUUACACGCCUCUUCUUAAUAGGAAAAAGAAAUAGAGAAGAAAGUCAGGCCAGGUCUAAUUUCUUUUCAAAGGCAAUACAACAUUACGAAAUCAAGCAUUCAUUCAUACAAAUAUUUCAUAGUCACCGGUUUGCUGAGUAGAAAAAUUUAGACAAAAACUUAAUAUUAUAUUGUUUAAGAGUUAACAAUUUAGAGCUUAAUCUCCUUGUACUUUGGAGUUAACAAUUUAGAGCUUAAUCUCCUUGUACUUUGGACUAAACUUGAACGUGAAAGGAAAUCCCAAAACCAUAUUGGGCAUGAAUUCACACUUAAUAUACCCAAUAAAAGAUGGCGACUGGUGAAAGGCAGUGGAGACUGGUGGAGAGAUUUGAGGAAUAGAAGCAGACGGAAAAGCAACAAAUUUUUGCCGAAAAACGGUCACUUUCAUGGUUAAUUUUGCUACUCUCCAAUUGUACUUGACCAAUUACAACAAUUUCAUGGAGUUUGAUACGUGAAAAGAAUUUUUUAUAAAUUUUAUUUUGAUCCAUAAUGUUAUCUUUACAUAUAUAAAACAUUUUACAAUUUUGAUUUUGGCGCAGCUAACUUUUGGUUAACAAAAAUGCUCAUGUUUAAAAAACCAGAAAUAAAACAAAACAAGAAACAAAAGAAAUAAGAGGGUAGCAUAGACAUUUUGGAUUUUUCCGUUAAUUUGGAUGAUUUCCACCCACGUUCUAAUUUAAUCCAAAACACAAAGGAAUUACGUAGAGGUUUUAAAUAAUCAGGGAGCUUCAUGAUCGAACCCCAAACCACGUGAUAGCAUACAAGAGUUCUAUUUCACUAUCGGUAGACAAAGACUUUCUAUGGUUGAUGUACCGUAGGAAAAAAUCUGCCUAUACAACGUGAUAGCAUUUUUUCAAAAACACAAGAUGGAAAAUUGCCCCCUUAAACGUGGAAAUUCAUGAUCUUUCCUCGAACAAAGAAUACUCACGCCUAUUCAAGAUGGAAAAUUGCCCCCUUAAACGUCUAUUUGUCAAUUCUUGAAAAAAGAAUACUCACGCCUAAAACACGGCCUCUUCAUCUGCAGAAUUCUAAAAAGUUACGUAAACUCUAUAAACAAGUUGAUAGGUACAAUCGUACCCAAGAUCAAGUACAGAUAGUUGUACAUUCACUGCUGCAAUAACUAAUCUGAUGACUUACAAACAUAUCAUGGUCAAUCGUUGAAUGGUAAUGAGUCUUUUGUUAUGCAUUAGUAUUAGUGUGUACACUCUAAUAGAUUGAUACUUAUACUCUUUAAAUUAUCAUAAUAAUACCCUUAAUUAACUUUAACUCUUAAAAAGAAUACGUGUUAAUACACGAGAGUGUGUAACCUGAAUUGUUACUUAUACAUUAGUGUGUAAUAGAUAGGGAUGGCAGUGAGGGCGAGUGCCCGCGGGGGGCUCUCGGGGCGGGGGCGGGGGAGAAUUUUUUCCCCCCGUUUAGAAACGGGGCAGGGGACGGGGGAGUAUACCCCCGCCCCAUCCCCCGCCCCGCCACCCGCAAAAAAAAUUAUAUAUAUAUAAUUAUAUAUAAUAUGUAAUUUAAUUAGUUAUAAACUUAUGAUAAUGAUAUUAUUAGUUAGAUGUAUUAUAUAAUGUAUAUUAGUGUAUGUAAUAUAAUUAAUAUUAUCAAUUAUACGAAUAAUUAGACAUGUCCACUAAUAGAGUUUAUUAAUUAGUUAUACUAAAUUUACUAAUACAUUUGUACUAAAUUUCUAAUUACACUUAAUAGAAUAACACUUUUUUCUAAAAAAAAAAGCACAAACACAAUAAUGAAUUAGUGAUUGUAUUUGUACCAAAAGUGAAAACUUAACUAUUUUAGUUGUAUUUAUUUCAUCAUGUUGGAUUGUAUUCAAAUAAUUUUUGUUUGAUUGUUUUUAUGAGUUUCAAUUGUAAAAUUAAAAUGAAUAAUAACUUGAUGAUGUGUUGAUAUUUUAGUACUUGAUUAUUUAUUGAUUUAACUAUAAUAAAAUUUUAUUUUAUUAAAAUUUAACUAUAAUAAAAUUUUAUUAACCAAACGAGUUAUUAAUCCCGCGGGGGCACCCACGGGGGAAGCGGGGCGGGGCGGGGGAGUGGGAGGCGGGGGACGGGGCGGGGGUGGGGGGAGUUGUAGGUAGCGGGGCGGGGGAUGGGGGAGGGGUCCCCCGCCCCAACCCCGCCAUCCCCCGCCCCGUUGCCAUCCCUAGUAAUAGACUGGCAAGCAUUGUGGUGGUCAUUGAGAACUUACUGGAGAAAUAGUCCUAUAAGCUGUUCAAUGAGCAAUCACAACUUGCUAAUUGGAUGACUAAUAUAGCUCUAGCUGUAAUGUUUUAAUUAAAUUACAUCACUAACGUUGGGAUGACUUUUUAACCAAAAAAAAAUGCCUUAGUUCAAGCUUUUCCCUUUAUUGUGCAUUUUUUAAAGCAUUUGAUAGGCACUGCAAAUCUGUCAUUUUGGACAUUUUAUUAUUGACUAACAAUGAAAGCCGUGACGUCUACCCAUAACCAACACAAGAUUAAAUUAAUAUUAGAAAAAAUAAUUGAGUAAUUGGAAAAAAAAAAAGAGACUCAUUUUCAUUGAAACCCACCGACAAACUAAACGUGUCCAUGGCUUUUGAAUAGUGCAUUCAACGUUUAAUUGUAUAGUCCAGUUCAUUGCAGAUUACAUGGAGUAAAGAUUGUGCUCUUUCCUUUUUCACCCCUUUUGGAAUCGAUACUGUGGAGAAUUGGGUUUUUCCCUUCUUUUUUUCUUUUCUUUCCUUCUGUGCUUUGCAAAACAUAGGUAAAAAUAUGAAAUCCGAAGCAUUCUUUAAUUGGGAUUAAGUAUUGUUGUUGAAAUUAAAAAGAAAAAAGAAAGAACAACAAAAUUCCCAAUCUGGGUUGAUUGUUGAGCUCUAGAUUGGUUGCAUCGUGCUUCCAUAGAAGCUCUCUUAGUGUGAUACACUGCUUUCAAUCAGUUUAACACGGGAAAAAAAAAAAAAGAGAUGAAAAGCAAAUUUGGUGGGGAUAAUUUCAGAAACCUCCCCUGAAGAUUUUGACUAUUCUACUGGUCUCCCUUCAGAUUUUAAAAAUUACACUAAUCUUCCUUGAAGUUAAUUAUCUUGUAACAUUUAAAUUCAAUCAAUAAUUUAAAAAAUGAUAUUAUGAGAGAGAAAAUAAUGAUUUUAUCAUUGCCCCCCAUCUUACUACAUUAUUUAAUUAAUUUAAUAGCAACCCACACAUUAAAGAAAAAUAUUAAAAUUUGUUGUUUAUCAUUAAAGAUCAAAUCGCUUAUAACAUCAAAUAAUAGUAUAUUAUUUAUAUUUUUCACUCAAUAUAAUAUCCAAAUUACUCUUUUCAAUUACAUACCCAUUGUUAGACAAUCAACAACAAAUAACCAAAAAAUUUGCAACCAAAAUAUUACAAAAAAAUAAACUUUAACAUAUAAAUAUUCUUAUCAACAUAUUAAAGUUAGUUACUGAAAUUUUUAUGCUGUUAAACUUCACUCUUUUUGGUUACAGAUUUUUUUGAUUAUUUGUUAUUAAUUAUGUUUGAUGAUGGAUUUAUAAUUGAAAAGAACAAUUUGAAACUUACAUUAAGUAAAAUAUAUAGAGUGAUAUACUAUUUUUUAUAACAUAUGUGAUUCAAUCCUUCUUGAUAGGAUUGGUAAUAGAGGUAGAGGGGGGAGCCGGCUGCAUCCGGUCUACUUUUCAUAGAUAGUACAAUAUUGCGAAAUCGAUCGCAUUCACGCAAUAUUAUUUCCAAGUCAUUGCAUGGCUAAGCUGCAAAAAAAGUACGAACACAUGUUAUUAUAUAGCUUACGAUUCAAAACUUUAGAGCAUAACCCUCCACCUAACACAAUUGAAUAAUGAACAUUCACGUUUGUCAAAUCUGUCAAAGCACAGUUUGAGGACAACCCAUUCCAACCUGCAAAAGAUUUUUUACUUUUCUAAAGUUGUUGAGAGCUGUAAAAAGACUUACCAUGCUUGCAUCCUCCGAGCCUUGGGAGUUAAAAAUGAAGGCACUGAGUGCUAUAAAAAGGGGAAUAGAGGCUGCCUAGAAGCAUAUCAGCCUAAAACAAGAAUUUGUAGUUAAGAUGGGAAGCAAAGCAAAAGCAAUGGGGUCUGGGCUGACUCCUCUUCUUGCCACUGUUUUAGUGGUGUUUGUUGCUCUUGGCUUGCCCUCACAAACUGCAGCUGAUGAUCACUACAAGUAUUCAUCUCCUCCUCCUCCUUACCACUAUCCCUCACCACCACCACCAGUGCAUAUACCUCCACCUCAUCCUGUUUACAAGUACAAAUCUCCACCACACCCCCAGUACAAGUAUAAGUCACCACCACCACCUCCUCAUCCGGUAUACAGUCUCCUCCGCCACCACACACCCAGUUUACAAGUACAAGUCACCACCACCACCUCCUCAUCCGGUACCACACCCAGUUUACAAGUAUAAGUCUCCUCCGCCACCAGUUUACAAAUACAAGUCUCCUCCACCACCACCUCCAGUGUACAAAUACAAGUCUCCACCACCACCAGUUUACCACUACAAGUCUCCACCACAGUUUACAAAUACAAGUCUCCACCACCACCCCCAGUUUACAAAUACAAGUCUCCACCACCACCAGUUUACCACUACAAGUCACCACCACCUCCUCCCCCAGUUUACAAAUACAAGUCUCCACCACCUCCUCACCACUACUAAGCAAUUGCUUCUGAGGUAAUAACACUUGUUCAAUAUACCCACUUCUGCAUGAUAAAGCAUAUCUCUAUCAACACAAACUGUCAUGUCUAUCAUGCUAAGUGCCUUCACUUCAUCCACCAAAAUGACUGCUAGAAAAUUUUUUUUAUGUUACCAAAGAAAGGCAUCAUUUUUUCCCUCUGUUAUCAAGAACUUGUACAGUAUAUAGAUUAAAGAGUAUUUUUUUAACUAGCUUAUCAACUGAGAAAUGCAUAUAGCUGAUAGCCAGCUGAAUAUUUGCAGGCAAAGGAGAAGGAAACCAGUGUUUGAGACCUUCUUGAAGAUGUAGAAGCAUAAGAAUUAAAGCCCAAUGUGAAGAUGAUGAUUUCAAGUUUUUCUACGUUACCAUUUCUUUAUCUAAAUUGGUUGUAGCGCCUUAGUUCCUUUGUUUAUGGGAUUUGUAUCGUUUUACGUACCAUGCAGUACAUGUCAUGUUUGUAAGGUUUUCUAUCCUGCCGGCAAACCGCAGGUUCCAUGUAAUAAAUCAAUACUAUUUAUAUUACGACACUUUUCUCUGUUUCUCUUAUAUUUUGUCGUCUUUAAUAUUCUUAAUCAUAUUUUUAACAAAAAUAUUCAAACACUUAGGCAAUCUGGUCUAAUGCUAAUUGUAUGUUUUACUUUUCUUUUUCACCUGCUCCCCUUUUCAACUCAAAAGGAUGCAAUAGUUUGUGAUCACUGUUUAAGACGGAAGCAUGAUACUAAUGAAUAUCUCAUUGAAACUCAAGGAAACUAACAUUGCGAAAAGUGUAAAUCUUGAUUUGAUGCAACUAUUUAUUCGUGGAAUCUAUAGUUACAAAACUCAAAUUCUGACUGCGCCAUUGAUAAAUUAUUAAUGACGCUAUCAUCAUUAUUUAUCCCUAACUAGUUUCGACUACAACUGAACCCAAUAUUUUCCCCAUGAUAAAAGUUUUUGACUAUUUUACUGGCCUCUCUUCAAAUUUUAAAAAUUACACUAAUCUUCAUUGAGAUUAAUUAUCUUGUAACAUUUAAGUCCAAUUAAUAAUUAAAAAAUGAUAUUAUGAGAGAGAAAAUAAUAUAAUUUUAUCAUUGCCCCCCAUCUUGCUAUAUUAUUUAAUUAAUUUAAUAGCAACCCACACAUUAAAGAAAAAUACUAAAAUUUGCUGCUUUUCAUUAAAGAUCAAAUUGCAUAUGCCAUAAAACAUAGUAUAUCAUUCUAUAUGUUUCACUUAAUGUAAGAUCCCAAUUGUUCUUUUCAAUUACAAACCCAUUGUCAAUAACAAAUAACCAAAAAAUUUGCAACCAAAAUAUUACAAAAAAAAACUUCAACAUCAUAAAUAUUCUUACCACCUCUAGUGCAUUCACCCUCAUAAAAUAAUUCAAGACCCUACUGUCAUAAAAUGACUGAUCAACUCCCGUAAACCUAAUUUGACAACAUUUAAAUGGAGAACUUUAGCUAAAAGAAUUAUGGUCAAGCUAAAGAAAAAACCAGUUAUUUUCCAACAUAUGCAAUCAUUGAUCAGGGAAAAAAAAAAGAGCAAAAAGACAUCUUCAAUCAUUUAAUAGCUUACAGGGCAAAUUAACCCCUAAGCGAAAACUGGUUGCUCUAGAAUCAAAAUUUUACUUUAGUUACCCAGGCAACUUUUUUGUUGCUUUUUUUUUUUUUUUCCUUUAGUUUUGCCCCCUCUGUCAAGCUUAUAAAAUUAUUAAGAUAAUAAAAGUGCCUUGAAUAGUAUUAAUAUAUCCAUUGACUUGAGCUGUCGUCAGUUUGCGAUUCCAUGAGGCCUUUUCAAAGUACUCAGAAAAUGGGGAGUCAUGAAAUCCAUUUGUUCUAUUCAUUGCUAAGAUGCUUUUCUCUAUAAAGAGACUUCCUAACGAAAAUACUUUGUAGAUUUCUUUACUCCAAGUGGUGCAUGGAAAAUUAAUAUUUUCAAUUAUCAAAUAAAAUUCCCUUUUUUCGGCGUAGAUUUCAUCCAUCCAGCUGUUAACACAUUCUAUAAAUCCGAAUUGACUAAUCUUUUCGUUUCCAUUUUCCAACUUGCGAAUACGGCAUAUAGUGUCUGCUAAACACUAUAUAUUCUCUGCCAAAUAUGAAUACAUAUCACUUUUCUGAGCAAGUGCAGAGUCAUUAUCAUUUUUAUUCCCACCUAACAAAUUAGGGAUAAAAAAGUUAAUAAUCUUUACAUGCUAUCAGGUCACAAGUUAAUAAUCUUUUAAAGAACAUGUUAAAUUAAUUUAUUGGUAUGAAUAGUAGUCAAAGAAGUAUGUUAAAGUUAGUAAUCUUUAAAAUAAUAUGUUAAAAUCAUUCGUACAAAUUAGUCAGAGAAGUAGCAUAAACACCGCGAUGCAAUUAAUACUUUCAAUCUCAAGGUCUCUAUUAUGGAAAUUUGCAUCGGUCAAUAUACACUUGGCAUAAUAUAAUCUCCCAACUCAUUUCUUUACAAAUGCACCUUUAAUCACCACCAAAAGGUGUGGACAUGAUCUUUACCCUAGAAAACUAUUCACCGACAGGCAAAUUGACGUCAGAAAUACUGAGGAAUUCUAGUUUCCUUCGGGUUCAUGCCAUGUUGUAUCCUUCAACUGUAACUCGAUUUCUAAGCUGUAAUUUGUGACAUAAUAGUCCUUAAACUAUGAAACCCUUCUUACUUAAUUACAAUGGUUAAUACAAUGCCCGUGACUAGACAAGUAUGAAGCAACCAUAACAGAAAAAAAAUCCAAAAUUAGAGAAAAGAAAGAAGUUUCGCGACCACCACCAGUUUACAAGUCACCUCCACCACCUCCUCCAGUUUACAAGUCACCUCCACCACCUUACCAUUAUUCCUCACCACCACCUCCAGUGCAUUCACCCCCACCACCACCAGUUUACAAGUCUCCGCCACCACCUUACCAUUAUUCCUCACCACCACCUCCUGUGCAUGCACCUCCACCACCAAUUUACAAGUCACCUCCUCCAGUUUACAAGUCUCCACCACCACCUUACGAUUAUUCCUCACCACCACCUCCAGUGCAUUCACCCCCACCACCACCAAUUUAUAAGUCUCCCCCACCGCCUCCCCCAGUAUAUAAGUCACCACCACCACCUCCUCCAGUAUACAAAUCACCUCCACCACCUCCUCCAGUUGACAAAUCUCCACCACCACCAAUUUAUAAAUACAAGUCUCCUCCACUACCUCCUCCAGUGUACAAGUCAUCACCACCACCUGCUUACAAGUCUCCACCUCCUCCAGUUUACAGUUCCCCACCACCACCAAUCUACAAGUCUCCACCUCCACCCUACCAUUACUACUACAAUUCUCCUCCUCCUCCUCGUCACUACUAAGCAAUUGUAUCCAAGUUUUUGAGGUAAUAACGCUUAACCAAUAAAUUAACUUUCGCAUGAUAAACCUUAUCUCUAUCAAGACAAACUGCCAUGUGUAUCAUGCCAAAUACGUACACCUAGAUCCAUGAAAAUGAAUGGUGAGGAGGGCCAUUUAGGCUCGGAGCGCCCUAGGCCUAGUUCCCCACCAUUUCCUGAAGUGCCGCCUCGGGUAUUAUCCUGGAAGGCGAUCGCGGCCCAUUUACCACCUCGGCUACAAUGUCAGGUCGUAACACCGAGGUGGACAUUGAAUGACAACUACGAAAAGGGGAGAUGUGAUCUCUGACACCUGAGCAAAGGCUGCUCUGACCCGCCGCCUGAAUCUGACAGAAUGUCCCAUCACGUCUCUUCAUGGAGACCGGUCAAGUCCACCUGAUCCACUGACUAUCUCAGAUCUUUUGGGACCCGUGCAAACAUCUCCUCUCUCCUAUCAGUCCCCUAUAAAUACACGAUACUUCUACUGAAAAAGGAGAUGACCAAUUUCUGGUAAAACACACUCCACUCAUUAUUUACUUCUCUAUAUCCGAACUGACUUAAGCUUCGGAGUUAUACCGGGGGAUCCAGCCCCUUUCUUAUCCAAGCAGGUGACUUCGUCCAAGAGAGUUGCCCAAGGUAAAGAUAUUCUUCCAAUUGAGGUGACUCACUCCUGCGGGUCGAAAAUCACCUCUUCAAUUGGCGCCGUCUGUGGGAACCGCAAAGAUAUUAGAAGAUGAAGCCUGCGCGUUCUAGAAGCAGAAAAGCUCUCACUAUCGAGGCUGGGCAAAGCAAUGCAGCUCAACAAGAAAAUAUUUCUGAAGGGCAGGAGUCCCCAAGGACUCAGCCCGCAAACGAAAAAGCCAUAACCCGUAUGGCCGAGUUUGUGACCGAGAACCCCAACAUCUUUGAAGAGUUGGGAAGAUACCUGAAGAGGCAAGGCAAACAAAAGGCCGAGUCCUCUAAAAGGAUGUCAGAUGGGUCUCUUGAGGACUCAUCUGAGGAGGAGUCGGAUGGAAGGCACUUAAGCCGAAGUGCCUCAAAGCGAGCAUUUUCUAAGGCCACUUCUAAGGUAGCCUCCCUGACCAAGGCGUUUUCCCGAGGGCUCUUGGGCCGACGACCCGAGGAAGAACCUCGGCCCUUGGGAAUACCCGGGGUGGACUGCAUGAGGGCUCCACCGUUCACGGAUGAUAUAAACGAGGAAAGGCUUCCUCCCAAUUUUAAGCUCCCCGCAGUACAAUCUUACGAUGGCCGAGGUGAUCCCGAGAAUCACAUCCAUACCUUCAUCUCGGCCUUCCAAAUAUACUGCAUCCCAGACCCUGUCAUAUGUCGGGCCUUUCCAGUAUUCCUCAGAGGAACUGCUCGAAAAUGGUUCUGAGCUCUAGAACCUAGGAGCAUUUCGACCCUGGGUGAAUUAGUGGAGAAGUUUCUCCACCGAUUUGUCUCCUCCCGACCUACGACUAGGACCUCGGCUUACCUGCUCACCGUGCAGCAGAACCCGGGAGAGUCACUCCGGUCGUACGUCCGGAGGUUCCAUGAGGAAAGCGUUCAGAUACCUGACCCCAAUGAGCAGGUAACCCUCGCUGCCUUUACCCAUGGACUCGUUGCCGGGGAGUUCAAUACGGGGAUCCAUAAAAAAUACCCCCGCACACUGCAUGAAUUGUGGUUGAAGGUUGAAAAGGGCAUACAGGCCGAAGACCUCCAUCGCAUGAAGAAAGAGGUCCAAGCCACCCGUCCAAGGGCUGAGCCCAGAAAGGGAAAAGACGCUGGCCGAACUGAAGUAGGGUCGGGAAGUGGCUUCCGAAGUCCUGGCCGAGACCGCCGCAGCGUGUUCGACAGGAUAUCCAAGGGGAAGUCACCUAUUCCCGAGUCCGAGUUGACUCCUUUAAAUACUACCCGAUCUCACGUGUUGUCCGUGAUGGAACAAAACAACCUCGGCAAGGGCCCGCCGAGGAUGUUUGGAAGCAGAGACAAGAGGAACUCGAACCUCUACUGCUUGUAUCAUCGUGACAUUGGUCACGAAACUGAGGAUUGCAACGAUCUCAAGAAGGAGAUCGAGAACCUCAUUAGACGGGGACACUUGAAACAGUUCAUCCGCAGAGGUGGAGGUCACCAACGUGACGAAAACCGGCAUGACAAAUGAGGUGACCAACGCCGAGAUGAGCGGCGGAGCUCCAGAAGCAGUUGCCGACCUCCUGAGGAUCCCAGGGAGACGAAAAGGCCUCCCCCAGACGGAUCUUCGGGACAUGGGCCAACCAUUGCCCGGGUCAUUAACACCAUUGCCGGAGGUCCGACGGGAGGGGACAGUCAGAACUCCCGGAAGAGAACCUAUAAGCAGGCUAACCCGGAUCAGGCCGAGUCGAGUUCUCGCCUGUCCGAGGUGAUCACCUACGGGCUCAGUGAUCCCAUCCCAGCUGCAUCCAGCAGUCAUGAAACCUUGGUGAUUGAAGUCCUCACCAAUAACUACAUUGUGAAAAGGUCUACAUAGACCCGGGAAGUUCAGUUGACGUCAUGUACCUCCGUACCUUUGAGAGCCUUAAAAUGGCUAAGGGGUGCAUGACCCCGCUGAGAACCCCUCUUGUAGGGUUCGGGGGACACGUGGUGCACCCCGAAGGGAUGGUGACUCUGACAGUGACCAUAGGGCAUCACUCUCGCUGUAGAACCGUCCCUGUCAAUUUUGUGGUGGUUAAGGCUGACUCCCCAUACAACCUACUUUUAGGUCGGCCUACGCUCAAUGCCUUGCGGGCGGUCUACUCCACCUACCACCUGAGCUUCAAGUUUCCUACCCCAGCAGGGGUGGCCGAGGUCAGCAGCGACGUCUGUGCUGUCCGGGAGUGCUACCUCGCCACCCUACAAGCAGCCUCCCCGUCUACCUCCGGUGCGAGGUCCGAGAAGAGGUCAAAUAUCCUCUCAAUAGAUAGCAUCGAUCCUCAGUGAGCUGAGAAGGUCCCGAGGCUGGAGACUGGGGAUGAGGUGGAAGAGAUUCCCCUGGACCCCACGAAACCUGAUCAGACAGUUCGCGUUGGUACCCGAUUGCCCGGUCCUAUCCGAAGAGGUAUGAUGGACCUCCUCAGGGAAUACCGGGACGUCUUUGCUUGGGCCGCCGAAGAGGUCCAAGGAGUCCCGCACCAUCUCAUGAUGCAUGACUGAACGUCGACCCCCAAGUCCGUCCGGUCAAACAGAAGAGAAGGCACAUCGGCCCUGAGCGCAGCCAAGCUGUUGGUGAGGAAGUGGACAAGCUUUUACCCGCUAAAAUAAUCCGAAAAGUCCAAUACCCGAUCUGGUUGUCUAACUCGGUCAUGGUCAAGAAGGAUACGGGGGCUUGGAGAAUGUGCGUCGAUUUUACCGACCUCAACAAAGCCUGCUCCAAGGAUUGCUACCCCUUGCCCAAAGUCGAUACUUUGGUAGACUCAGCAAUGGGCUACGAGAUCCUCUGUUUCUGGGAUGCAUUCAAAGGCUAUCACCAAAUUGGGAUGAGUCAAGAAAACCAGGAGAAAACGGCCUUCUACACCGACCGCGGCACGUACUGUUAUACUACCAUGCCAUUCGGGUUGAAGAAUGCCGGAGCCACUUAUCAACGCUUGGUCAACCAAGCAUUCAAGUCUCAAAUCGGCCGGAAUGUUGAGGCCUAUGUAGAUGACAUCCUCCUCAAAAGCCAGACGAACUCCACCUUCCUGGCCGACUUGAAGGAGGUCCUUGACAUCCUGCGGAAGGUGAAAAUGAUGCUGAACCCCAAGAAAUGUGUUUUUGGGGUCACCUCGGGGAAAUUUCUAGGUUACCUCGUCUCAAGGCGAGGUAUCGAAGCAAAUCCGGAUAAGGUGCGAGCCAUCCAGGAGAUGUCUCCACCCCGGUGCGUCCGCGAUGUCCAAAGGCUGACAGGGCGAUUAGCCGCCCUGAAUCGGUUCUUAUCGCAGUCGGCAGCUAAAGCACUGCCCUUUUUCAAAGUGUUGAAGAAAGCUGACCAUUUCUCCUGGACGGAAGAGUGUCAACAGGCGUUUGAGCAGUUGAAGGAUUACCUUCACUACCUUCCAACGCUCACCUCACCUCGUCCGGGGGACAAAUUAAUCUUAUACCUUUCUGCUGCGGCCGAAGCGGUGAGUGCCGUGCUGAUAAGGAAGGAAGGGGUCCAAAUGCCCGUCUACUACGUUAGCCGAGUCCUCCGAGGUCCAGAGACCAGGUACACACAAGCAGAGAAACUUGUGCUAGCCCUGAUCCACGCCGCCCGCAGACUCAAGCCCUACUUCCUAGCUCACCACGUCUGCUUGAGGACUGAUCAACCACUUCGGCAGAUUUUGACACGACCAGAGGUUUCGGGACGUCUUACCAAAUGGGCCAUUGAGCUGGGGGAGUACGACCUAACUUAUGAGCCUCGCACAGCGAUCAAGGCCCAGGCUCUCGCAGACUUCGUAGCCGAGCUCACCUUUGACGAGGUGCAAGGAUCCGUCCCGGCUGCCACAUCGGCCACAGUUGAUGUGGCCACCACUGGGCUCCAGCGGUGGAUCCUACACGUGGACGGUUCGUCAACAGUGAGGGUAGUGGAGCAGGCUUGCUCCUCGAAGACCCCCAAGGAGAAAUAUGCUAAUAUGCCUUAAGAUUUGACUUCGCUGCUUCAAACAAUGAAGCUGAAUACGAAGCCGUCAUUGCUGGACUGCAGCUAGCUCGCAAGCUCGGGGCCGCACACAUCUUGGUUUAUAGUGAUUCCCAACUCGUCGUGUGCCAGAUAUUAGGUGAGUACGAAGCCAGGGACGAGGUGAUGCAUCGUUACCUCUCCAAGGUCCUCCAGUUGGCGACUCACUUCGAGUCUUUUGAAAUUCAAAGAAUACCGCUAUCGAAAAACAGAAGGGCUGACGCCCUCUCCCGGCUUGCCUCAACCUCUUUCUCUGACCUGAACAAGACGGUUCUCGUUGAAGUUCUAGCCGAACCAGGAUAUGUAGCCGAGGUAGUAUACCCCGUCUACCCUGGGGACACCUGGAUGGGUCCCCUGACUCGAUUUUUCAGCCAGGGUGAGCUCCCCGAAGACCGAGCUGAGUCACGGAAGCUCCAACGAAAAGCAGCACGGUACAUUCUCCGACAAGGCCUUUUAUACAAAAGGUCUUACCUCGGCCCUUAGUUGCGAUGUAUCACGCCCGAGGAAGGCCAGAGAAUCCUCCAAGACAUACAUGAGGGGCUCUGUGGUGCUCACGUCGGCUACAGAAUGCUGGUAAAAAAGGCUUUGUUACUUGGGUAUUUUUGGCCCACUAUGAGGAUAGAUGCCCAGGUCAUGGUCCUUUGCUGCCCCUCCUGCCAGCAUCACGCUCCUGAGCACCACCAGCCGACCAAUUUAAUGAUCCCUAUCACCUCGUCAUGGCCAUUUGAGCAAUGGGGAACGGACAUAAUUGGCCCCUUUCCCAGAGCUCCAGGCAAUUAUACCUACGUGGUGGUAGCAGUGGACUACUUCACCAAAUGGGUCGAAGCUGAACCCCUAAAAAAUAUCACUGGUGCGGCAGUCCAGAAAUUCUUCUGGAAGAAUGUGGUUUGCCGCUUCGGCCUACCCCGGGUGAUCAUCUCGGAUAAUGGCCGACAGUUCGCCGAUAAUCCUUUCAAGGCCUGGUGUGAGAACCUCGGGGUCAAACAGCAUUUCACUUCGGUGGGACACCCCCAAGCCAACGGACAAGCCGAAAACUUCAAUCGCACGCUCCUCCAUGGCCUCAAGACCAGGCUCCACCAGGCUGGAUCGUUUUGGAUGGAAGAGCUCCCCAGUGUGCUGUGGUCCUACCGAACUACGCCGAGAUCAGCAACCCAGGAAACCCCGUUUUCCUUAACCUACGGGUCAGAAGCUGUUGUUCCAGCCGAAUUCAUCACCCCGAGUCCACGAAUGGCCGCAUAUGCUGCCGAAGUCAAUGAAGAAGAACGGCGAGUUGACCUCGACCUCGUCGAAGAGAAGCGUGAUAUGGCCGCGGCCAAAGUUGCUGUUUACAAAAAUAUCGUAGCUGGCUACUACAACGCUCGGGUUAAACAUUUGCGGUUCAGUCCGGGAGACCUGGUGCUCAGGAAGAACUCAGUCAGCCGGGCUGAACCUCAGGGUAAACUAACCCCCAAGUGGGAGGGACCAUACCGUGUUGUUGAGUCCAGCCAAAAUGGAUAUUGUAAAUUGGCAUACCGAGAUGGGUCUCUGAGUGCCCCGAACUUGGCAUGCUGAAAAUCUUAAGUUGUACUACCCUUGAGGGUAUGUGCUUUUAAUCUUGAGUUAUUUCACACUUAUUUUCAUUUCAUUAUAAGUGAAAAAUAAGGGGACAAAGUAGCAGUAAAGAGGAAAACCGAAUUUAAUUAAAAAGAAAGCAAGAAUAUGAACUCAAUUCCAUUGAAUUACAUAAAAGUAGAAAGCCGAGGUCACCUUUAAUUAGGAAGAAAGCAAGAAUAUAAACUCAAUUCCAUUGAAUUACAUAAAAGUAGAAAGCCGAGGUCACCUUUGACCUCGGCCUACAAUGACAAAAAAAAAAACAAGUGCCUCUAGGCACUCCCUACCCUGACAUCCUGGCCCCCCGUGGUCGCGCCACCCGUUUCGGCACCCUGUCCACCCUCAGCUCCUCCACCGGCCUGGUCGUCUUCAGUACCAUCUAGUUCAAACUCCUGGAGCCAUUUGUUGAAUUCGGCUCGGACUUCGGUUAGGUCUUUCUCAGUCCGGAUGCCCUCAGCCAUGCUGUCGCAUAGCUCCUUGGCAUCCUCGUUAUAGUGCGAAGUGCUCUGAAGGGACUCCAGUUGUUCAGAGGGAAGAAAGGAUGCCGCGUCAUUAAUAGCCGACGUGUACCCGAACAUGAAGCUUGGCCGGGUGAGCUCGCCGAGGUCACGGAUGAAGGACUCUGACGUCCGGAAGGCUUCCACAGCAGUGACCCCGGCCUUGUCCAUGGCCUCCCUGUUUGACUGUUCUUCUUGGGCCCUCCUUUUUUUCUCCUCAUCAAGAGCAGUCACCAGGGAAUUGUUCGCGACCUCGGCCCUUUUGUUAGCCGCCUUGGCCUUGUCACGCUCCAACUCGGUUGCCUUCAGUUUUUCUUCCAACUCGGCAAUUCUCUUCUGGAGCUCGGCAGGAGGCUCAUAGUUUUCCAUGAACUUUCCAUACCGUUGAAUCAUCUCGACAAAAAAAGCCGUGGUAGAGGCCCAUGACACCGAGGCGCUCUGCAUCAACUCCCCUGCGGAGAGCUUCCUAGCAUAAGUGCUAUCUCGUGGCAGCACUGAAUGCACCAAGAGCUCCUGAGCGACCAAAGGGUUCUUGCAGCGAUCGUUGAAAUUAAUCUCCCACUCUGGACACCAGUGUGAUCCGGGGUGUCUCUUGUCCUCCUCAGCUGCCUUGAAAGGCACAUGAUGGAGUUUGAACAAAGAUGACCCCGUGACGGGGUUCUCCGGAAAUAUGGUCACACCCUGACCCCGGGGGGGAGUGGCAAUCGUGACCCAGCGAGAAGGGAUUCCCACCGGAAUUGCCGAGGCUCGGGAACCUCCCGGAGUGGCCGAGGUGUGCGAGCCCUCGCCCACGAUCACCACGGCAGGCUCGCGGUCGCCCGACGCCGCGGUGGUUUUCUUAGCCGGCCUGGAAGAGGACCCUGCAGUGUCCUUGCGCUUUUUGGGAGCUCUUUUGACCACCUCGACAUCUCCCGAGGUUAUCAGGUCGAAAAUCUUCGUCACUGCAAAGUAGGAGACGAAGUCAGUUAGAAUUCAAGAGGGAUAAACUAAAAGGGAAGAAAUGGAAAAAUACAAAGUCUGUGAAGCCUAGUCGAGAGUAAGACAGGCUGGUCAGAGCUCGUCAAGGCUCAACUGAUCCCGCCUUCCACGAGCACCACUUCGGGAAAAUCCCAGCAGUUUAUCCUGAGGCCCGACCCCGUUAACUUCUGGAAGUUACGCUCUUCUAACUUCCCUGGAGAUAUCUCCUUGAUCGAGGUGGGAGGCCUCCACCAGAAUCCGCGAGGGAAGUCAUCGGCCGAGACGAAGAAGAAGUUUUGCUUCCACUCCUUUAUUGAGUUCGGAGCAUCAACCACCAACUUCGGAACUUUGUUUCCGAAGUAGAACCAUCCUUUUUCACUUCUGCUGUUCUUGAGUGAGUAACAGCGGCGAAAGAGGUUGACCUAAGGUUGUAUCUCCUGAUGUCGGCAAAGUAGCUGGAAGCCAACGAGAAUGCGAAUAGCGUUAGGGGUGAGUUGAGUGAUUCUCACCCCCCAGUACCUCAGGCAGUCCCGAAGAAACCUCGUCGUGGGCACUCUGAGUCCGGCCUCCAGCUGUUCCUGAUAGAUAGUCACCUUGCCCUUUGGUGGCAGUGCGGCUGACUGAUGCGGUUGGGGUAUGUAAAUACUAUAAUCCCUUCUCCAGGGAUACCUGCGGACCACCUCGGCUAUUGAGGCUUGUCCCAUACCACUACUGAAGAACGGCAUCUGGCCGUAGUCGAGAGUUGCCACGUUUGGAGGAGUGGAAGGUUCUUGUACUCCCUCGUCUCUAGGGAUCUCAAUCCCGAGGUCAUCGUUGUAUAGGACCUCGGGCUGGACCUCGAUCUCCUCGGGCUGCACCUCAACCGCCUCAGCUCGGCGUGAUGCCUCGGCACCUCCACCCUCAGCUUGGUGAGAUGCCUCAGCACCUCCGCCCUCGGACGCGGUCCUUUCCUGGGAGGGGUCAGGCCUCUCUGCCUCAGUGAGGUCAGGUCUCACUGUCUCUUUGUGCGUACGAGCUGUUCUAGCCAUUGUAUCAGAAGGGGAAGAAGUGAACUUACUUAGAAUCUGCGACUGGAAGAAGAUGCCGAAGUAGACGUGGUUUAGAAAGGUUGCCGAAGUGAAAAGAGAAAGAAACAGAGUUCUGGGGUGAUUCUUGAUUUUUGGUGAAGAGUAAAACGGUGAAAAAAGACCACUAUUUAUAGGCCACCAGGGUGAAACCCAAGAGACGGCACCCUCUCUCUUCAUUAAUGGGAGGACUGUUCGUCUGCCAACACAGCUGACAGCCGUCCCUUCAGUUAUCACUCAGUCCCAUCUAUGCGGUCAUGACGUGUCCGUGUUCCGUGUUUUAUACGCUUCUCAGCUUCGGGAAGUAACGACCACGGCGGAUGCCCAUCUCGCCCUUCUCAAAGCUUGGGGGGCUUAGUGAGGAGGGCCAUUUAGGCUCGGAGCGCCCGAGGCCUAGUUCCCCAUCAUUUCCUGAAGUGCCGCCUCGGGUAUUAUCCUGGAAGGCGAUCGCGGCCCAUUUACCACCUCGGCUACAAUGUCAAGUCGUAACACCGAGGUGGACAUUGAAUGACAACUACGAAAAGGGGAGAUGUGAUCUCUGACACCUGAGCAAAGGCUGCUCUGACCCGCCGCCUGAAUCUGACAGAAUGUCCCAUCACGUCUCUUCAUGGAGACCGGUCAAGUCCACCUGAUCCACUGACUAUCUCAGAUCUUUUGGGACCCGUGCAAACAUCUCCUCUCUCCUAUCGGUCCCCUAUAAAUACACAAUAUUUCUACUGAAAAAGGGGAUGACCAAUUUCUGGUAAAACACACUCCACUCAUUACUUACUUCUCUAUAUCCGAACUGACUUAAGUUUCGGAGUUAUACCGGGGGAUCCAGCCCCUUUUCUUAUUCAAGCAGGUGACUUCGUCCAAGAGAGUUGCCCAAGGUAAAGAUAUUCUUCGAAUUGAGGUGACUCACUCCUGCGGGUCGAAAAUCACCUCUUCAAAUGGUAGAAAGUUUUCUUAAGAACCAAGAACAGCAUUAGUAUUCCCUCUGCUUCCAAAAACUUGUGUAUUAAAUAGAUUAAUGAAUUGUUUAACAUGCUCAUCUACUUGAAAAUGCACAAUACCCAUAACCCACUGAAAUUUUUGCAGGAAAAGGGAAAGAGAAUCUGUGUUUGAGAGCUUCAUGAAGAUGUUGAAGAAUAAGAAUAAAAGCCCAAUGCGAGGAUGUUUUCAAGUUUUUCUAUGUCCACUUUAAUUUGUAAAUUGAAUUUUACAACUCAAUUAAUUCCUUGUUUGUGAGGUACGUAUUGUUUUACGUACCAUGCCGUACAUGUUUGUAAGGAUUUCUAUCCUAUUGGCAAAAGUCGGUUCCAUACAAUUAAUCAAUUCAUUUCACUUCUAUUGGCUCUACUAUUUAUGCAUGUUACGACACUCUUUCCCUUAUAUUUUGCCUUUAAUAUUAUGAGUCAAUAGUAAUAAUGGGCCUUUUUCUUAAAAUUAUACUAUUAUACAUAGGUAGUUUGGUCUAACGCUAAAUUCAUGUUUGUCUUUCUUUUAUUCCCUUUACAUCUCAAAGUAUACUAUAGUUUGUAAUCAUUGUGGUGAUGAUAUUACCAGCUGGUACUUAUAGUUUAAGGCAGAGACAUGAUAUUAACAACUAUCUCAUUGAAACAUAAGUCAAAAUCAUGACAAGUGUGAGUCUUGGUUAAUGCACAAUUUGUUAGUGGAAUUUAUAUUUAUAAAACUCAAAAAAAAUUUUUGACAAUGCUAUUACUAAUUAAUUAAGGACUUCAUUGCUAUAAUUUAUCGCUUACUAGUUUAAACUAUAAAUGAUCUCAAUACUUUUCUCCAUGAUGUCGAUUUCUUUAGACUACGAAAGGGAAAAAUUAGUGACAUAUCCCUUACUGAUUACAACAUCAGCAAAAAUUAGUUAUAAACUUUUCCGGUGGUUUUAAAUCCCUCGGGCACUAAGGUUUUUUGCACAUCGAGUGAAUUAAGGAACAUAGGCAAUUCGUUCUGCAUACCAAGUCCUUGUUUAAGAUGCACGUACUAAAAUGCAUCCACUUCAUUAAUUUGGAAAAUUGCCAUAGUUUUUUUUAAGCAUUUUGAUUUUUUACAUGAUUCAAAAUUUUCUUAUUGGAUACAAUCACUUUGUGUCAAGAACACAUUUUCAAUCAUCUUUUUUAUCUUCUCAAUAAGAAAAUAAAAAUUUAUUCAUGCUUUUCUAACAUAUCCAAUCAUUGAUCUGAAAAAUAAAGAAUUAAAAAAAAAAGACAUUUUCAAUCAUUGCUUACAGGGCAACUUCCCCAUGUGAACCUCUUCAAACAAAGCCAAUAAUAUGAAGGAACAUCUAAAUACACUUUUGCCCUAAAGGCUGGUUGCCUUGGGGUCAAAAUUUAACCUUCGGGAGUAUAAUUACCCGCCAAAUUUAUUAUUUUUUAUGGGUAUAUAGUUCCAAUUUUGCCUCCUGUUAAGCUUAUAAAUAUAUUACGACCCAGAAAAUAAAGGAAUCUUGAAUAGUAACAUGUCCAUUGACUUGAGUUGUCAUCAAUUUGGCUACUUCGAUUCCAUGAGGCCAAUCCAAUUCACACUAGCUAGAGAAAAUGGUGAUAAAGGCACUUAGAAAUUUAUAUGUAAUAUUGAUUGGUAGUAACUGAUAAGUAUAUAUUUUACGUGUUUUAAAUAUGUUUUAUUAGUUAGUUUUGGUGUGUUUUAACUACUUUUAUAACUAAUUAACUAGGAAUCUAGUGAAAAUAUGCAUUUUGUGGUUUGAAGUGUGAAAAUUGUAUUUCUAUGGAUUUUAAUGGUGAAAACUUCAUGUUUUUGUAGGUUUAAUGAUUCAAUCAUCAAAUGACAUGAUUUGAGAAGAUAAUUAGAUGAUUGAUGAUGUUUUGAAGUGAUAAAAAGAGAAUACAAAGUGCAAGAGAGGAAAUGCAAUCAAGAAUAAAAGAAGAAAAUUUUUGUAGCUUUGACAUAUUGUGGUAUUUUGGCAAUAUAUUGAGCUACAAUGAUUGGAUUAAGGUGAUUCUUAAACCAUUUGAAGCUAAGAUAUAGAUCUACAUUUGGUAUGAAGGCAUCGAAACCCAUGUCAGUCAUUUUCCUUGUCAAAAUGUUGAAAUACAGAAGUGCAACUCUGUUCUCGAAAGCUAAAACAGAGCUCUGGCUAGUCGAGGGUAUUUUCAUCAUUUCUUAGUCCACAGAGCUCCAAAUGAGAUGAUUCUUAAGGCAUUAGAACCCUAACUCAAAGAGCUACAACUUUCAUAUUUUGUACAAGAGUUAGUUCGGCCUCCAUCAUUCAGAAAAUAGUAGUUGAAGUGGUGCCAAAUGCAUAGAAGUGAAAACGCGAGCUAUCAAUACUCGACCUGAAGUCGCGUAUUCCUGAGGUCAUGCAUUCUCUUCUAUUUUCUGCAACUUGCCCUGCUUUCACAUAAUUUUUUCAUCUCAAUUCCAACUAUCAAUUUCGGCUAUAUCUGAUCAAGAAAAGUGUGGAAAGUUUGAAAGACAACUCAUAGGAGUUUCAAGAGUCAAAAAUUACAAUUAGAAACAACUCAUUUGGCUCUUGAAUCCUCUAUAAAUAGAGGCCUUUGAAGAACAUUUUCACAACUUUGGAAGGUUAGAGAAACUCCACAAAAACAUAGUCUUCACUAGAAUUUCCUUAGUUCAUUAGUUAGGGUAGUAUAGUAUAGUUAGUGUAGCUUUUCCUUCUUGUAUUUAUAGUUAGGUUUGAAUGAAGAUUCAGGAGCAAAGAUAGAGAGGUUGAUCUCAUGUGACAAGGGUGAUAUCUCUUCUACUACUUUCUCUUUUGUAUUUGAUUUCAUAUUUAACUAUACUACAAAUUUGGCUUUGUUUUUUUUUUUUAUCAUGUUUAGUUAAAGUUUAUGCCUAGAGUAUGGAUGACCUUUCUAUAUCUUGUUUGUGAUAUUUAACUGGUUAUUUGAUGAUGUUAUUUUUGAGCAAGUUAUUUAUCACUUUUGCUUUUCUAAUCGUGAUUAACUGGCCAUUAGUUGUGAUUAUCUAAAAGUGUUAAGUUUGUAAUGAGAAUUGGAGUUUAACACUAGUUCAAGGAAGUGAUAAAUUUAGGGAGUUCACUCAUGAGAGUAGAGGAACACCUUUGUGACCUAAGUGACUUGUUUCAUAUAAUUUCAUAGAAAAAAUGAACUUGUAAUUAAUUUCAUAACCACGAGAGUAAGUAUGGUUUAGCUAUAUGUAUAGUUGAUUCACUACGAGAGUAGGUUUCACAUACAUUAGAAAAUUACAUCAUAACUAGUCAAGAUAAUAUCAUUCAUUUAAUCAGUAAUCUCAUUUGCAUGAGUAGUAAGGCAUUCCAUAUCUCUAGGAGGUUUUUAGUAUUAUUUUCAUUACUUUUAUGUUUAUGGUAGUCUAGAUAAUAAUGGAGUUCAAAAACUACUAGUAAUUGAAAAUUUUCCCUGUGGGAUCGACCUUUAAUACCCUAUACUCGCUCUCGACUCGUAUACUUGCGAAAAAUCACGUGUGCGGUAUUUAGAAUUUAUAAAUGUAAAACUUGACUGUAGAUGAACUAAUUGAUAUAUGUAUACCCCGCACUCGUCAGUAACCAGCUUGUAUUGAUCCCAUUAUUGUGGAUAAUUGUGCUCUUAUGAAAAAAAAUUAUAAAAAAAUUAGCAAAAUUUAUGAUAACAAAUUAAAUUUAUUCAUACAAAUCAGUGAAAGAAGUAGAAUUUUAAAGACCAUGAUGAAAUUAAUACUUUCAAGGGCUCUAUUAGGAAGACUUCACUUGUUGGUGAAACUACACUAGCACAGUUAUAUGCACAUUUACUGUUUUGGUAUCUAAUUUCCUUGCCUUAAGUUGGGUGCAGAUGUUUAUAUUACAAAUAGAUGGUAUCAUAAAAUUGUUGUAUUCACGUUUGUUCUUUUUUUUUCUUCCUUAAGUUUUUUUCUUUAUUCUCGUGACUUCAAAAAUACGAACUCAAGAAAUUGGCUGCUUAAUCAAUAUGUCAUACAGGCUUCGCUAGUGAGGUAUAACUUCACAACUAGAGUCAAUAGAAAUUAUCAAAUGAUUUUUUAACAUCCAAAUUAAGCAAUAAAUUUUGUUUUCAUUUUAUGACAUAUAAUAGUACUACUUCAUGAGAGAUUUUAUAGUUUCUUUUAGGUAUCAUACCUACAAGUGAUAUUUGUCAUUGGAUAGUGACAGAAGUGUUAAUGAUUGUAAGAUUAAAUAUUGUUAAAUAUUGAAAUUUAAACUAUUUAUCUUUAUUGAAAGAUACAAGUUAAAGAAUCGUUCAAGGGGGCAAUUUUCCAUCUUGUCUUUUUGAAAAAACGCUAUCACAUUGUAUAGGCAUGAUAGGUUCAAAUUUGUCAUUAAAUUUAUGAUUGAUUUCCCUUUUAUUCAAGCCAAAUAUUGUUUUAAUUAUCAAAUUCUACUUAUAUUUGGUUAAUUGUACUAAUUGUAGGGCGGUAGAGCAAAAGUUGCUAAAAAUAGGUGAUUUUCUGCAAAUUGGUUGUCAAGGCUGAAGGAUUUGGGAUUCGCAUGUUCAAGGCCUGUUUCCAAGUUUGAUUCAAACUCUGGACAGUUUUAGAGGAAGAUUUGGAAGAUUUGAAAUUUCAUUAUUAGUUUUAUGGUUGAAUUAGGAAUCUUGGAAUAAUUUCUUUUGUGAUUUAUUUUUCUAUUUAGGAGACUAGUUGUUAUUUAGUAGUAGACUUCAAUUAGAAAACAAAGAGAAAAAGAAGGCCGGAAUCCCGCUUGAUUAAUACCUUGGCCAGGGAACAAUCUCGGUGGGGAGGACGGCCACUUAGCCUCUCAAUUCAUCUUGCUUUUCGUUAGUUUGAGAGGAAAACCAAUUGCAACUAGAUUCAAUGGAGUCUGGCAGAAUUUCUUCUAGGAUGCGUAGCUAAAUCCUCAAUUUUUAGUCGAAGGUCAAUUUGAAAAUUCGGUUCCAAAUAUCUGUGAAAUCGAAUUAUUUUACUUAUUUCUUUUAUUUAUUGGUAUUCGCACGUUUUCUGAUUUAACUUUUUAUGAUUGUUUUGUUAUUUGAAUGUCAAGGGUCCGAUAUUCGAAUUAACUUAAUAAUCUACUGCCAAAUUAACCGGUUAAAUCCGUAAUUGUUUGAUUGAUUAAUAUCAGUGGCGACUAGCGUGAUUGGUCCCAUGUUAGGAAAACGUCUGAUCUAAUUUAAACAAACCGUCGUAGCGUGUUUGUUGAUUAGGGUUGGACUUUUCUAAUUCUUAAUUCAAUUGAGAAAUUAAAUCUCCCGGUCGUACCUAAGAUUAUUUUUUUGUUAGCGAAAUAGUUAAUGGUCGUACCUUGACUAUCGAAAAAGUAAGGAAGAGUUGAUUGUUUAUCGCGUGUACGACAACUAUAAUCAAUCUAUUAAUGAGUAAUUGAAUUAUCUUUGCAUCAGUAAUCAGUUGAAUGGACCGUGUCUGAAAAGUUGUACCUUUGGCUAGAGUCUUAUCUGUUGUUGAUUCAUUCAUAUCUAUCUUCAUGCGUUGUUUUAAUUUAGUUAAUUAGUUAUUUUUAUAAAAACCCCUCAUCUCUGGACUCUAAAAGAAAUAAAUUAUUUCUAGUUCCUGUGGAUUCGAUCCUACUCACCGCUAUAUACAAAAUUUGUAUUUUUUUGAAUAAAUAAUUAUUAUUACACAGGCUUGACACCUGUCAAGGCAAAAUUUCCUUAACUUCAUCAUCUGUAGACGUAAACUUUCUACGGGUGAUAUAAUAUAAGGAAAUUUUGCCUAUACGAUGUGAUAGCAUUUUUUCAAAAAAGACAAGAUGGAAAAUUGCUCCCUUGAACGGAAAAAAUCAUGAUCUUUCCUCAAACUAGUCUACUAGUCAAUUCUUUACAAAAGAAUACUCGCUCCUAAACAUAGCCUGUUCAUCUACACUGUCCCGCAGAAUUCUAGAAAGUUAGGCAAAACUAGACAAGUUGACAGGUAUAAUCAUACCCAAGAUCAGGAACAAGCAGUUGCACAUUUCAAAAUUCGCUGCUGCAACAGCUAAUUUGAUGACUUACAACACUACACGGUCAAACUUUGAAUGGCAAUGGAUCUUUUGUUGUACGUCAUGAUGUAAUUUUCAUGUUACAUACAUUAAUAGGUUGAUAUCUAUAUUCUUUAAAUUAUCAUGAUAAUACCCUUAAUUAGAUUUAACUGAUAAAAAGAACACGUGUUAAUAUACAAAAGUGUGUAACGUGAAUGUUACAUUACUGUAUUGCAGAAGACCUAUAGUCUCUUCAUAUCUCUUCCUGCACGUAUCAAUUCGUUUCCUCUAGAUAAUAAUCUCCCAACUCGUUUCUUUACAAAUGCACCUUUUAUGUUUUAUUACCUCCAAAAGCCUUUACAGGGUCUUUACCCUAAAAAUCAAUUCACCGACUCGCAUUUGAUGUCAGAAAUUCUUAAGACGAAUUCUACUUUACUCAAAGAUUGACUGUUAAUAAUGAGACAGCGACCAUUUUGUAUUAUUAGACCGUCCUUCUUGAUAGGUAAAAGAAAUAGAGAGGAAAGUGGGUCCGUAUAUGGUCUUUUAUUCAUAGAUAAUACAACAUUACGCCAUCGAGCAUUCACACAAUAUUUCAAAGUCAUAGCAUGCCUAAGGCCCUGUUUGAUAGCUCAAUUUCGUAAUUAAAUUUAAUAGAUUCAAAUUUUAACACAUUUAAAUCAUUUGAUAACAAAAAAUUGAAUAUUUAAAUUAAUUAAGUAACACUGAACUUUCUAAACAAAACUUGCUUUCAAAAUUAAGUGAUAAGUUAUUCACUUAUCUUUGAAUGUGAUAUGCACUCAAAUAUAUUAAAUUUAAUAAUUUAAUGGAUUCAGAUUUCAGAUUUCAGUUUUAUUACACACCCUAAGUUGCAAAAUAAUACCAAAACUUGUUAUUAUAUAGCUUGAGAUUCAAAAAUUUAGAGCAUAAUUCUCAACCUAACACAAUCGAAUAAUGAAUAUUCACGAUUGUUUCAAAGUACAAUUUGAGGACAACCCAUUCCAACGCGUACACGAUUUUUAACUUUUCUAAAGUUGUUGAGAGCUGUUAAAAGAGAUUUACCAUGUUUACAUCUUCCAAGUCUUGGAAGUGAAAAAUGAAGCCACUGAGUGCUAUAAAAAGGGGGCUAGAGGCUGCCUAGAAGCAUAUCAGCCUAAAACAAGAAUUUGUAGUAACAAUGGGGAGCAAAGCAAAAGCAACGGGGUCUAGGCUGACUCCUCUUCUUACCACUGUUUUAGUGGUAUUUGUCGCCCUUGGCUUGCCCUUGGAAACUGCAGCUGAUUAUUACAAGUAUUCAUCUCCUCCUCCUCCUCCUUACCACUAUUCUUCACCACCACCUCCAGUGUAUUCACCUCCACCAACCCCUGCUUAUAAGUUACCCCCACCAUCUCCUCCAGUUUACAAGUCCUCACCACCACCUUACCACUACUCACCACCUCCGGUGUAUUUACCUCCACCAUCUCCAGUUUACAAGUCACCACCACUACCCCCUCCGGUAUACAACUCCCCGCCUCCACCAGUGUACAAAUACAAGUCCCCACCACCACCUCCUCCAGUUUACAAAUCUCCAUCGCCACCAGUUUACAAAUACAAGUCACUCCCACCACCUCCUCCGGUAUACAAGUCUCCUCCGCCACCUGUUUACGAGUACAAGUCUCCUCCACCACCUCCUCCAGUGUACAAGUCCCCACCACCUCCAGUUUACAAGUACAACUCACCUCCACCUCCUCCCCCAGUUUACCUGUCUCCACCUCCACCCUAUCAUCACUACUACGGUUCUCCUUCUCCUCACCACUACUAAGCAAGUGCAUAAGUUUUGAGGUAAUAAUACCUAUCCAAAACUUUAUCAACACAAACUGCCAUGUAUAUUAUCAUGCUAAGGACGUACACUUGAUCCAUGAAAAUGACUAGUAGAAGAUUUUUUUUAAGAACCAAAGAAAUACAUUAUUUUUUCGGUCUGUUUUCAAGAAUUUGAGCAGUAUACAGAUUAAAGAGUGUUUUUUUUUUUGUAAACUUGCUUGUCAACUUAAAAAUGCACAUAGCUGAAAGCCAACUGAAUAUUUGCAGGCAAAGGAGAAGGCAAUCGGUGUUUGAGACCUUCAAGAAGAUGUAGAAGAAUAAGAAUAAAAGCCCAAUGCGAGGAUGAUUCCAAGUUUCUACGUUACCAUUUCUACAUCUAAAUUGACUUUAGCUCCUGAGUUCCAUGUUUAUGGGGUUUGUACCGUUUUACGUACCAUGCAGUACAUGCUUGCAAGGUUUUCUGUCCUGUUGGCAAACUGCAGGUCCAUAUAAUAAAUGAAUACUAUUUACAUUACGACACUUUUCUCUUUUUCUCUUAUAUUUUGUCUUUAAUAUUGUUGAUCAUUUUUUUUUUAUCAAAAGCAUCAAAUGCUUAGGUAAUUUGGUCUAAUGCUAAUUGUUUUACUUUUAUUUUUCACCUACACCCCUUUUCAACUCAAAGGAUGCUAUAGUUUGUGAUAAUUGUUUAAGACCGAAGCAUGAUACUAAUAAAUAUCUCAUUGAAAGUCAAGGAAACUAACAUUAGGAAAAGUUUAAAUCUUGAUUUGAUGAAACUAUUUAUUCGUGGAAUUUAGAGAUACAAAACUCAAAUUGUGACGGUGUUGUUGCUAAAUUAUUAAGGACAUUAUCACCAUUAUUUUUCCCUGAUCACUAGUUUCAACUGCAAUGAUCUCAAUCUUUUUGUGACUAAUUCUUUCCUUAAUAAUUUAUAAAGACAAAACUCACAAAGAAUAUGUGACUAAUUCUUUCCUUUCGUCUUCUAAAGAAAAUGCCAACUGUUAGUUUAUCAAGGGGAAAAAGGAUCGACAUCAGUUAUUAUUGAAACUAGUAAGGAAUAAAUAAUGGUGAUAAUGUCCUUAAUAAUUUAACAACAGCACCAUCAGAAUUUGACUUUGAGCUUCGGUCUUAAACAAUGAUCACAAACUACAGCAUCCUUUGAGUUGAAAAAGGAAGUAGGUGAAAAGAAAAGUAAAAAAUACAAUUAGCAUUCCCUCAAAUUGUAGAAAGUUAGGUAGCAUUAUAGACAAGUUGAUAGCGGCAAUUUUACAUUUCAAACUUCACCUAUUCAAUAACUAAUUCGAUGGCUUGCUACAUGGUCAAUCUUUGGACCCCUUCCUGCCUCCAGAUAUCCCUUUCCUCAAUCAGGGGCUUCUACAAUUACCAGUUUCAAUUGUAUGGUAUAGUGUAAAUAUCAACAAAUUAGAUGUAGAUGCUAACAUAAUAAAUGUGAAUGCUAAGACAGCAACAUACAAUCGAACCUGCAAUUGUAUGAACCCCAAUCUCGCUUCCUAGUCCACCAUCUUUCUCUAGGUAAUAAUCUCCCUUCUAAUUUAUUCACAAAAUGCACCUUUCAUCACCUCCAAUAGCGUCGACAUGAUCUUUACCCUAGAAGACUAUUCACCGACUCUCAAUUGACGUCAGAAAAUCUAAGAGUAAUUCUACUUUACCCUAAGAUUGAUAUCAACAAGACAAGGACAAUUUAGAAUUAUUACACGCCUCUUCUUAAUAGGAAAAAGAAAUAGAGAAGAAAGUCAGGCCAGGUCUAAUUUCUUUUCAAAGGCAAUACAACAUUACGAAAUCAAGCAUUCAUUCAUACAAAUAUUUCAUAGUCACCGGUUUGCUGAGUAGAAAAAUUUAGACAAAAACUUAAUAUUAUAUUGUUUAAGAGUUAACAAUUUAGAGCUUAAUCUCCUUGUACUUUGGAGUUAACAAUUUAGAGCUUAAUCUCCUUGUACUUUGGACUAAACUUGAACGUGAAAGGAAAUCCCAAAACCAUAUUGGGCAUGAAUUCACACUUAAUAUACCCAAUAAAAGAUGGCGACUGGUGAAAGGCAGUGGAGACUGGUGGAGAGAUUUGAGGAAUAGAAGCAGACGGAAAAGCAACAAAUUUUUGCCGAAAAACGGUCACUUUCAUGGUUAAUUUUGCUACUCUCCAAUUGUACUUGACCAAUUACAACAAUUUCAUGGAGUUUGAUACGUGAAAAGAAUUUUUUAUAAAUUUUAUUUUGAUCCAUAAUGUUAUCUUUACAUAUAUAAAACAUUUUACAAUUUUGAUUUUGGCGCAGCUAACUUUUGGUUAACAAAAAUGCUCAUGUUUAAAAAACCAGAAAUAAAACAAAACAAGAAACAAAAGAAAUAAGAGGGUAGCAUAGACAUUUUGGAUUUUUCCGUUAAUUUGGAUGAUUUCCACCCACGUUCUAAUUUAAUCCAAAACACAAAGGAAUUACGUAGAGGUUUUAAAUAAUGAGGGAGCUUCAUGAUCGAACCCCAAACCACAAGGCGAUUUACUAUAUUUUACUCUUAAAUUUUGGUUUCAUCUCAUAGCAUACAAGAGUUCUAUUUCACUAUCUGUAGACAAAGACUUUCUAUGGUUGAUGUACCAUAGGAAAAAAUCUGCCUAUACAACGUGAUAGCAUUUUUUCAAAAACACAAGAUGGAAAAUUGCCCCUUAAACGGGGAAAUUCAUGAUCUUUCGUCGAACAAAGAAUACUCACGCCUAUUCAAGAUGGAAAAUUGCCCCCUUAAACGUCUAUUUGUCAAUUCUUGAAAAAAGAAUACUCACGCCUAAAACACGGCCUCUUCAUCUGCAGAAUUCUAAAAAGUUAGGUAAACUCUAUAAACAAGUUGAUAGGUACAAUCGUACCCAAGAUCAAGUACAGAUAGUUGUACAUUAACUGCUGCAAUAACUAAUCUGAUGACUUAUAAACAUAUCAUGGUCAAUCGUUGAAUGGUAAUGAGUCUUUUGUUAUGCAUUAGUAUUAGUGUGUACACUCUAAUAGAUUGAUACUUAUACUCUUUAAAUUAUCAUAAUAAUACCCUUAAUUAACUUUAACUCUUAAAAAGAAUACAUGUUAAUACACGAGUGUGUGUAACCUGAAUUGUUACUUAUAAAUUAGUGUGUAAUAGAUAGGGAUGGCAAUGGGGGCGGGUGCCCGCGGGGGGCUCUCGGGGCGGGGGUUGGGGCGGGGGGGAAUUUUUUCCCCCCGUUUAGAAAUGGGGCAGGGGACGGGGGAGUAUACCCCCGCCCCAUCCCCCGCAAAAAAAAAAUUAUAUAUAAUAUGUAAUUUAAUUAGUUAUAAACUUAUGAUAAUGAUAUUAUUAGUUAGAUGUAUUAUAUAAUGUAUAUUAGUGUAUGUAAUAUAAUUAAUAUUAUCAAUUAUAUGAAUAAUUAGACAUGUCUACUAAUAGAAUUUAUGAAUUAGUUAUACUAAAUUUACUAAUACAUUUAUACUAAAUUUCUAAUUACACUUAAUAGAAUAACACUUUUUUCUAAAACAAAAAAGCACAAACACAAUAAUGAAUUAGUGAUUGUAUGAUAGGGUGUAAUUUUACUAUUUAUUUUAUUAUUAAUUUCCCCUAUCACCUGACCUGAUGUGGAUUAAUUGCUGGAUUCUGCUCACUUUUAGUACUUUGUAUUUAUUUCAGGGAGUAGAACGGAAAUUUGAUAACAGGUGCUAAUUUGGCAGAAAAAGAGUCCAGAUGAUAGAGCUUGCCCCAAGGGCAUUUUUGGAAAGGAGAACUUGUGCCCAUCUUGGUAAUUUGGGAGAAAAGGGAAACAGACAAAAUGGGUCUAACAUGGAUUGGAAGCGGCCGCACAGUAGCAGGGAAGAGGGCAGACGUAAAAGCAAUUGCAGGGGGGAAAAGGAGUUUUUUUAGUUUUUAGCUUAGCAUCUGAUUUUCCCUGGGAGACUUUUGUUAAAGAUUUCCUUUUGGCUGAUAUUACGCAUGGCAGAUGGCUUUUAACUUAUUCCUCCAUCUUUGACUUUUCUUCUUUAGCUUGUGGCAGUGGAUUGCUACUUACGAAUGUCAGCACUUAGCCAUUCGUGGCUUUUGAUCUUUUCUUCCUUAGAAAUUCUGAGUAACCUCUUUUCCUUUGUGCGCCAGACGAAGUGAAAACUAUAAACUUUUGUAGUUUUUCUAUUCAUUCAAUAUAUUGAGACGAGUUGGAUUCUACCAAAUUUCAACGGACAUGGCCGCUGGUUUCUCUUCAAUUUUAUAUGGGCUUUGUUCAUCCAACAUGAACUAAUUUCACCACUCUAGUCAAGGAGCAACGAAGGCUCUGAUUUGCCUAAAAAUUGUGAGAUCGUUUUAAUUUAAUCUUUUCCUUUUAUUUAUUGGUAUCCGCACAUUUCUUGAUUGCUAUGCUUAUGGUUAUUUAAUUAAUUGAUUGUCUUGGAUCCAGAUAAUUAAUUGAUCUGAUAGCCUAUUGUCAAUUAGGGCAUUUAAAUCCGUAAUUGUUUAAUUGUCCUGAAAUAGUGACAACUGGCACGAUUAGAUUCGUGCCAGGGGGGAUAUGCGGGCUAAUCUAAAAUAACCCUGGUAGUGUGUUAUUUGGUUAGAAUAGGGCUCCUCUAAUACUAAGGCAAUUGGGGAAUUAAAUUCUACGGGCGUACCUAGGAUUAUUUCUUAAUUAGAGCAGUGAUUAACGGGCGUACCUUGAUCACCGACACAGUAAGGAGGGGUUGACCGUCAUCGCUUGUUUGGCAGUUAUAACCUAUUUAUCAGUAAAUAAUUGGGAUUGCCUUGCAUCAAUGAUCAAUUAGGUGAACCAUUGUUGAAGUUACUUCUUGGUUAGAUCUUUAGUUAAUAUUACCUUGAUUUUGGUGAAUUGCCAUUUGAUUUUUAGUUGCCUACUUUAUUUUAUUUUUAAUUGUUUCCUUGCUUUAAUUGAGUUAGGCCUUUAAUUAUUGUUAUUCUAAGUUUAGUGAAUUGUGGUUUAAUUCCUAAUUAGUUAUUUAUUUUUACUUUCUUAUUUGAAUUUAUUUGCUUGUUAUCAUUCCUACGAAAUCACCCCCCUGUGUUACUUUGGAUUUCUUAAGAAACAAAUAUACCCAAUCCCUGUGGAUACGACCCUACUUGCUCUGUUCACGAAUUCAUAAUUAUUUGUGAAAAGAAAUAACCAUUCCACUCGGGUAUAUCGGAUCAAGCAAAUUCUUCGGGAACAGGGUGAAUCAAGUAACCCAAUGCACACCUAGAGUCCCUGCUCCAGUACUUGGAAUUGGGUUUUGGUCAUUUUAACUGGCAAUUAGGUUUAAUUUUAUUAUUGCACAGGCUGACGACCCUGUCAAUUUUUGGCGCCGUUGCCGGGGACUGGCGUUAUUAUUUGUUUCUUUUUAAAUUCAUUCUUUGUCCUAAUUUUCUGGUUUUCUUCUAGUGUAUGCCUCGAUCUUCUCGUACAGGUAAUUUGAUUUUUGACCCUGAGGUAGAGAAGACCGCAUGUAGAACGAGAAAGGAAACCAGACAGCUCAGAGAAGAGCACUCCAGUGCUACAUCUCAGAGACCCGAGUCAGAAGUUGAACUAACAGAUUCGUUUGGUAACACUUCGAGUGACUCUGACCAGGAGGAAGACACCAUGGCUAAUGCACGAACAUUAAGGGAGUUGGCUGCUCCUGAUUUAACUCAGCAGCCUUUAUGCAUUACUUUCCCCACUUUAAAUGAUAACAUUCCAUUUGAACUAAAAUCUGGUCUGAUUCAGCUUUUACCCUCUUUUCAUGGUUUACCAGGUGAAGAGCCGUAUAAGCAUCUGCAGGAGUUUGAUGUCGUGUGUAAUAGUAUGAAACCCUCGGGAAUCACAGAAGAGCAGAUAAAAAUGAGGGCAUUCCUCUUCUCCUUGAAAGAUUCUGCGAAGGACUGGCUGUACUACCUGUCACCAGGUAGCAUCACCACGUGGGACCAAUUGAAGAAAAAAUUUUUGGAUAAAUAUUUUCCUGCGUCCAGGGCUGCAAGUCUAAGGAAAGAAAUUUGUGGGAUCAAGCAGCAUCCAGGGAAGUCACUUUAUGAGUAUUGGGAACGGUAUAAGAACUUGUUGCGCAGGUGCCCCCAACACCAAAUAAGUGAGCAAUUGAUCAUACAGUAUUUUUAUGAGGGGCUCCUUUUUAGAGACAGGAGCAUCAUUGAUGCCAGGGGGGAGGGUUGGGAUGGGUGGUACGGGGGGAGGGAGUGUAAGCAAGAGGUCUCGGGUUCGAGUCCUCCCGCUUACACACAAAAAAAAAGAUGCUGCAAGUGGAGGGGCACUGGUAAACAAAACCCCUCAGGAAGCACGGGAGUUAAUAGAGGGGAUGGCAGAGAAUUCACAACAAUUCAGUACAAGAGAGGAUGUCCCAAUACGUAAGGUGAAUGAGGUAGAGACACCCUCUAUGCAGCAGCAGCUAACUGAGUUGACCGCGUUUGUUAGGCAACUGGCUGUGAGAAAUGCAUCACAAGCCAGGGUGUGCGGGAUUUGCACUGGUAUGGGUCAUUCUGCAGACAUGUGCCCAAUGAUUCAGGAAGAAACUGCAGAACAGGUGAACAUGGCUGACCACGCGCCCGCGCCAAGGAAGCAGUACGACCCUUACUCAAGCACCUACAACCCCGGGUGGAGAGAUCAUCCCAACCUCAGUUAUGGAGAAAAUAGGCAGCCCAACAUUACACCGAACAGGCAGUCUAACUUUGUGCCAAAUAGGCCACCAGGGUACCAGCAGCAAUAUCAACCCCGACCACCUCCGUCCCCAAGCUCUGGCCCAUCUUUGGAGGAGAUGAUGAAACAAAUGAUGACAACUAUGGCUCAAAAUCAGCAAAUGACGGAGGCAACCAUUAUGCAAAAUCAGCAAAGGACGGACUCCGAAAUGAAGGAUAUAAGGAAUCAGAUAAGUCAAAUGGUCACAACAAUCAACCGUUUGGAUUCCCAGAACCAAGGUAAAUUGCCAUUUCAGCCCGAAUUAAAUUCGAAGAACGUGAGCGCAAUGACCCUAAGGAGCGGGAAAGAAAUUCAGGGGUCUGAACCUGUGAUCCCUAAGGAUAAGGAUGAGGAAAAGAUCGAAAAUGAGCUUGAAAGGGAGGACAGCAAUGGUGCAGAUCUAAAGGUACUUCCUGACCCAAUAAUUACAGCUAAAACUAACCCGCCUCCUUUUCCUAGCAGGUUGGAAAAAUCGAAAAAAGAGGAUAAGGAGAAGGAGAUCUUGGAGGUUUUUCGCAAGGUUGAGAUAAAUAUCCCCCUCUUAGACGCAAUCAGACAAGUACCAAAAUAUGCCAAGUUCCUAAGGGACUUGUGUGUCAACCGAAGGCAGUUGAGGGAAGAUGAACGGGUUAUUGUUGGGGAGAAUGUGUCAGCAGUCCUGCAGAGAAAGCUCCCACCAAAGUGCGGGGACCCAGGUAUGUUUACUAUUCCCUGUAGGAUAGGUAAUACUGUGAUAGAAGGGCCAUGUUGGAUCUGGGAGCAUCAAUUAAUCUCAUACCUAAAUCUAUCUAUGCUUCUCUAAAAUUAGGUCCAUUAAAAGAAACUGGAAUAAUCAUUCAAUUAGUUGACCGAACUAAUGCAUAUCCUGAUGGGUUGGUUGAAGAUGUGUUGGUAAAAGUUAAUGAUUUGAUGUUUCCAGCUGAUUUUUAUGUACUUGAUAUGGAUGAUGAUCACUCCCCUGAUCCCUCACCUCUGUUAUUGGGUAGACCCUUUAUGAGCACAGCACAGACGAAAAUUGAUGUUAAUAAGGGUAUCUUGUUCAUGGAGUUUGAUGGGAAAAUUGUGCAUUUCAAUAUCUUUGAUACUAUGAAAUAUCCCUCAAACUCCAACUUUAGCACAGUUUUCUCUGUGAGUGCUAUUGACCCUGUAGUGCAGGAAGUGUUUGAAACUGAUGGCAGGGAUGAGUUGGAGGUGGCUUUGACCAAGCACCUCGAGUUGGAGACAACUCCUGAGGUGGAAUGGAGCGAGGACCUAAAAUGCACAAUAGGUGCAUUACACUCAUUGCAGUCCACCACGAAAAGGUAUGAAGUCUUACCUAUUUUUACUCCCGAACCUCACCAGAGGGUGUUGCCAUCUGUGGUGCAGGCACCUGUACUAGAAUUUAAACCUCUAUCAGAGCACCUGAAAUAUGCAUAUCUGGGUGAUAAUGAGACACUCCCGGUGAUUAUCUCAUCGACACUGUCAAAAAUCCAGGAGGAGAAACUGAUCCGGGUCCUUAGAGAGCAUAAAGAGGCGAUAGGUUGGACAAUCGCAGAUAUUAAGGGGAUCAGCUCGGCCAUCUGUAUGCACCGGAUUAGACUAGAAGAGGAUGCCAAACCUGUUAGGCAGGCUCAAAGGAGGCUCAACCCCCUAAUGAUGGAAGUUGUAAAGAAAGAAAUUUUAAAAUUGCUAGAUGUGGGGAUUAUUUUUGCAAUAUCAGAUAGCCCUUGGGUAAGCCCGAUCCAGGUAGUCCCAAAGAAGGCAGGGGUGACGGUGGAGGCAAACCAAACGGGUGAGCUCGUGCCAGUGCGCAAACCCACUGGAUGGAGGCAGUGUAUAGACUACCGUAGGCUAAACGCCGUCACCAAAAAGGACCAUUUCCCUCUCCCUUUCAUUGACCAAAUGGUUGAACGUUUAGCUUGUAGAGCUUAUUAUUGCUUUUUGGAUGGAUUUUCAGGAUACUUUCAGAUAGCAAUUGCUCCAGAGGAUCAAGAGAAGACAACCUUCACGUGCCCGUUCGGGACCUUUGCUUAUAGACGAAUGCCAUUUGCGUUGUGCAAUGCACCUGCAACAUUCCAGAGGUGUAUGGUAAGUAUUUUUUCUGAAUAUGUGGAGAAAAUUAUUGAAGUUUUCAUGGACGAUUUCAGUGUGUAUGGUGAUAGUUUUGAUACGUGUUUAGAUAAUCUGAAAUUGAUCCUGAUAAGGUGUAUAGAGACUAAUCUUGUGCUUAAUUGGGAAAAAUGUCAUUUUAUGGUUGAGCACGGGAUAGUCCUGGGUCAUAUUGUAUCGUCUAAGGGCAUAGAAGUUGACAAGGCUAAAAUAGAUAUUAUUUUUGCAUUACCUUACCUCGCGAGUGUGCGGAAGGUGCGUUCUUUUCUUGGACAUGCAGGUUUUUAUCGAAUGUUCAUCAAGGAUUUUUCAAAAAUUGGAGCCCCGUUAUUCCAACUCCUACAAAAGGAUGUGACCUUCGAAUUCGAUGAUAAGUGUGAGGAAGCCUUCAACAAGUUGAAAGAAUUGUUGACCUCACCCCCAAUUAUCCAGCCCCCUGAUUGGAGUCUACCAUUUGAGAUCAUGUGCGAUGCCAGUGAUCAUGCCGUAGGGGCUGUAUUGGGGCAAAGAGUAGGGAAGGCAGCUCACGUCAUCUACUAUGCAUCCCGAGCAUUGAAUGGAGCCCAAUUGAAUUACUCCACUACUGAAAAGAAGCUUCUUGCAGUUAUUUUUGCUUUAGAAAAAUUCAGGUCAUAUUUGCUAGGUGCUAAAGUAAUUGUAUUUUCUGACCAUGCAGCAUUAAGGUACCUAAUGACCAAGAAAGAUGCCAAACUGAGGCUCAUUAGGUGGAUAUUGCUACUGCAGGAAUUUGACCUGGAGAUACGGGAUAAAAGGGGCUCAGAGAAUUUAGUAGCUGACCAUCUGAGUCGUAUACCCGUUGGAGAGGAUAAUGAACCAUUGAGGGAUGCGUUCCCUGAAGAGCACUUAUUUUCUUUAAAUUCUCAGUUGCCUUUGUAUGCCGAUCUGGUCAAUUAUUUGGUAACUGGUAAUUUUCCUGCAGGUUGACCAAAAUCGAAGAGGGAUAAAUUGAAGAGCGACGCCAAGUAUUUUAUUUGGGACGACCCGUACCUAUGGAAGAGGUGUGCAGAUCAAGUGAUGCGGAGAUGUGUAAGUGAAAUGGAAUUUCAAUCGAUUUUAGCUUUUUGUCAUACUUUUGCCUGUGGAGGUCAUUUGGACCCAAGAGAACUGCUCAUAAGGUUUUAGAAAGUGGAUUUUAUUGGCCUUCAUUGUUUAAGGAUGCCUAUGUGUUUUGUAAGUCAUGUGAUCGCUGUCAAAGGGUAGGUAAUAUACCCCGUAGAGAUCAAAUGCCCCAAGUCCCGUUGAUUUUUAUUGAAAUUUUUGAUGUCUGGGGUAUAGAUUUCAUGGGGUCUUUUCCUACUUCAUUUGGUUUUUUAUAUAUUUUGCUGGCAGUUGAUUAUGUGUCUAAAUGGGUGGAGGCUAAGGCCACUCGAACUAAUGACUCGAAAGUAGUUGCAAAUUUUGUCAGGUCUAAUAUUUUUGUGCGAUUUGGAAUGCCUAGUGCUAUUGUCAGUGAUAGGGGAACGCACUUUUGCAACAAAAUCAUAGCUGCGUUGUUUCGCAAGUAUGGUGUACUCCAAUGGGUCUCAACGUCGUACCACCCUCAGACCAAUGGUCAAGCGGAGGUGUCGAAUCGAGAGAUCAAGUCUAUCUUGGAGAAAAUGGUGCGCCCCGAUAGGAAAGACUCGAGUCAAAGGCUGGAGGACGCACUUUGGGCCUAUCGGACGGCGUACAAGACUCCUAUAGGGAUGUCACCGUACAGGUUGGUAUUUGGGAAGCCGUGUCACCUUCCAGUGGAGUUUGAGCACAAAGCUUUUUGGGCGAUAAAGUAAUGCAACAUGAAUUUAGAGGAAGCCGGUGCCCAACGAAAGUUGGAUUUGCAAGAAUUAGAAGAGAUCCGGAACGAGGCUUACGAAAAUGCACUAAUUUAUAAGGAGAGAAGCCGGAUAUUUCAUGAUCAACAAAUUUCAAGAAAAUCCUUUGAAGUUGGUCAGAAGGUCCUACUAUACCAAUCCAGGCUCAAGCUAUUCCCAGGUAAACUACGUUCCCGUUGGAUUGGACCUUUUCUUGUUACUCAUGUUUUUCCAUAUGGUGCAGUUGAAAUCCGGAGCGCUAAAACAGACAACAAAUUUGUGGUGAAUGGACACCGUCUCAAGCAUUACUACGAAGGAUUUUCAGGUGAAAAGGUGGAGACAAUAAGUCUAGACGCGCCACCGUGUCCUAAUCAGUGACAUUUUACUAUGUCUAGCCAAAGACAUUAAAGACAGGCGCUCAUUGGGAGGCAACCCAAUUGUCCCUUUUAAUUAUUUGUUUGAUUUCGUGUGAUAGUUUAAAUAUGUUUUCCUUGAAUUCGACUGAUUUUGGGUUUCAGUUUUCGUUUUUGCUGAAUUGUAGGUGACCUUCAGUCUUGACGCGCCCGCGUGAUGACAUGCAGGAAGCUCACGAUCAGAAUCGUCUGAAAGCUCUCUUGCCCUUUUGACGCACCCGCGUGAUGACGUGCAGGAAGCUCACGAUCAGAAUCGUCUGAAAGCUCUCUUGCCCUCUUGACGUGCCCGCGUCACGUUCGCAGGAAAGGUACGGGUUUCAAAAAUUUAAAGAAAAAAUAAUAAUAAUAAUAAUUUAAAAUUUUGAAAUUAACUUCCGUAAAAAAAAAAAAGAAGAAAAAAAAUUUCACCGUGGCUUAAAUAGAGCCUAAAGAAGAGAAAAAAGAAACAAUUUCUUUCUUUUUUUUUUCUUUUUCUUCUUUCUUCCUUCUUUCUUUCUUUCUUCUUUCUCUUUUCCCUCUCUCUUCUCCCCUGUUUCUUCUCCCCUGUCCGUCGCCCGUGCGCCCCAUCGCUGCUCCACCUCCACACGCACGCCGACGCUGCGAGCCACCUGCGACCCCAGCGCCAGAUCUGGACCAUCGCCGAAACCCGCAGCCUCCGCCACCUCCACCUGAGCUCUGCCUCGCGCGCAACCCAGCUGCUCUGCGCCCGAAGCUCCACCGCCGCCACAGCCUCCCCACGCAGCUCCCUGCUCACGCGGCCACAAGCCCAUUGGAAACGGGACAGAGACUGCCGCCGAGCCACUUGCCCGCGUGACCGCCGCUGUUUUCCACCACCUCCCUCACGCGAGCUCUUUCCCUCUCAGCAGCAAUCCACUUCACAGCGCACCCGCUGCGCGCCGUCGCAGCCCUCGCAGCUCCAGCCCGUCUGGUCUAGUCCGCCGCGCGCACCAACCACCCACGGACGCUACCCCCAUCGCUAACCCACGCGGCCUCCACUCCAGUCUGUCCGCCGCCGCUGCUCGUGUCUCCCUUGCGCACCUCACGCCACCCGCUACUGUCCCCUUCCGUUUGGUUAGCAUCCACGGUGGAGGUAAUUGGAGGUUAUUUUCUCAAUUGUGUGACUUCCGCCUGUGAUACUGGUUGCAUUAUUUUUGCUGGGAAUUGCUACUUCUUUUGGGUUGGGUUCAACUGUGCAAUUAAUUGGCCAACUGGAGCCAUUUGUUGGGAUUUUGGGUGAGCUGAAAUACUGCAUUUGUGUGUUACAUUGGGAGGUUUAUUGGGUACAUUCUAACCGCUGUUUUCCAUUGUUACUCUCGCUGGGGUGUCUAUUAAAUUGCGAUUGAAGUAUUUUGGAUAUUGCAUGUUGAGAUUGAGGUUUCAUUGAAUUUGGCCUACGUUCUGCCCCCAGUGGUACUGGUGGGAAUAUUUUCAAUUGAAUUUGUUACCUCUAGUUGGUUGGCUACAUUAUUAUGGUCGAAUUCCUAAGUUGUCGUCAUUGCAUUUGUUGAUCUUGAUUUGGGGCAUUAACCGGCCAACUGGAGCCAUCUGUGCGUUUUUAGGCGCUAUUAUUGGUUUCUUCUCCCUUAACUUUGUCAACUAUAUUUGGUUGGGUAUUUGGUUGACUGCCACGGACUUGUAACUGUGUUUUGCUUCUAAUUGACCAGUUGCACAGCAGUUUUUUUUUAAUUGAUAGGGUGGUUAUACCUCUGGAUAUUUGUAUCCACUGGUUUGAGGACAUGGUGAGACCAAAAUCCUCCUCUAGGUCUAGGACCCCUAGAACCUCGCAAUCCCAACCCCAAGCCUCUACUCUAGUCAAUACCCCUAUAAAUCAACCUACUGCUCCCGGUGUCCGAACCUGGUUAGGUAGGGGUAGAGGUGCCCACGUGGCUUCCGCCACUCACUUGGGAGGGCAUUUGGAAUUCACUAGAGCCGCCGAUCAGCGACGCUAUGCUCAAGCUUGUGAGCGGCGUAUCAUUCCGUGCAAAUGCGCGGACCACAUUACUAUGGUUUUUCUGGGGAUCCAAGGGGAGGUUGAGCGCAUGUACACCGCCAUUGGAUGGCGCCCCUAUCUGGAUAUUUUCCAGCCAGCCUUUGUCGAGUUGACUAGAGAGUUUUACACCACUUUUAAGUUUGAAUUACCGACUAGGUAUACUGUUGCGACUCCCGAUAUCAUUCACUUCCGUCUCAUGGGCCAGGAAUUCAAUUUCUCUAUCACCCAGUUCAAUCUGGCUUUCGGUUUCAUCACUCGGGAGUAUGCAGAGACUAGGGAAUACGGUGAGAGUGCCUGCGAUUUUGUGGAACCUUUCCUUACCGCCUACCGUGAGGUGUGGGAGGACAUGUCUGUGGACAUGCAGCGUUACGAUCCCUCUCGGUCUCGGAGCUCCUUUCUAGAGGACCCGAGUGCUCGGUAUGUUCAGCGGCUUUUAGCAUAUAGCUACUCGGGCAGAAAGAACAGCUUCGGUAUUAUCUCUCGGCCGGAGCUCUUCUUCCUUUGGUGUAUGAAGAAUGGGUUCAAGGUCAAUUUGGGUUGUUGGUUGGCGGCACAGUUCAAGACCGUCAUGGCAAAGAAGAACAAGCCGUUGAUUCUUGGGUCGUAUAUCACGUACUUGGCGGUCCAGCUAGGCGUUCUGAAUCUACAGGAUCACGAUUUGCACUUGGCCUGCGACAUGGAGUAUCUCACUGCUGACCGGCUAGAGAAGAUGGGGGUUCUGGAGCUUGUCGAUGGCCACUACCGAUUUGUGCCCCCGGGACCGCCCCGCGCCCCGCCUCGCUCUUCCUCCACCCAUUCGGCCCCAGUUGGCGGUGAUCCUGGCCCGUCGACAUCCGCUCAGCUCCCUCCACCAGCAGGGGCUGAAGAUUGGCACCAAAUCAGGACGCAGAUUCAGAAUUUGGACGCCCGGAUGAUUAGCAUCGAGAGCAACGUGGCGGCUAUAUCACAGAAUCUGGCGGCAUUCCUGCAGCACUCGGGUUUCCCGCCCCCAAUCCCACCUCACCCUCCACUAUGACCCGGUUUCAGGGAAGUUUGGUUACUUUCUCCCUCACUUUUGUUGUUUUUUGACACAUUGAGGACAAUGUGUCCUAUAGGUGUGGGGGGGUCUAUAGUCUUUCUAGUUUUUAGUAGUUGUUAGUUUUUAGUUUUUUAGUAGUUUUAGUUUUAUUUCUAGUUGCGUAUUUUCUUUCUUUUCUUAGUGCUUAUUCCCCAUGUGAAAAGAAAAAGAAAACAAAAAAAAAGAGAAAAAAAUGUUGGUUUAUUGACUCUAACUCUACUUUUGCCAAGUUUUUUUUAAAUAAAAAUGUAUCGGGUUAAUGUGGUUGGAUCCAGAAUAUCUCCCUGGUGAAUAUCGGAUUGCUUGGCUCUUUUGAUUUCUGUGUUAAUUUCUCUAGGCAUAGGGAAUGACUGUUGGCAUUUUAAUGUGAACUGGUCCAAUAUUGACUCCAGUUCUCUAUGUUUGGCAAUAAUGAGGCGAGCUGUUCCUAUUUUUGGUUCUUAGUGUUGUUAUUAUGUGUUUUUGGCUUUGUUUGGCUGUGAAUAAUCUGGACUGUACUCCGCUAUGAGUUACUACUGAGUAACCGAGGAUCGGCACCUAAAAGUGUCGAUUCUCGCGUCAAAAGGUGGUACUUUAUAUGAGUACGUGGUCGUAUAGCAGUAGGAGCUGAGUAACCGGGCUCCUUCAUCUAAAAAUGUUGGAGUUCGCGUCAAAAGGCCCCGACGGCUAACGACUAAGUCUUUUUGUGUUAAUUAUUAUUGCUUUGAAAAACAAAAAAAAAAAAGAACGAAAAAAGAGAGAAUAAAUAAUAGGAAGGCUUGCCGGUUUAUGGACUUAAUAUGGAGACUUGUGUGAAUAUUUGGACCAUUAGCUAAUAAAUGUUGUGCGCCAUUCCCUUUUCUUAGAGUAGUUAACCUGGAAAUUGAAGGAAUUUGCAGUUUAGGGGCUAACCGGGGGGGAGGCUUCUUGGAUUUUAAUCACCAAUGCUCGAUAUAUGUUUUUCUCUUGAAGAUCUUGGCAAUAUAGGAGAUUGGACAAUGGCCAUCAUCGAAUUUUGGUGUUCGUUUACUAUUCUUAUGCUUGAGGACAAGCAUGGUUUAGGUGUAGGGGGAAUUGAUAGGGUGUAAUUUUACUAUUUAUUUUAUUAUUAAUUUCUCCUAUCACCUGACCUGAUGUGGAUUAAUUGCUGGAUUCUGCUCACUUUUAGUACUUUGUAUUUAUUUCAGGGAGUAGAACGGAAAUUUGAUAACAGGUGCUAAUUUGGCAGAAAAAAGUCCAGAUGAUAGAGCUUGCCCCAAGGGCAUUUUUGGAAAGGAGAACUUGUGCCCAUCUUGGUAAUUUGGGAGAAAAGGGAAACAGACAAAAUGGGUCUAACAUGGAUUGGAAGCGGCCGCACAGUAGCAGGGAAGAGGGCAGACGUAAAAGCAAUUGCAGGGGGGAAAAGGAGUUUUUUUAGUUUUUAGCUUAGCAUCUGAUUUUCCCUGGGAGACUUUUGUUAAAGAUUUCCUUUUGGCUGAUAUUACGCAUGGCAGAUGGCUUUUAACUUAUUCCUCCAUCUUUGACUUUUCUUCUUUAGCUUGUAGUAGUGGAUUGCUACUUACGAAUGUCAGCACUUAGCCAUUCGUGGCUUUUGAUCUUUUCUUCCUUAGAAAUUCUGAGUAGCCUCUUUUCCUUUGUGCGCCAGACGAAGUGAAAACUAUAAACUUUUGUAGUGUUUCUAUUCAUUCAAUAUAUUGAGACGAGUUGGAUUCUACCAAAUUUCAAUGGACAUGGCCGCUGGUUUCUCUUCAAUUUUAUAUGGGCUUUGUUCAUCGAACAUGAACUAAUUUCACCACUCUAGUCAAGGAACAACGAAGACUCUGGUUCGCCUAAAAAUUGUGAGAUCGUUUUAAUUUAAUCUUUUCCUUUUAUUUAUUGGUAUCCGCACAUUUCUUGAUUGCUAUGCUUAUGGUUAUUUAAUUAAUUGAUUGUCUUGGAUCCAGAUAAUUAAUUGAUCUGAUAGCCUAUUGUCAAUUAGGGCAUUUAAAUCCGUAAUUGUUUAAUUGUCCUGAAAUAGUGACAACUGGCACGAUUAGAUUCGUGCCAGGGGGGAUAUGCGGGCUAAUCUAAAAUAACCCUGGUAGUGUGUUAUUUGGUUAGAAUAGGGCUCCUCUAAUAUGUAAGGCAAUUGGGGAAUUAAAUUCUACGGGCGUACCUAGAAUUAUUUCUUAAUUAGAGUAGUGAUUAACGGGCGUACCUUGAUCACCGACACAGUAAGGAGGGGUUGACUGCCAUCGCUUGUUUGGCAGUUAUAACAUAUUUAUCAGUAAAUAAUUGGGAUUGCCUUGCAUCAAUGAUCAAUUAGAUGAACUAUUGCUGAAGUUACUUCUUGGCUAGAUCUUUAGUUAAUAUUACCUUGAUUUUGGUGAAUUGCCAUUUGAUUUUUAGUUGCCUACUUUAUUUUAUUUUUAAUUGUUUCCUUGCUUUAAUUGAGUUAGGCCUUUAAUUAUUGUUAUUCUAAGUUUAGUGAAUUGUGGUUUAAUUCCUAAUUAGUUAUUUAUUUUUACUUUCUUAUUUGAAUUUAUUUGCUUGUUAUCAUUCCUACGAAAUCACCCCCCUGUGUUACUUUGGAUUUCUUAAGAAACAAAUAUACCCAGUCCCUGUGGAUACGACCCUACUUGCCCUGUCCACGAAUUCAUAAUUAUUUGUGAAAAGAAAUAACCAUUCCACUCGGGUAUAUCGGAUCAAGCAAACUCUUCGGGAACAGGGUGAAUCAAGUAACCCAUUGCACACCUAAAAUCCCUGCUCCAGUACUUGGAAUUGGGUUUUGGUCAUUUUAACUGGCAAUUAAGUUUAAUUUUAUUAUUGCACAGGCUGACGACCCUGUCAUUGUAUUUGUACCAAAAGUGAAAACUUAACUAUUUUAGUUGUAUUUAUUUCAUCAUGUUGGAUUGUAUUCAAAUAAUUUUUGUUUGAUUGUUUUUAUAAGUUUCAAUUGUAAAAUUAAAAUGAAUAAUAACUUGAUGAUGUGUUGAUAUUUUAGUACUUGAUUAUUUAUUAAAAUUUAAUUAUAAUAAAAUUUUAUUAACUCAACGAGAAAAAUUUUAUUAAUCCCGUGGGGGCACCCGCGGGGAAAGCGGGGCGGGGCGAGGGGAGUGGGAGGCGGAGGACGGGGCGGGGGCGGGGGAUGGGGGAGGGGUCCCCCGCCCCAACCCCGCCAUCCCCCGUCCCGUUGUCAUCCCUAGUAAUAGACUGGCAAGCAUUGUGGUGGUCAUUGAGCAACUUAUAGGAGAAAUAGUCCUAUAAGCUGUUCAAUGACCAAUCACAACUUGCUAAUUGGAUGACUAAUAUAGCUCUAGCUGUAAUGUUUUAAUUAAAUUACAUCACUAACGUUGGGAUGACUUUUUAACCAAAAAAAAAAAGCCUUAGUUCAAGCUUUUCCCUUUAUUGUGCAUUUUUUAAAGCAUUUGAAAGGCACUGCAAAUCUGUCAUUUUGGACAUUUUAUUAUUGACUAACAAUGAAAGCCGUGGACGUCUACCCAUAACCAACACAAGAUUAAAUUAAUAUUAGAAAAAAUAAUUGAGUAAUUGGAAAAAAAAAAAAAAGAAGAGUCUAAUUUUCAUUGAAACCCACCGACAAACUAUACGUGUCCAUGGCUUUUGAAUAGUGCAUUCAACGUUUAAUUGUAUGGUCCAGUUCAUUGCAGAUUACAUGGAGUAAAGAUUGCGCUCUUUCCUUUUCACCCCUUUUGGAAUCGAUACUGUGGAGAAUUGGGUUUUUCCCUCCUUUUUUUCUUUUCUUUCCUUCUGUGGUUUGCAAAACAUACGUAAAAAUAUGAAAUCCGAAGCAUUCUUUAAUUGGUAUUAAGUAUUGUUGUUGAAAUUAAAAAGAAAAAAGAAAGAACAACAAAAUUCCCAAUCUGGGUUGAUUGUUGAGCUCUAGAUUGGUUGCAUCGUGCUUCCAUAGAAGCAAGAUUUGUAAAAUCGGAAUCCUACAUAGGAUCGAUUUUAGUUUCACAGGAUCGGAUUGUAAAAUCGUAAGAUCCUACCAAAAGCUCUCAAUUGCAAUUAAAGGUUGCAAUUCUUUAAUAAAUUACAAAUAUACCACAAAUAUUUUCAUUUACUUGCAAAAUGGAGCUUCGUAUUUCACAAAUUUACAAAAAAAUUGUAGGAUCGUACGAUCCUACCGAUCCUACGAUCCUACACGAUCCUACCGAUCCUGCUACGAUUCUAUGCGAUCCUACAAAGAUUAAUAUGAUUUGCGACUCUGCAUACGAUCCGGAUCGAUUUUGGUUAUCCGGAUCGUAGGAUCGUAUGAUCCUACGAUCCGGAUCGCGAUUUUGACAACUAUGCAUAGAAGCUCUCUUAGUGUGAUACACUGCUUUCAAUCAGUUUAACACGGGAAAAAAAAAAAGAGAUGAAAAGCAAAUUUGGUGGAGAUAAUUUCAGAAACCUCCCCUGAAGAUUUUGACUAUUCUACUGGUUUCCCUUCAGAUUUUAAAAAUUACACUAAUCUUCCUUGAAGUUAAUUAUCUUGUAACAUUUAAAUUCAAUCAAUAAUUUAAAAAAUGAUAUUAUGAGAGAGAAAAUAAUAUGAUUUUAUCAUUGCCCCCCAUCUUACUACAUUAUUUAAUUAAUUUAAUAGCAACCCACACAUUAAAGAAAAAUAUUAAAAUUUGUUGUUUAUCAUUAAAGAUCAAAUCGCUUAUAACAUCAAAUAAUAGUAUAUUAUUUAUAUUUUUCACUUAAUAUAAUAUCCAAAUUACUCUUUUCAAUUACAUACCCAUUGUUAGAGAAUCAACAACAAAUAACCAAAAAAUUUGCAACCAAAAUAUUACAAAAAAAAUAAACUUUAACAUCAUAAAUAUUCUUAUCAACAUAUUAAAGUUAGUUACUGAAAUUUUUAUGCUGUUAAACUUCACUCUUUUUGAAUACAGAUUUUUUUGAUUAUUUGUUAUUAAUUAUGUUUGAUGAUGGGUUUAUAAUUGAAAAGAACAAUUUGAAACUUACAUUAAGUAAAAUAUAUAGAGUGAUAUACUAUUUUUUAUAACAUAUGUGAUUCAAUCCUUCUUGAUAGGAUUGGUAAUAGAGGUAGAGGGGGGAGUCGGCUGCAUCCGGUCUUCUUUUCAUAGAUAGUACAAUAUUGCGAAAUCAAUCGCAUUCACACAAUAAUAUUUCGAAGUCAAUGCAUGGCUAAGUUGCAUAAAAGUACGAACACUUGUUAUUAUAUAGCUUAAGAUUCAAAACUUUCGAGCAUAACCCUCCACCCAACACAAUUGAAUAAUGAAUAUUCACGAUUGUCAAAUCUGUCAAAGCACAGUUUGAGGACAACCCAUUCCAACCUGCAAAAGAUUUUUUACUUUUCUAAAGUUGUUGAGAGCUGUAAAAAGACUUACCAUGCUUGCAUCCUCCGAGCCUUGGGAGUUAAAAAUGAAGGCACUGAGUGCUAUAAAAAGGGGAAUAGAGGCUGCCUAGAAGCAUAUCAGCCUAAAACAAGAAUUUGUAGUUAAGAUGGGAAGCAAAGCAAAAGCAAUGGGGUCUGGGCUGACUCCUCUUCUUGCCACUGUUUUAGUGGUGUUUGUUGCUCUUGGCUUGCCCUCACAAACUGCAGCUGAUGAUCACUACAAGUAUUCAUCUCCUCCUCCUCCUUACCACUAUCCCUCACCACCACCACCAGUGCAUAUACCUCCACCUCAUCCUGUUUACAAGUACAAAUCUCCACCACCCCCACCACCACACCCAGUUUACAAGUAUAAGUCACCACCACCACCUCCUCAUCCGGUAUACAAGUAUAAGUCUCCUCCGCCACCACCACACCCAGUUUACAAGUACAAGUCACCACCACCACCUCCUCAUCCGGUACCACACCCAGUUUACAAGUAUAAGUCACCUCCACCACCUCCUCAUCCGGUACCCACAGUUUACAAGUAUAAGUCACCACCACCACCUCCUCAUCCGGUAUACAAGUAUAAGUCUCCUCCGCCACCACCACACCCAGUUUACAAGUAUAAGUCACCACCACCACCUCCUCAUCCGGUGCCACACCCAGUUUACCACUACAAGUCACCACCACCACCUCCUCAUCCGGUACCACACCCAGUUUACCACUACAAGUCACCACCACCUCCUCACCCAGUUUACAAAUACGAGUCUCCACCACCACCAGUUUAUAAGUACAAGUCACCACCACCUCCUCCACCAGUUUACAAGUAUAAAUCUCCUCCACCACCACCACCAGUUUACCACUACAAGUCUCCACCACCUCCUCCCCCAGUUUACAAAUACAAGUCUCCACCACCUCCUCACCACUACUAAGCAAUUGCUUCUGAGGUAAUAACACUUGUUCAAUAUACCCACUUCUGCAUGAUAAAGCAUAUCUCUAUCAACACAAACUGUCAUGUCUAUCAUGCUAAGUGCCUUCACUUCAUCCACCAAAAUGACUGCUAGAAAAUUUUUUUUAUGUUACCAAAGAAAGGCAUCAUUUUUUCCCUCUGUUAUCAAGAACUUGUACAGUAUAUAGAUUAAAGAGUAUUUUUUUAACUAGCUUAUCAACUGAGAAAUGCAUAUAGCUGAUAGCCAGCUGAAUAUUUGCAGGCAAAGGAGAAGGAAACCAUGUUUGAGACCUUCUUGAAGAUGUAGAAGCAUAAGAAUAAAAGCCCAAUGUGAAGAUGAUGAUUUCAAGUUUUUCUACGUUACCAUUUCUUUAUCUAAAUUGGUUGUAGCGCCCAAGUUCCUUUGUUUAUGGGAUUUGUAUCGUUUUACGUACCAUGCAGUACAUGUCAUGUUUGUAAGGUUUUCUAUCCUGCCGGCAAACCGCAGGUUCCAUGUGAUAAAUGAAUACUAUUUAUGUUACGACACUUUUCUCUGUUUCUCUUAUAUUUUGUCUUUAAUAUUCUUAAUCAUAUUUUUAACAAAAAUAUUCAAACACUUAGGCAAUCUGGUCUAAUGCUAAUUGUAUGUUUUACUUUUCUUUUUCACCUGCUCCCCUUUUCAACUCAAAAGGAUGCAAUAGUUUGUGAUCACUGUUUAAGACGGAAGCAUGAUACUAAUGAAUAUCUCAUUGAAACUCAAGGAAACUAACAUUGCGAAAAGUGUAAAUCUUGAUUUGAUGCAACUAUUUAUUCGUGGAAUCUAUAGUUACAAAACUCAAAUUCUGACUGCGCCAUUGAUAAAUUAUUAAUGACGCUAUCAUCAUUAUUUAUCCCUAACUAGUUUCGACUACAACUGAACCCAAUAUUUUCCCCAUGAUAAAAGUUUUUGACUAUUUUACUGGCCUCUCUUCAAAUUUUAAAAAUUACACUAAUCUUCAUUGAGAUUAAUUAUCUUGUAACAUUUAAGUCCAAUUAAUAAUUAAAAAAUGAUAUUAUGAGAGAGAAAAUAAUAUAAUUUUAUCAUUGCCCCCCAUCUUGCUAUAUUAUUUAAUUAAUUUAAUAGCAACCCACACAUUAAAGAAAAAUACUAAAAUUUGCUGCUUUUCAUUAAAGAUCAAAUUGCAUAUGCCAUAAAACAUAGUAUAUCAUUCUAUAUGUUUCACUUAAUGUAAGAUCCCAAUUGUUCUUUUCAAUUACAAACCCAUUGUCAAACAUGAUCAAUAACAAAUAAUCAAAAAAUUUGCAACCAAAAUAUUACAAAAAAAAACUUUAACAUCAUAAAUAUUCUUACCACCUCUAGUGCAUUCACCCUCAUAAAAUAAUUCAAGACCCUACUGUCAUAAAAUGACUGAUCAACUCCUGUAAACCUAAUUUGACAACAUUUAAAUGGAGAACUUUAGCUAAAAGAAUUAUGGUCAAGCUAAAGAAAAAACCAGUUAUUUUCCAACAUAUGCAACCAUUGAUCAGGGGAAAAAAAAAAGCAAAAAGACAUCUUCAAUCAUUUAAUAGCUUACAGGGCAAAUUAACCCUUGAGUGAAAACUGGUUGCUCUAGAAUUAAAAUUUUACCUUAGUUACCCAGGCAACUUUUUUGUUGCCUUUUCUUUUUCUUUUUUGGGUAUAUAGCUCCAGUUUUGCCCCCUCUGUCAAGCUUAUAUAAUUAUUAAGAUAAUAAAAGUGCCUUUAAUAGUAUUAAUAUAUCCAUUGACUUGAGCUGUCAUCGAUCGGUUUGGGCUACUUCGAUUCCAUGAGAACAAAUGGUAAUAAAAGUACUCAGAAAAUGGGGAGUCAUGAAACCCUUUUGUUCUAUUCAUUGCUAAGAUGCUUUUCUCUAUAAAGAGACUUCCUAACGAAAAUACUUUGUAGAUUUCUUUACUCCAAGUGGUGCAUGGAAAAUUAAUAUUUUCAAUUAUCAAAUAAAAUUCCCUUUUUUCGGCGUAGAUUUCAUCCAUCCAGCUGUUAACACAUUCUAUAAAUCCGAAUUGACUAAUCUUUUCGUUUCCAUUUUCCAACUUGCGAAUACGGCAUAUAGUGUCUGCUAAACACUAUAUAUUCUCUGCCAAAUAUGAAUACAUAUCACUUUUCUGAGCAAGUGCAGAGUCAUUAUCAUUUUUAUUCCCACCUAACAAAUUAGGGAUAAAAAAGUUAAUAAUCUUUACAUGCUAUCAGGUCACAAGUUAAUAAUCUUUUAAAGAACAUGUUAAAUUAAUUUAUUGGUAUGAAUAGUAGUCAAAGAAGUAUGUUAAAGUUAGUAAUCUUUAAAAUAAUAUGUUAAAAUCAUUCGUACAAAUUAGUCAGAGAAGUAGCAUAAACACCGCGAUGCAAUUAAUACUUUCAAUCUCAAGGUCUCUAUUAUGGAAAUUUGCAUCGGUCAAUAUACACUUGGCAUAAUAUAAUCUCCCAACUCAUUUCUUUACAAAUGCACCUUUAAUCACCACCAAAAGGUGUGGACAUGAUCUUUACCCUAGAAAACUAUUCACCGACAGGCAAAUUGACGUCAGAAAUACUGAGGAAUUCUAGUUUCCUUCGGGUUCAUGCCAUGUUGUAUCCUUCAACUGUAACUCGAUUUCUAAGCUGUAAUUUGUGACAUAAUAGUCCUUAAACUAUGAAACCCUUCUUACUUAAUUACAAUGGUUAAUACAAUGCCCGUGACUAGACAAGUAUGAAGCAACCAUAACAGAAAAAAAAUCCAAAAUUAGAGAAAAGAAAGAAGUUUCGCGACCACCACCAGUUUACAAGUCACCUCCACCACCUCCUCCAGUUUACAAGUCACCUCCACCACCUUACCAUUAUUCCUCACCACCACCUCCAGUGCAUUCACCCCCACCACCACCAGUUUACAAGUCUCCGCCACCACCUUACCAUUAUUCCUCACCACCACCUCCUGUGCAUGCACCUCCACCACCAAUUUACAAGUCACCUCCUCCAGUUUACAAGUCUCCACCACCACCUUACGAUUAUUCCUCACCACCACCUCCAGUGCAUUCACCCCCACCACCACCAAUUUAUAAGUCUCCCCCACCGCCUCCCCCAGUAUAUAAGUCACCACCACCACCUCCUCCAGUAUACAAAUCACCUCCACCACCUCCUCCAGUUGACAAAUCUCCACCACCACCAAUUUAUAAAUACAAGUCUCCUCCACUACCUCCUCCAGUGUACAAGUCAUCACCACCACCUGCUUACAAGUCUCCACCUCCUCCAGUUUACAGUUCCCCACCACCACCAAUCUACAAGUCUCCACCUCCACCCUACCAUUACUACUACAAUUCUCCUCCUCCUCCUCGUCACUACUAAGCAAUUGUAUCCAAGUUUUUGAGGUAAUAACGCUUAACCAAUAAAUUAACUUUCGCAUGAUAAACCUUAUCUCUAUCAAGACAAACUGCCAUGUGUAUCAUGCCAAAUACGUACACCUAGAUCCAUGAAAAUGAAUGGUAGAAAGUUUUCUUAAGAACCAAGAACAGCAUUAGUAUUCCCUCUGCUUCCAAAAACUUGUGUAUUAAAUAGAUUAAUGAAUUGUUUAACAUGCUCAUCUACUUGAAAAUGCACAAUACCCAUAACCCACUGAAAUUUUUGCAGGAAAAGGGAAAGAGAAUCUGUGUUUGAGAGCUUCAUGAAGAUGUUGAAGAAUAAGAAUAAAAGCCCAAUGCAAGGAUGUUUUCAAGUUUUUCUAUGUUUCCACUUUAAUUUGUAAAUUGAAUUUUGCGACUCAAUUAAUUCCCUGUUUGUGAGGUACGUAUUGUUUUACGUACCAUGCCGUACAUUUUUUUUUUCCAACAAACGGUAUCAUGUUAUAGAUAUUAACACUUGACCUUACAAGGAUUAGUUACAAAAAGGGGAUACUACCCUCAACUCUGUCCUAGCUAAAUCAGUCAGCCAUAUUGGGAAAUUAGUUUCCCAUUCAAUAUCAUGUACAAGCUUCACAGCAUAUUGUGCUAAUUGAUGGCUGAUGUGAUUUUCAGUUCUAGGUAUAAACACAAAAGAACAUUUUUCAAAAGCUAGACUAAGUUCCUGCACAUCUUCUAAGAUAGUUGCAGUCGUGUAGUCAUACUCCUUGCGUUUAGUAAUCUGCUCUACCACUGAUUUGCAGUCUGUAUGGACUAUAAUUUGUGUCCAACCUGCUUGGGUAGCCAUCAGCAGAGCAUUUCUCACAGCCCGAGCUUCCACUUCACUUGCCGAUCCCUUUCCCUGUGUGACAAUUCCUUUUGCUUUCAAAAGCUGUCCUUUCCAAUUUCUUGCUAUAAUCCCUUGUCCGGUCCUGACUCGUUUAGCUGAUAUCGCUGCAUCGGUAUACAGCCUUAUCUCUUCCUUCCUUGGCCGCACUCUCCUGGUAGGUAAGGCAUCAUUCAGCUUCCCUGCGAUCUCCUUCUGGUCUGUACUCCCUACCUGUUCAAACUCAAGCCAUUCCUCCUGUGCUUUCCUUACUAUUUUUACUGGAUCCUGGUUGGCUUGUUCAAAAAAUUUUUUGUUCCUGGCUUUCCAAAUUUGCCAAAGGAUAUUGAUAGUAAGACUAACUCUCUCCUGACCUUGGUUCAGUGCCAGCGAUUGUGUGACUUGUUCCCACCAUAACCAAAAGUUAUAUUGCAUACCCAGUAAUCCAUCCCACCUGACCGGUGCUAGCUUCCACGUUUCCACAGCCUUUUCACAGAAGAAAAACAAAUGCUCAAUAGUUUCCAUAUCUUCACCACAGCAACCACAUCUGCCUUCCCCUCUAUGUAGCCUUUUCGACAUCUGUUCAUUGACUGGCAGACAAUUUUGUAAGCACUUCCACAUGAAGUGUUUUAGUUUGGCCUUCACCUUCAAAUGCCAUAGCUGCUUCCACACAUUUCGUUUUCGUAUCUCCCAACUUGUUUCUGCCUCUUGGCCUGUCCUUGUACCUGCUUUUCCUUCCCGUUGCCUUGCUAAAGCAUAACCAGAUUUCACGCUAUAAAUUCCAGCUUUGGAAUGCCCCCAUACCAACCUAUCCUUUCUUCUUCCUAUACUUGUUGGAAUUCCCUUUAUGUGCUCUGCAUCUUUUGCACAAAACCACUUGAGAAGCAAAUCAUUUUUCCAUUUCCCUUCCUCUAUCAGCUCACUUACCCAUUCCAACUUGCAUCCCACAGGUUGUGUGGUUGAUGCAAAGCCGGUAUCUGAACCAACUAUCCAUCUGUCCCGCCACAUGUUGACUGACUUGCCAUCUCCAAUUCUUUUCCAAAGACCAUCAUACAGAAAGGAGGCUGCACUAUGAAUACUCUUCCAACACCAUGAGGCUGAAGAGACUGGCUUCUUGUCCAUCCAUUUUUCAUCACUCAUAUACUUCGCCUUCAUUACCUUACUUACUAACAAAUUUGGAGCCAUUAAGAAUCUCCAAAUUUGUUUUGCCAGUAAUGCUGUGUUGAAGGCCUCCAAAUCUCUAAAGCCUAAACCUCCUCUUCCCUUAACUUCUAAGAGCUUCUUCCAGCUUGCCCAAUGUACACAGGUACCCUUUUCUCCCUUCCCCCACCAGAAACUCGCUAUUUUACCUGUGAUUUGUCUACACAAACCCCUUGGAAGUCUAAAGCAAGCCAUCACAUAUGUUGGCAUAGCCAUAAUCACUGAUUUGACCAGAAUUUCUUUCCCUCCUUGGCUCAACAGUUUUUGUUUCCAACCUUGCAACUUGUUACUAAUUUUGUUCUGGACAAAUGCAAAGACCUGUGUCUUUGAUCUUCCAAUUGCCAUUGGGAGUCCUAGGUAGGUUCCAUUCCUUGCCUCUUUAAUGUUAUCUAAUACCUCCCUCACUCCAUUCUUCCUUUGAUCAGUGGUAUUUUUGCUAUAGAAGAUAGCUGACUUUUCAAAAUUCACCACCUGUCCGGAUGCUUGACCAUAUCUUUCCAAUAUGCUUUUGACCUUCCUCGCCUCCUGCUUGGUUGCUUGGCAGCAUAGUAGAGAAUCAUCUGCAAAAAAUAGGUGAGAAACCAUCGGACUGUCCUUGCAUAUUUUGAUCCCUGUAAUUUCCUUGUUCAUCAUAGCUUUAUGGAUCAAACAUGAAAGACCUUCAGCGCAUAUAAUAAACAAGUACGGGGAUAGGGGGUCUCCUUGUCUAAGCCCUCUACUCGGUUGAACACAGCCUACCUUUUGCCCAUUUAAGUUGAAGGAGUAAGUCACAGUAGAUAGGCAAGACAUGAUCCAUUUAACAAAAAUUGGACAAAACCCCAUUUUCAUCAUAACUCUCCCCACAUAUUUCCAUUCGACUCUAUCGUAAGCUUUGGACAUGUCCAGUUUAAGAGCCAUAAAUCCUACCCUUCCCUUUCUCCUAUUUUUCAAAAAAUGCAGGAUUUCAUGUGCAACUACUACAUUAUCAAGAAUUUGACGGCCUGGGAUAAAAGCGGAUUGAGAGGGACUAAUACAAUGAUGCAAGACACCUUUCAAUCUAUUAGCUAUGAUUUUAGAAAUGAUUUUAUACAGGACAUUGCACAAGCUAAUAGGUCUAAAAUGCACCACAGAUUCAGGAGUAUCAACUUUAGGAAUCAACGAAAUAAUAGUAUCAUUCACAGCUUUGAGCAAAUGCCCAGUAUGAAAGAAACUCUUAAUAGCUGCUACCACAUCAUCCUUGAUAAUAUCCCAAUAGUGUUGAAAAAAUAGAGGAGACAUACCAUCCGUUCCUGGUGCUUUAUUAGGGUGCAUCGAGAACAAAGCUUUCCUGAUCUCACUUUCCUCCACUUGUCGUAUCAGUUGUCCAUUCAUAUGACUCGAAAUAGUGCUUGGAAUUUCAGCUAGAAUGUCCUCAAAGCAGUCCGGGUUAGUAGUGGUAAAAAGGUCUUUAUAGUACUCACAAAGUUCCUCCUCAAUCUCAUGUUCCUCCUUGCACCAUGUCCCAUCUUUUUUCUGCAAUAUAGUGAUCUUAUUUCUCCUCCUCUUUGCCAUGACCGAAGAAUGGAAAAAAGCUGUAUUCUUGUCCCCUUCUUUGAGCCACUUGUUCCUGGAUUUUUGACUCCAAAACAUCUCUUCCUCUGCAUAAGCUUUAUUCAAUUGUGCUUUUAGUUCAGCCACUUGUACUCUUUUCCCUUCAUCCUUUCUUGCUUUCACUUCAGCCAAUUUCUCCUUUAACACUUUAAUUCUAACCUUUGAGUUUCCCUGCACCUUUUUCCUCCAAUCCAGAAUAGCCAUGCGACAUUCCUUUAUUUUUGUAGCCACUCUAAACAUCCUGGACCCUGACUUCACCUUUGUCCAUGCUCCUUGAAUCACCCUUUUUGCUUCUGGAUUUAGCGUCCAUCGUUGAUCAAAGUAAAAUCUCCGUUUUCUCCUUGUGUUUUCCGGGUUUGUAUCCACAAGAAGCAUUAGAUGAUCAGAGGCUUCAGUAUCUAAAUGAGUACACUGUGCCUUUUCAAAUCUUUGCAGCCAUUCGGUGCUGCAUAAACAUCUAUCCAACCUCUCUUUCACUUCCCCAUCCCCCUCCCAACUAUUGCACCAAAUCCACGGGACCCCUUGAUAACCUAAGUCAACCAGGUUAUUGUCUUUGAUAAACCUGUUGAACUCCCUAAAACAUCUUUCAGCUCUAUCCCUUCCUCCCCACUUCUCCUCACUAGACCUCAAAUCAUUAAAAUCUCCUACAAUGAUCCAGCCAUCCCCCCAGUCCCUCAUCCUGUCCUCUAAAUAUUUCCAUUGUGCUUUUCUAAUGUUACUAUCUGUGCUUGCAUAAACACACACUAGCCCCCAGUAUCCUUUAGUAUCCUUGUCCUCAACUCUAGCACUAAUACACCAAUCAGUACUUACAAUCUGGUCUAAAAUCACCUCAUUGUUCCAGAAUAAUGCUAGACCGCCUGCUUUACCUAUUGAAUUCACAAAAAAGCUAUUGUCAUACUGAAUCUUCCUUUGAACCUUGCCCAUAAACCCUUCCUGAUUCUUAGUUUCACAAAGGAACACCACCUUAGGAGAGUGGAAGUUAGUCACUUCCUUUAGUUGGGGACUUGUCAAGGGGCCUCCUACACCUCGACAAUUCCACACCACAACCUUCAUUUACACUUUGGAGGCUUUCCGGGGCUAGCCUCCAUUUCCCCUAUUGUACUAACAUUUAUUAGAUCCAGUUUCAUAACCUUUACCUUCGGUACAUUAUCAUCAUCCUCCUCUAUCGGUUGUGUUCCCUGAAACAUACCAUCAGCCUUCCUUUUAGCACACGAAACCUGCGUUACUUGUCCAUUUGUAUCUGCCUUUAAGGAUGUUUUAGCCGGCCUCCCUCUUCUUUUAAAACUGCUUCUUUUUUCAGCUUUGUUAUCUUCUUCCCCUGGAGUAGCCUCCUUUCUUGGCAUUCUUGCAUUUGUCUCCUCCUGCUUUAUUGACCCUACCCGCAAACUUUCACAUUCCUGUUUUGAGCUGUCCGUUUCCAUAUCCUCAUAAUCUACUGGUGGGAUUACGCUGCUCCCUCCUUUACUCCCUUCCUGUACCCUACCCUCCUUUUCACCAUUUCCCUCCAUUAAGACCACAGCCAAACUUUCCACCCGUUGGUUUGCCUUUCCAUACUGCCUGCUGUCUUUUAGAAUCUCAUCCCACCUCUCUUCAUAUUGUCUCGUCAUCAUUUUCUCCUUAUCCCCCCUUUCCUUUCCCCCCAAGACUCUACCAUUUUUUCCCCCAAGAGUUAAUGUAUCUCCAGCCAUUUGUACUCCAGUUUGAACUUCACUACUAGGAGACCCUGCCCCCACCCUCCUUGCAUCAAUUUCACUUACUCCUUCCAGCCGUCCCUUUAAGGGAGAUACCAUUAUAUUUCCAGCUCUCAUCCAGGCACCAUAUUGUUCCUCUCGCUUCUCCCCCCCACCCUUCCUACCACAGUACAAGUCCUAUCACUAUGCCCAAUGAUACCACACCUAUAACAGAAAUCAGGGCAGCGUUCAUACCUGAACUCAACCCACACUGCCUGGUUCUUACAGUUGAUCUUUGUCCCUCUAACCAGUGGUUUCGUUAUAUCUACCUCAGCCAUAAUCUUCAUGUGGCGACCCUCUUUCCCACCACUUCCUGGGAGAAUCACUCCCCUCACUGAUUUAAAGAUCCCUCCUAUUUUCAAACCCACUGCUCUGCUCAACCAGUGCACCGGUAGGUUCCAUAGUUGAAUCCAAAGAAAGGAAUGCUGGAAAAAGCUGCUGUUUGUAUCAUACCCCUCUACCCACUCCUUCACUAUCAGCAACUGGUUGUCCAUGACCCAAGGCCCUCCAGAUAAGAUCUUUUUCUUUUCCCCUUCAUCUCCCAGAUGGAAAUGGAAUAAGUUAGGACCUAACUCAGUCACUUUCAUCUUUGAGGGGUAUCCCCAUGCAUGAUUUGUAAAGUUCUUUAACCCCGUAAAGUUGGCAAUUUUUUCACCAAUCAGCUUUCCUACCAGGCUUCCUUGACACUCAGAGACGCCUUCUUCCAGGUCCUCACCACUCAGAUCGACACCUCCUAACUCUGUUUCAGACAAGUCAAAAUUUUGAAAGGCUCUUUCUAAAGCAUCCGCCAUUGCUGUGACGAGAGCUCCUUGAGAAACCAAGCACUAUUUCUGAGCUAUGAGUGACCCACUGACAGACCUGUGAAGAAUUGCAAAGACAGACAAAGCUGUGUUAUCCGUACACACUAAAAACCAACCAGAAAAACAGAGAGGAACUCGACAGAAAAAGCACAGGCACAAGAAGAAACGAAAGAAAAAAGAAAAACCAACAAACCACUAUCCCACUCCCGACCACAUAACAGCAUUAAAGAAAGGGACACAAAUACGACACUCCAACUUCCGAUCACAUGCUCUGACUCAAUGGAUCAUAUCUUGCCCAAAGCGUUUACUCCUCCAACCGAUUCCAAACCACUACAGACAUUGUCUCCCAUUUUGAAGCCGGAAGAAAGGUGGCUUCUGGACAGGGAACAUGAAAGCAAAGGUUGAACUAAAGAUUUGAUUUUAGAUCUGAAAAUUACGCUGUAGGAAAAAGUGCUAUGUGUUUGUACCUCACCCACUCUCCCACACCGAGGAGGGGAACCUCUAAAGUUAGAGAGAGAAGCUCUCAAGUUAGAGAGAAGCUUUGGAAGUUAAUUACCAACGUACCAUGCCGUACAUGUUUGUAAGGAUUUCUAUCCUAUUGGCAAAAGUCGGUUCCAUACAAUUAAUCAAUUCAUUUCACUUCUAUUGGCUCUACUAUUUAUGCAUGUUACGACACUCUUUCCCUUAUAUUUUGCCUUUAAUAUUAUGAGUCAAUAGUAAUAAUGGGCCUUUUUCUUAAAAUUAUACUAUUAUACAUAGGUAGUUUGGUCUAACGCUAAAUUCAUGUUUGUCUUUCUUUUAUUCCCUUUACAUCUCAAAGUAUACUAUAGUUUGUAAUCAUUGUGGUGAUGAUAUUACCAGCUGGUACUUAUAGUUUAAGGCAGAGACAUGAUAUUAACAACUAUCUCAUUGAAACAUAAGUCAAAAUCAUGACAAGUGUGAGUCUUGGUUAAUGCACAAUUUGUUAGUGGAAUUUAUAUUUAUAAAACUCAAAAAAAAUUUUUGACAAUGCUAUUACUAAUUAAUUAAGGACUUCAUUGCUAUAAUUUAUCGCUUACUAAUUUAAACUAUAAAUGAUCUCAAUACUUUUCUCCAUGAUGUCGAUUUCUUUAGACUACGAAAGGGAAAAAUUAGUGACAUAUCCCUUACUGAUUACAACAUCAGCAAAAAUUAGUUAUAAACUUUUCCGGUGGUUUUAAAUCCCUCGGGCACUAAGGUUUUUUGCACAUCGAGUGAAUUAAGGAACAUAGGCAAUUCGUUCUGCAUACCAAGUCCUUGUUUAAGAUGCACGUACUAAAAUGCAUCCACUUCAUUAAUUUGGAAAAUUGCCAUAGUUUUUUUUAAGCAUUUUGAUUUUUUACAUGAUUCAAAAUUUUCUUAUUGGAUACAAUCACUUUGUGUCAAGAACACAUUUUCAAUCAUCUUUUUUAUCUUCUCAAUAAGAAAAUAAAAAUUUAUUCAUGCUUUUCUAACAUAUCCAAUCAUUGAUCUGAAAAAUAAAGAAUUAAAAAAAAAAGACAUUUUCAAUCAUUGCUUACGGGGCAACUUCCCCAUGUGAACCUCAUCAAACAAAGCCAAUAAUAUGAAGGAACAUCUAAAUACACUUUUGCCCUAAAGGCUGGUUGCCUUGGGGUCAAAAUUUAACCUUCGGGAGUAUAAUUACCCGCCAAAUUUAUUAUUUUUUUUAUGGGUAUAUAGUUCCAAUUUUGCCUCCUGUUAAGCUUAUAAAUAUAUUACGACCCAGAAAAUAAAGGAAUCUUGAAUAGUAACAUGUCCAUUGACUUGAGUUGUUAUCAAUUUGGCUACUUCGAUUCCAUGAGGCCAAUCCAAUUCACACUAGCUAGAGAAAAUGGUGAUAAAGGCACUUAGAAAUUUAUAUGUAAUAUUGAUUGGUAGUAACUGAUAAGUAUAUAUUUUACGUGUUUUAAAUAUGUUUUAUUAGUUAGUUUUGGUGUGUUUUAACUACUUUUAUAACUAAUUAACUAGGAAUCUAGUGAAAAUAUGCAUUUUGUGGUUUGAAGUGUAAAAAUUGUAUUUCUAUGGAUUUUAAUGGUGAAAACUUCAUGUUUUUGUAGGUUUAAUGAUUCAAUCAUCAAAUGACAUGAUUUGAGAAGAUAAUUAGAUGAUUGAUGAUGUUUUGAAGUGAUAAAAAGAGAAUACAAAGUGCAAGAGAGGAAAUGCAAUCAAGAAUAAAAGAAGAAAAUUUUUGUAGCUUUGACAUAUUGUCGUAUUUCGGCAAUAUAUUGAGCUACAAUGAUCGGAUUAAGGUGAUUCUUAAACCAUUUGAAGCUAAAAUAUAGAUCUACAUUUGGCAUGAAGGCAUCGAAACCCAUGUCAGUCAUUUUCCUUGUCAAAAUGUUGAAAUACAGAAGUGCAACUCUGUUCUCGAAAGCUAAAACAGAGCUCUGGCUAGUCGAGGGUAUUUUCAUCAUUUCUUAGUCCACAGAGCUCCAAAUGAGAUGAUUCUUAAGGCAUUAGAACCCUAACUCAAAGAGCUACAACUUUCAUAUUUUGUACAAGAGUUAGUUCGGCCUCUAUCAUUAAGAAAAUAGUAGUUGAAGUGGUGCCAAAUGCAUAGAAGUGAAAACGCGAGCUAUCAAUACUCGACCUGAAGUCGCGUAUUCCUGAGGUCAUGCAUUCUCUUCUAUUUUCUGCAACUUGCCCUGCUUUCACAUAACUUUUUCAUCUCAAUUCCAACUAUCAAUUUCGGCUAUAUCUGAUCAAGAAAAGUGUGGAAAGUUUGAAAGACAACUCAUAGGAGUUUCAAGAGUCAAAAAUUACAAUUAGAAACAACUCAUUUGGCUCUUGAAUCCUCUAUAAAUAGAGGCCUUUGAAGAACAUUUUCACAACUUUGGAAGGUUAGAGAAACUCCACAAAAACAUAGUCUUCACUAGAAUUUCCUUAGUUCAUUAGUUAGGGUAGUAUAGUAUAGUUAGUGUAGCUUUUCCUUCUUGUAUUUAUAGUUAGGUUUGAAUGAAGAUUCAGGAGCAAAGAUAGAGAGGUUGAUCUCAUGUGACAAGGGUGAUAUCUCUUCUACUACUUUCUCUUUUGUAUUUGAUUUCAUAUUUAACUAUACUACAAAUUUGGCUUUGUUUUUUUUUUUUUAUCAUGUUUAGUUAAAGUUUAUGCCUAGAGUAUGGAUGACCUUUUUAUAUCUUGUUUGUGAUAUUUAACUGGUUAUUUGAUGAUGUUAUUUUUGAGCAAGUUAUUUAUCACUUUUGCUUUUCUAAUCAUGAUUAACUGGCCAUUAGUUGUGAUUAUCUAAAAGUGUUAAGUUUGUAAUGAGAAUUGGAGUUUAACACUAGUUCAAGGAAGUGAUAAAUUUAGGGAGUUCACUCAUGAGAGUAGAGGAACACCUUUGUGACCUAAGUGACUUGUUUCAUAUAAUUUCAUAGAAAAAAUGAACUUGUAAUUAAUUUCAUAACCACGAGAGUAAGUAUGGUUUAGCUAUAUGUAUAGUUGAUUCACUACGAGAGUAGGUUUCACAUACAUUAGAAAAUUACAUCAUAACUAGUCAAGAUAAUAUCAUUCAUUUAAUCAGUAAUCUCAUUUGCAUGAGUAGUAAGGCAUUCCAUAUCUCUAGGAGGUUUUUAGUAUUAUUUUCAUUACUUUUAUGUUUAUGGUAGUCUAGAUAAUAAUGGAGUUCGAAAACUACUAGUAAUUGAAAAUUUUCCCUGUGGGAUCGACCUUUAAUACCCUAUACUCGCUCUCGACUCGUAUACUUGAGAAAAAUCACGUGUGCGGUAUUUAGAAUUUAUAAAUGUAAAACUUGACUGUAGAUGAACUAAUUGAUAUAUGUAUACCCCGCACUCGUCAGUAACCAGCUUGUAUUGAUCCCACUAUUGUGGAUAAUUGUGCUCUUAUGAAAAAAAAUUAUAAAAAAAUUAGCAAAAUUUAUGAUAACAAAUUAAAUUUAUUCAUACAAAUCAGUGAAAGAAGUAGAAUUUUAAAGUCCAUGAUGAAAUUAAUACUUUCAAGGGCUCUAUUAGGAAGACUUCACUUGUUGGUGAAACUACACUAGCACAGUUAUAUGCACAUUUACUGUUUUGGUAUCUAAUUUCCUUGCCUUAAGUUGGGUGCAGAUGUUUAUAUUACAAAUAGAUGGUAUCAUAAAAUUGUUGUAUUCACGUUUGUUCUUUUUUUUCUUCCUUAAGUUUUUUUCUUUAUUCUCGUGACUUCAAAAAUACGAACUCAAGAAAUUGGCUGCUUAAUCAAUAUGUCAUACAGGCUUCGCUAGUGAGGUAUAACUUCACAACUAGAGUCAAUAGAAAUUAUCAAAUGAUUUUUUAACAUCCAAAUUAAGCAAUAAAUUUUGUUUUCAUUUUAUGACAUAUAAUAGUACUACUUCAUGAGAGAUUUUAUAGUUUCUUUUAGGUAUCAUACCUACAAGUGAUAUUUGUCAUUGGAUAGUGACAGAAGUGUUAAUGAUUGUAAGAUUAAAUAUUGUUAAAUAUUGAAAUUUAAACUAUUUAUCUUUAUUGAAAGAUACAAGUUAAAGAAUCGUUCAAGGGGGCAAUUUUCCAUCUUGUCUUUUUGAAAAAACGCUAUCACAUUGUAUAGGCAUGAUAGGUUCAAAUUUGUCAUUAAAUUUAUGAUUGAUUUUCCUUUUAUUCAAGCCAAAUAUUGUUUUAAUUAUCAAAUUCUACUUAUAUUUGGUUAAUUGUACUAAUUGUAGGGCGGUAGAGCAAAAGUUGCUAAAAAUAGGCGAUUUUCUGCAAAUUGGUUGUCAAGGCUGAAGGAUUUGGGAUUCGCAUGUUCAAGGCCUGUUUCCAAGUUUGAUUCAAACUCUGGACAGUUUUAGAGGAAGAUUUGGAAGAUUUGAAAUUUCAUUAUUAGUUUUAUGGUUGAAUUAGGAAUCUUGGAAUAAUUUCUUUUGUGAUUUAUUUUUCUAUUUAGGAGACUAGUUGUUAUUUAGUAGUAGACUUCAAUUAGAAAACAAAGAGAAAAAGAAGGCCGGAAUCCCGCUUGAUUAAUACCUUGGCCAGGGAACAAUCUCGGUGGGGAGGACGGCCACUUAGCCUCUCAAUUCAUCUUGCUUUUCGUUAGUUUGAGAGGAAAACCAAUUGCAACUAGAUUCAAUGGAGUCUGGCAGAAUUUCUUCUAGGAUGCGUAGCUAAAUCCUCAAUUUUUAGUCGAAGGUCAAUUUGAAAAUUCGGUUCCAAAUAUCUGUGAAAUCGAAUUAUUUUACUUAUUUCUUUUAUUUAUUGGUAUUCGCACGUUUUCUGAUUUAACUUUUUAUGAUUGUUUUGUUAUUUGAAUGUCAAGGGUCCGAUAUUCGAAUUAACUUAAUAAUCUACUGCCAAAUUAACCGGUUAAAUCCGUAAUUGUUUGAUUGAUUAAUAUCAGUGGCGACUAGCGUGAUUGGUCCCAUGUUAGGAAAACGUCUGAUCUAAUUUAAACAAACCGUCGUAGCGUGUUUGUUGAUUAGGGUUGGGCUUUUCUAAUUCUUAAUUCAAUUGAGAAAUUAAAUCCCCCGGUCGUACCUAGGAUUAUUUUUUUGUUAGCGAAAUAGUUAAUGGUCGUACCUUGACUAUCGAAAAAGUAAGGAAGAGUUGAUUGUUUAUCGCGUGUACGACAACUAUAAUCAAUCUAUUAAUGAGUAAUUGAAUUAUCUUUGCAUCAGUAAUCAGUUGAAUGGACCGUGUCUGAAAAGUUGUACCUUUGGCUAGAGUCUUAUCUGUUGUUGAUUCAUUCAUAUCUAUCUUCAUGCGUUGUUUUAAUUUAGUUAAUUAGUUAUUUUUAUAAAAACCCCUCAUCUCUGGACUCUAAAAGAAAUAAAUUAUUUCUAGUUCCUGUGGAUUCGAUCCUACUCACCAUACAAUCCAACCUGCAAUUGUAUGAACCCCAAUCUCGCUUCCUAGUCCACCAUUUUUCUCUAGGUAAUAAUCUCCCUUCUAAUUUCUUCACAAAAUGCACCUUUCAUCACCUCCAAUAGCGUCGACAUGAUCUUUACCCCAGAAGACUAUUCACCGACUCUCAAUUGACGUUAGAAAAUCUAAGAGUAAUUCUACUUUACCCUAAGAUUGAUAUCAACAAGACAAGGACAAUUUAGAAUUAUUACACGCCUCUUCUUAAUAGGAAAAAGAAAUAGAGAAGAAAGUCAGGCCAGGUCUAAUUUCUUUUCAAAGGCAAUACAACAUUACGAAAUCAAGCAUUCAUUCAUACAAAUAUUUCAUAGUCACCGGUUUGCUGAGUAGAAAAAUUUAGACAAAAACUUAAUAUUAUAUUGUUUAAGAGUUAACAAUUUAGAGCUUAAUCUCCUUGUACUUUGGAGUUAACAAUUUAGAGCUUAAUCUCCUUGUACUUUGGACUAAACUUGAACGUGAAAGGAAAUCCCAAAACCAUAUUGGGCAUGAAUUCACACUUAAUAUACCCAAUAAAAGAUGGCGACUGGUGAAAGGCAGUGGAGACUGGUGGAGAGAUUUGAGGAAUAGAAGCAGACGGAAAAGCAACAAAUUUUUGCCGAAAAACGGUCACUUUCAUGGUUAAUUUUGCUACUCUCCAAUUGUACUUGACCAAUUACAACAAUUUCAUGGAGUUUGAUACGUGAAAAGAAUUUUUUAUAAAUUUUAUUUUGAUCCAUAAUGUUAUCUUUACAUAUAUAAAACAUUUUACAAUUUUGAUUUUGGCGCAGUUAACUUUUGGUAAACAAAAAUGCUCAUGUUUAAAAAACCGGAAAUAAAACAAAACAAGAAACAAAAGAAAUAAGAGGGUAGCAUAGACAUUUUGGAUUUUUCCGUUAAUUUGGAUGAUUUCCACCCACGUUCUAAUUUAAUCCAAAACACAAAGGAAUUACGUAGAGGUUUUAAAUAAUGAGGGAGCUUCAUGAUCGAACCCCAAACCACAAGGCGAUUUACUAUAUUUUACUCUUAAAUUUUGGUUUCAUCUCAUAGCAUACAAGAGUUCUAUUUCACUAUCUGUAGACAAAGACUUUCUAUGGUUGAUGUACCAUAGGAAAAAAUCUGCCUAUACAACGUGAUAGCAUUUUUUCAAAAACACAAGAUGGAAAAUUGCCCCCUUAAACGGGGAAAUUCAUGAUCUUUCCUCGAACAAAGAAUACUCACGCCUAUUCAAGAUGGAAAAUUGCCCCCUUAAACGUCUAUUUGUCAAUUCUUGAAAAAAGAAUACUCACGCCUAAAACACGGCCUCUUCAUCUGCAGAAUUCUAAAAAGUUAGGUAAACUCUAUAAACAAGUUGAUAGGUACAAUCGUACCCAAGAUCAAGUACAGAUAGUUGUACAUUCACUGCUGCAAUAACUAAUCUGAUGACUUACAAACAUAUCAUGGUCAAUCGUUGAAUGGUAAUGAGUCUUUUGUUAUGCAUUAGUAUUAGUGUGUACACUCUAAUAGAUUGAUACUUAUACUCUUUAAAUUAUCAUAAUAAUACCCUUAAUUAACUUUAACUCUUAAAAAGAAUACGUGUUAAUACACGAGAGUGUGUAACCUGAAUUGUUACUUAUACAUUAGUGUGUAAUAGAUAGGGAUGGCAAUGGGGGCGGGUGCCCGCAGGCAACCGCCCCGCGGGGGGCUCUCGGGGCGGGGAGGGGGGAAUUUUUUCCCCCCGUUUAGAAACGGGGCAGGGGACGGGGGAGUAUACCCCCGCCCCAUCCCCCGCAAAAAAAAUUAUAUAUAUAUAAUUAUAUAUAAUAUGUAAUUUAAUUAGUUAUAAACUUAUGAUAAUGAUAUUAUUAGUUAGAUGUAUUAUAUAAUGUAUAUUAGUGUAUGUAAUAUAAUUAAUAUUAUCAAUUAUACGAAUAAUUAGACAUGUCUACUAAUAGAAUUUAUUAAUUAGUUAUACUAAAUUUACUAAUACAUUUAUACUAAAUUUCUAAUUACAUUUAAUAGAAUAACACUUUUUUCUAAAAAAAAAAGCACAAACACAAUAAUGAAUUAGUGAUUGUAUUUUUACCAAAAAUGAAAACUUAACUAUUUUAGUUGCAUUUAUUUCAUCAUGUUGGAUUGUAUUCAAAUAAUUUUUGUUUGAUUGUUUUUAUGAGUUUCAAUUGUAAAAUUAAAAUGAAUAAUAACUUGAUGAAUAAUAAUGUCAAUCGUUGAAUGGUGUGUACACUCUAAUAUUAUGCAUUAGUAUUAGUGUGUACACUCUAAUAGAUUGAUACUUAUACUCUUUAAAUUAUCAUAAUAAUACCCUUAAUUAACUUUAACUCUUAAAAAGAAUACGUGUUAAUAACUCUUAACCUGAAUUGUUACUUAUACAUUAGUGUGAAAUAGAACGGCAAGCAUUGAGCAACUUAUAGGAGAAAUAGUCCUAUAAGCUGUUGGAUGACUAAUAUAGCUCUAGCUGUAAUGUUUUAAUUAAAUUACAUCACUAACGUUGGGAUGACUAAUGGUUUAAAAAUAAUUGAGUAAUUGGAAAAAAAAAAAGAGACUAAUUUUCAUUGAAACCCACCGACAAACUAAACGUGUCCAUGGCUUUUGAAUAGUGCAUUCAACGUUUAAUUGUAUAGUCCAGUUCAUUGCAGAUUACAUGGAGUAAAGAUUGUGCUCUUUCCUUUUUCACCCCUUUUGGAAUCGAUACUGUGGAGAAUUGGGUUUUUCCCUUCUUUUUUUCUUUUCUUUCUUUCUGUGCUUUGCAAAACAUAGGUAAAAUUAUGAAAUCCGAAGCAUUCUUUAAUUGGGAUUAAGUAUUGUUCUUGAAAUUAAAAAGAAGAAAGAAAGAACAACAAAAUUCCCUGAUUGGUUGCAUCGUGCUUCCAUAGAAGCUCUCUUAGUGUGAUACACUGCUUUCAAUCAGUUUAACAUGGAAAAAAGAAAGAGAUGAAAAGCAAAUUUGGUGGGGAUAAUUUCAGAAACCUCCCCUGAAGAUUUUGACUAUUCUACUGGUCUCCCUUCAGAUUUUAAAAAUUACACUAAUCUUCCUUGAAGUUAUAACAUUUAAAUUCAAUCAAUAAUUUAAAAAAUGAUAUUAUGAAAGAGAAAAUAAUAUGAUUUUAUCAUUGCCCCCCAUCUUACUACAUUAUUUAAUUAAUUUAAUAGCAACCCACACAUUAAAGAAAAAUAUAAAAUUUGUUAUUUAUCAUUAAAGAUCAAAUCGCUUAUAACAUCAAAUAAUAGUAUAUUAUUUAUAUUUUUCACUUAACAUAAUAUCCAAAUUACUCUUUUCAAUUACAUACUCAUUGUUAGACAAUCAACAACAAAUAACCAAAAAAUUUGCAACCAAAAUAUUACAAAAAAAAAUAAACUUUAACAUCAUAAAUAUUCUUAUCAACAUAUUAAAGUUAGUUACUGAAAUUUUUAUGGUGUUAAACUUCACUCUUUGUAAUAUUUUGGUUACAGAUUUUUUUUGAUUAUUUUUUAUUAAUUAUGUUUGAUGAUGGGUUUGUAAUUGAAAAGAAUAAUUUAAAACUUACAUUAAGUGAAAUAUAUAGAGUGAUAUACUAUUUUUUAUAACAUAUGUGAUUCAAUCCUUCUUGAUAGGAUUGGUAAUAGAGGUAGAGGGGGGAGUCGGCUGCAUCCGGUCUUCUUUUCAUAGAUAGUACAAUAUUGCGAAAUCAAUCGCAUUCACACAAUAAUAUUUCGAAGUCAAUGCAUGGCUAAGUUGCAUAAAAGUACGAACACUUGUUAUUAUAUAGCUUAAGAUUCAAAACUUUAGAGCAUAACCCUCCACCUAACACAAUUGAAUAAUGAAUAUUCACGUUUGUCAAAUCUGUCAAAGCACAGUUUGAGGACAACCCAUUCCAACCUGCAAAAGAUUUUUUACUUUUCUAAAGUUGUUGAGAGCUGUAAAAAGACCUACCAUGCUUACAUCCUCCGAGCCUUGGGAGUUAAAAAUGAAGGCACUGAGUGCUAUAAAAAGGGGGCUAGAGGCUGCCUAGAAGCAUAUCAGCCUAAAACAAGAAUUUGUUGUUAUGAUGGGAAGCAAAGCAAAAGCAAUGGGGUCUGGGCUGACUCCUCUUCUUGCCACUGUUUUAGUGGUAUUUGUUGCUCUUGGCUUGCCCUCAGAAACAGCAGCUGAUGAUCACUACAAGUAUUCAUCUCCUCCUCCUCCUUACCACUAUCCCUCACCACCGCCUCCAGUGCAUUUACCUCCACCAGUGUACAAAUACAAGUCCCCACCACCACCUCAUCAUGUUUACAAGUACAAAUCUCCACCACCCCCACCACCACACCCAGUUUACAAGUAUAAGUCACCACCACCACCUCCUCAUCCGGUACCACACCCAGUUUACAAGUAUAAGUCACCACCACCACCUCCUCAUCCGGUAUACAAGUAUAAGUCUCCUCCGCCACCACCACACCCAGUUUACAAGUAUAAGUCACCACCACCACCUCCUCAUCCGGUACCACACCCAGUUUACAAGUAUAAGUCUCCUCCGCCACCAGUUUACAAAUAUAAGUCUCCUCCACCACCACCUCCAGUGUACAAGUACAAGUCUCCACCACCACCAGUUUACAAGUACAAAUCACCACCACCUCCUCCCCCAGUUUACAAAUACAAGUCUCCACCACCACCAGUUUACCACUACAAGUCACCACCACCUCCUCACCCAGUUUACAAGUACAAAUCUCCUCCACCACCAAUUUACCACUACAAGUCACCACCACCUCCUCCCCCAGUUUACAAAUACAAGUCUCCACCUCCUCCUCACCACUACUAAGCAAUUGCUUCUGAGGUAAUAACACUUGUUCAAUAACACUUGAUAGCCAGCUGAAUAUUUGCAGGCAAAGGAGAAGGAAACCAGUGUUUGAGACCUUCUUGAAGAUGUAGAAGCAUAAGAAUUAAAGCCCAAUGUGAAGAUGAUGAUUUCAAGUUUUUCUACGUUACCAUUUCAAUAUCUAAAUUGGUUGUAGCGCCUUAGUUCCUUUGUUUAUGGGAUUUGUAUCGUUUUACGUACCAUGCAGUACAUGUCAUGUUUGUAAGGUUUUCUAUCCUGCCGGCAAACCGCAGGUUCCAUGUAAUAAAUCAAUACUAUUUAUAUUACGACACUUUUCUCUGUUUCUCUUAUAUUUUGUCUUUAAUAUUCUUAAUCAUAUUUUUAACAAAAAUAUUCAAACACUUCAGCAAUGGUUCACCUAGUUGAUCAUCGAAGCAGAGGCAAUUCCAAUUAUUUAUCAAUAAAUAGGAUAUAACUACCAAACAAGCGAUGGCAGUUAACCCCUCCUUACUGUGUCGGUGAUCAAGGUACGCCCGUUAAUCACUGCUCUAAUUGAGAAAUAAUCCUAAGUACGCCCGUAGAAUUUAAUUCCCCAAUUGCCUUACAUAUUAGAGGAGCCCUAUUCUAACCAAAUAACGCACUAUCAGGGUUAUUUUAGAUUAGCCCGCGUAUUCCCCUGACAUAAAUCUAAUCAUGCCAGUUGUCAUUAUUUUGAGGUAAUUAAACAAUUACGGAUUUAACACCUCAAUUGACAAUAGAUUAUUAAAUUAAUUAAUUAUUCGGAUCCAAGACAAUCAAUUAAUUAAACAACCAUAAGCACUACAAUCAGAGAAUAUGCAAAUACCAAUAAAUAAAUAAAAAAUAAAAUUAAAUCGAUCUCACAAUUUUUAGGCGAAUCAGAGCAUCCGUUGUCCCUUGACUAGAGCAAGGAAAUUAGUUCAUAUUUGAUGAACUAAACCCAUACAAAAGGGAAGCGAGAAAUGCAGCCAUUAUCCUUUGAAAUCUGGAAAAUUCAACUUGUCCGAAUAUCGAAUAGAUAGUAAUACUACAAAAGGUAAUUCAUAGCUUCCCUUUCGUCUGACACACAAGAAGAAAAAAAAGGGCUGCUAAUAACUAAAGGAGGAAAAGUCAAAGUCCUAAGCUAUGCUACAAGACGAAAAACUAAAGAAGACAAAAAGGCAGUGCUCAUUCCCUGCAAUCUCAAUUCCUAUUCUAUCUAAGUGCUCUCCAAUGUGCGGCGGCUCCCCUUCCGGAGAGGACGAAGUGGCACCCUUUUUUCCUGCGCAAUUUUCCUAUAUAAAGUAGUGCUCCUUGCAGCGGCUCCUGUGCGAAAAAAUGAAGACUUCGGCCCAAUUUGCCUAACAAGGGCUCACGUUUUGUUGUUCUAAAAAUGUCCCUAGGACAAACUCUAUCAUCUGAACUCUUUUCUUGCCAAAUUAGUACCUGUUAUUAUAUUUUCGUUCUACUCCCUGAAAUAAAUGCAAAAUAUCAAAAGUGAGUAGAAUCUAGCAAUUAAUCCACAUUAGGUCAGGUAAUAGGGAAAAUUAAUAAUAAAAUAAAUGAUAAAAUUGCAAUCUAUCACGGGACCACUGUGGUAAGGUGUGUUUCGCCUAUUAUAAGGAGUUCGGAGAGUUAGACGUGUUGGAGGCGGAGGCGCGGUCACUCCUGCACGCCCUCCAGCUGUGUGCAGAUCGCGAGGUACGGGCGUUGACUGUAGAAUCUGAUUCAAAGGUGCUUGUUCAACUAGUUUGCUCGGAUAUGAGGUCGAAGUGGCCGGUGUGUAUCGUAUUGCGGGAAAUAAGACAUUUGAUCCGGCGGAUGGGUGCAUCCCUUCAUCAUAUAUUCCGUGAGGCCAAUUCGGUGGCGGACGCAUUGGCUUCUCUGCAAUUGGGAGGGCAGCAGUACUACACCUCAGGCGUGGCGCUGCCUUUCAGGCCCAGAGGAGAGGCUCUGCUGGAUCGUCAAGGAGUACCUCGCAUCCGUGAGGCGCUCACUAAGGUUUGAUAGGCUAUGUCCUCCUUUCAAAAAACUUAUUUCAUCUACUCCUUGUAAUCAUUUUUCUUAUCAAUAAAUUGAGGCUUUUUAUUUAAAAAAAAACAUAUAAUUUAAGGCAAAAAUAUGAUCCUAGCGAGUAUCGCACUGAGACAUUAGGAAACAUCAUUAAAAGAGUAUUUCUUGAGUUAGUGCAACUAUUUCUUAGGGGAAUUUAUAGUUACAAAAUUCAAAAAUUUGAGAUUCUAUUACUGAUUAAUUAAGGGCGUUAUCACUAUUUUUCUUAUUAUCACCAUUAUUUACCCCACAUACUAUAAGUUUUUUUAGGGCACAGGAAAAGAGGUGGGCCGAUGUUUAGUUAUGUACAAAAGUUCAAAAUUUGUAGAUAACUUAUCAUGUGCCCUUAGAGCGUAGAAUACAGAAAAAAUAUCUUAAACUAUAACUAAUCCUAAUAUUUUUCUCUAUGAUAAACUAGCUCUUAUCCAUUUCUUUAGAUGAUGAAAGGAAAUAGUUAGUCACCUGUCCUCUAGUGAUUACAACAGCAUCAAAACAAAUUAGCACUCUUUUCCCGUAGUUUAAAAAUCCCUCAGCCACUAAGAUUUUGCAUGUCGAACGAAUUAAGGAACAUAGAAGGUUCGUGCUGCACCACAGUGUCCUUGUUGACGAUGCAAAGACAGAAAUGCAUCCGCGUAUACUUCCUUAAGCAUUUUGAUUACUUUAUGAUUCGAACUUUUCUUGUCUGACAGCUGGACUUAAUUGAAAAACACAAGUAACAAUAUUUCAAAGUUGAUUCGUCAAAGUUUACCCAAUUGGUGAAACUUUCUUCAUAGAGCUGACUUUGUAUUAGGUGACAAUGAUAUGGAAUUGAUGUCCUUCCCUUUUUCCUUUUUUUGUGUUGAAGACGCACAACGUUUUCAAUGGCAAAUUUAUAUGGGCUUUUCACGACAAAAUGUGUUCUGAAAAGUUCAUUCCAGAGGUUAAAAUUUUGUGUGUUAAAAAUUUGCUUCUCAGGACUUUGAUGGGAAAGUCUUGGUGUUUCCAAAAAGUUUAAGCAGGAUGCUUCUGGCUUUCUCUCCAUGUAUUUGUGAGUUAGAUCUAAAAUUAUCAGGGCUCCAGAGAUCUCUUGAAAUCGCAGCAUAUAUUGAAGUCUUUCCAGAAGGAGUCUUUUUUUUUUUUUUUAUGAAUUAUGAUAGAUAAUUAAUCUGACGGUGCAUAUAUAUAUAUAUGUGAUUUGCAGUAGGGUGUUUGACGAAAUGGUUAGGCUUCCUAAGUAAUGAUAGGAAUGCCAUUUGCAAAGAAGGACAGGGGGCUGGUGCUGUCAUAUUUUAUGCGAUUUGAUCCGUUGUUGUAUAAGUUUAAACUUUUGACGUGCAAUUGUGCUAUAAUAUUAUACUAAAUAUAUGUGUGAAAUAUUUUGUCUAUAUACAUCACUUUUAUCAUGAAUACAACAGCUGAGUAUAAUAAUAUAGUAUAAUGUAAUUGUACACCAAAUAAUGUAGCAAAUAUAACAAUUGAUCCGAAUUACACGGAACCAUAACAACAAGAUCACCGCCUCCCAAAUUUUACAAAAUUAGGUUUUUUUUUUUUCUCUUAGAUUAUUGAAAAUUUUCAAAAAUAAUCUACAUAAUUUAAGCUUUUGUCCUACAAAAAUUUGAAGAGAUUUUACAUUACAAGCUUAAGCUUAGAUAUAUUAAACUUUGCCCCCAAGAUUAAUUUUCCGUUUUUAUCUAUGAACCGAUCCAUAUAGCUAGUUAGACUGUAGUCCUCACAUUUGUGGGAUUUAACACCCAAGAUUCUCCUUCUUGGAAUGUAAAAUGUAGAUCUUCUAUGUUAAUAAUUCAAGACCCUACUGUCAUAAACGAAAUGACUGAUCAACUCCUGUAAACCUAAUUUGACAACAUUUAAAUGGAGAACUUUAGCUAAAAGAAUUAUGGUCAAGCUAAAGAAAAAGCCAGUUAUUUUCCAACAUAUGCAAUCAUUGAUCAGGAAAAAAAAAAAAAAGCAAAAAGACAUCUUCAAUCAUUUAAUAGCUCACAGUGCAAAUUAACCCCUAAGCGAAAACUGGUUGCUCUAGAAUCAAAAUUUUACCUUAGUUACCCAGGCAACUUUUUUGUUGCUUUUUUUUUUUUCUUUUCCUUUUUGGGUAUAUAUAUAGCUCCAGUUUUGCCCCCUCUGUCAAGCUUAUAUAAUUAUUAAGAUAAUAAAAGUGCCUUGAAUAGUAUUAAUAUAUCCAUUGACUUGAGCUGUCAUCGAUCGGUUUGGGCUACUUCGAUUCCAUGAGAACAAAUGGUAAUAAAAGUACUCAGAAAAUAGGGAGCCAUGAAACCCUUUUGUUCUAUUCAUUGCUAAGAUGCUUUUCUCUAUAAAGAGACUUCCUAACGAAAGUACUUUGUAGAUUUCUUUACUCCAAGUGGUGCAUGGAAAAUUAAAAUAUUCAAUUAUCAAAUAAAAUUCCCUUUUUUCGGUGUAGAUUUCAUCCAUCCAGCUGUUAACACAUUUUAUGUAUCCGAAUUAUAUAUUCUCUACCAAAUAUUGUAACUUUUCUGAGCAUCUUUACAUUUUUAUUCCCACCUAACAAAUUAGUUGUUGAGCAUCUUUACAUGCUAUCGGAUCACAAGUUAAUAAUCUUUUAAAGAACAUGUUAAAUUAAUUUAUUGGUAUGAAUAGUCAAAGAAGUAUAUUAAAGUUAGUAAUCUUUAAACACCACGAUGCAAUUAAUACUUUCAAGCUCAAGGUCUUUUUUUUUUUUUUUUUUGGUACUGUACUUCCUUGCUUUAUAGUAUGCACGUUUAUUUCUGUGGAUUGCUUAAGCUUAUAUUGUUAAUAAUUGGGCAUUUAACCAUAAAUUAUAAUGAUUAUGAAGUCAUAUAUAUAUAUAUAUAUAUAAGAAAAUUACCACAAUUAUUCAAUUUUUUUUGCAAAUUCAAAUUUUAUUAAUAAGAAAUAGGCAGUAAGCUUUUACAAACGGAAAAAAAAAAUCCUACAACAACUCUAGGACCUUUGAAAGAAAGAAAAAAAAAAGAAAAGAAAAGCUUAAGGACUCUACCUCAUAGAAGCUAAACAAUCCUACAAAUAAACUGCAAAAUAAAUCACAAUAACGCAAAAUUUUUGUCUUUCUUCCGUAUGAAAUGAAACUACGAAGUCAAGAAUUGACUCCUUUAACCGCUAUUGCCAGCGGGCUCCGUCAGCAAGAUACAACUUUGCAAUUUGAUUCAAUAGAAAUCCUCAAAUAGCUAUUUUGACAGGCAAAUUAAGCAUUAAUUUUGGUAUCCCUUCAUAAAAUACAAGAGUACUUUUGAUUAUAUCUAUAGAUCAACUUUCUAGGCUAUUUUGAUGUAUUAUAAGAAAAUCUGCCUCAACAAUUUUGAUAGCAUUUUUCCAAAAGCAGAAGAUGGAAAAUUGCCCAUUUGUACUGGGGAGUUCGUGAUCUUUUCCUCCUUCUAGUCUACUUACAAUUCUUGGAAAAAGGAAUACUCACAUCUCAAACAACUGCCUGUUCAUCUGCAAUGUCCUGCCGAAUUCUAGAAAGUUAGGUGGCAAUGCUAAUUACAUUUCAAAAUUGACUGCUGCGAUGACUAAUUCGAUGGCUUACUACAUGGUCAACGUUUGGAUCCCUUCCUGUCCUUUUUGGAUGCACAUUUUUUUUCUCUAGGCAAUAUAUAAUCUCCCAACUCAUUUCUUUACAAAUGCACCUUUAAUCACCACCAAAAGGUGUGGACAUGAUCUUUACCCUAGAAAACUAAUCACCGACAGGCAAAUUGACGUCAGAAAUACUAAGAGGAAUUCUAGUUUCCUUCGGGUUAAUGCCAUUUUGUACCCUUCAACUGUAACUCGAUUUCUAAACUAUAAUUUGUGACAUUAUAGUCCUUAAACUAUGAAACCCCUCUUACUUAAGUACAAUGGUUAAUACAAUACCCGUGACUAGACAAGCAACCAUAACAAAAAAAAAUCCAAAAUUAGAGAAAAGAAAGAAGUUUCGCGACCAAAGUAUGUAUCAAGGCAUAGUAUAGAAAUAAAAGUGUCCAAAUUAAGAGUUUAGGGAUAAAAGAGAUCAAGAUAUAGUUUAGGGAUUGAUUUGUCUCAAUUAGAGUUUUGAUGUCAACUAAGAAGAGAGAUAUAGUUGAAGGGUAGAAUAUAGAUAUAACAGUUCAAUGAUUGAUAUCAACGAGACAAUGACAACUUUGGAUUAUUACCAACCUCUUCUUGAUGGGAAAAGGAAAUAGAGAAGAAAGUCGGGCCUGGUCUAAGCCUGCUUCGGAGGCAAAACAACAUUAUGAAAUCACCGGCAUUCACACAAAUAUGUCAAAGUCACCGGCAUGCUAAGUUGCAUAAUUUAUACAAACACUGAAUAAUAUAUUGUUCUUAAAAUUUUUGUUUAAGAUUUAACAAUUAGAGCACGGUACACGAAUUAGCAAUAUUAAAUAAUGAAUGUUCACGAUUGAUAAAGUUAUCAAAGUACAGUUUGAGGACAACCCAUUCCAACGUGUACAAGAUGUUUAGCCUUUGAAAAGUUAAUUAGAGAAGGUGACGAGAUUUUACUAGGCUUAAAUCUUCUAGGCCUCGGAAGUAAAAAAUGAAGGCCUUUGAGUGCUAUAAAAAGGGGGCUAGAUGUUGCCUAGAAGCAUAUCAGCCUCAGACCACAUUUUGUAGCAAUGGGGAGCAAAGCAAAAGCAAUGGGGUCUAGGCUGACUCCUCUUCUUACCACCGUUUUAGUGGUAUUUGUUGCUCUUGGCUUGCCUUCAGAAACUGUGGCUGAUUACUACAAGUAUUCAUCUCCUCCUCCUCCUUACCAUUAUUCCUCACCACCACCUCCUGUGCAUUCACCUCCACCACCGCCAAUUUAUAAGUCACCCCCACCACCUUACCACUACUCCUCACCGCCACCUCCAGUGUAUUCAUCUCCACCACCACCUUCGCCAGUUUACAAGUCUCCGCCACCACCUUACCAUUAUUCGUCACCACCGCCUCCGGUGCAUUCACCUCCACCACCACCUGUUUACAAGUCACCUCCACCACCUUCGCCAGUUUACAAGUCUCCGCCACCACCUUACUAUUAUUCGUCACCACCGCCUCCGGUGCAUUCACCUCCACCACCACCGAUUUACGAGUCACCUCCACCACCUCCUCCAGUUUACAAGUCUCCGCCACCACCUUACCAUUAUUCCUCACCACCACCUCCAACGCAUUCACUCCCACCACCAGUUUACAAAUCACCGCCACCACCUCCUCCUAUGUAUAAGUCCCCUCCACCACCUUAUCAUUAUUCCUCACCACCACCUCCAGUGCAUUCACCCCCACUGCCACCAAUUUACAAGUCUCCGCCACCUCCAAUCUACAAGUAUAAGUCACCACCACCUCCUCCCCCAAUUUACAAGUCACCACCACCACCUCCUCCAGUAUAUAAGUCCCUACCCCCACCAGUGUAUAAGUACAAGUCUCCACCACCACCUCCUCCAGUAUACAAAUCACCUCCACCACCUCCUCCAGUUUACAAAUCUCUACCACCACCAAUUUAUAAAUACAAGUCUCCUCCACCACCUCCUCCGGUUUACAAUUCCCCACCACCACCAAUCUACAAGUCUCCACCUCCACCCUCCCAUUACUACUACAAUUCUCCUCCUCCUCCUCCUCAUCACUACUAAGCAAUUGUAUCCAAGUUUUUGAGGUAAUAAUGCUAAACCAAUAUAUUAACUUUCGCAUGAUAAACUUUAUCUCUAUCAAGACAAACUGCCAUGUGCAUCAAGCCAAAUACGUACACUUCGAUCCAUGAAAAUGACAAGUAGAAGGUUUUCUUAAGAACCAAGGAACAGCAUUAGUAUUCCCUCUGUUUCCAAAACUUGUGUAUUAAAUAGAUUAAUGAAUUGUUUAACAUGCUUAUCUACUUGAAAAUGCACAAUACCCAUAACCCACUGAAAUUUUUGCAGGUAAAGGGGAAGAGAAUCUGUGUUUGAGAGCUUCAUGAAGAUGUUGAAGAAUAAGAAUAAAAGCCCAAUGCGAGGAUGUUUUCAAGUUUUUCUAUGUUUCCACUUUAAUUUGUAAAUUGAAUUUUUCGACUUAAUUAAUUCCCUGUUUGUGGGGUACGUAUUGUUUUACGUACCAUGCCGUACAUGUUUGUAAGGAUUUCUAUCCUAUUGGCAAAAGUCGGUUCCAUACAAUUAAUCAAUUCAUUUCACUUCUAUUGGCUCUACUAUUUAUGCACGUUACGACAUUUUUUCUCUCUUUCCCUUAUAUUUUGUCUUUAAUAUUAUUGAGUCAAUAGUAAUACUGGGCCAUUUUUUUUAAAACUUAUACUAGUAUACAUAGGUAGUUUGGUCUAACGCCAAAUUCAUGUUUGUCUUUCUUUUAUUCCCUUUACAUUUCAAAGUAUACUAUAGUUUGUGAUCAUUGUGGUGAUGAUAUUACCAGCUGGUACUUAUAGUUUAAGGCAGAGACAUGAUAUUAACAACUAUCUCAUUGAAACAUAAGGAAAAAUCAUGACAAGUGUGAGUCUUGGUUAAUGCACAAUUUGUUAGUGGAAUUUAUAUUUAUAAAACUCAAAAAAAAAAUUUUGACAAUGCUAUUACUAAUUAAUUAAGGACUUUAUUGCUAUAAUUUAUCGCUUGCUAGUUUAAACUAUAAAUGAUCUCAAUACUUUUCUCCAUGAUGUCGAUUUCUUUAGAUACGAAAGGGAAAAAUUAGUGACAUAUCCCUUACUGAUUACAACAUCAGCAAAAAUUAGUUAUAAACUUUUCCGGUGGUUUUAAAUCCCCGGGCCCUAAGAUUUUUUGCUCAUCGAGUGAAUUAAGGAACAUAGGCAAUUCAUUUUGCAUACCAAGUCCUUGUUUAAGAUGCAAGUACUAAAAUGCAUCCACUUCAUUAAUUUGGGAAAUUGCCAUAGUUUUUUUAAGCAUUUUGAUUUUUUACAUGAUUUAAAAUUUUCUUAUUGGAUACAAUCACUUUGUAUCAAGAACACAUUUUCAAUCACCUUUUUUUAUCUUCUCAAUGAGAAAAUAAAAAUUUAUUCAUGCUUUUCUAACAUAUUCAAUCAUUGAUCUGAAAAUUAAAACAUUAAGAAAAGGACAUUUUCAAACAUUAAGAAGUAGUAUUUUAAAGACCAUGAUGAAAUUAAUACUUUCAAGGUCUCUAUUAGGAAGACUUCCUUUAUUAAUACUCUACUAGGCAGAGUUAUAUGCACGUUUACUGUUUUGGCCUUAAGUUGGGUGCAGAUGCUUAUAUUACAAAUAGAUGGUAUCAAAAAAUUGUUGUAUUCACGUCUGUUCUUUUUUUCUUCCUUAAGUUUUUUUCUUUAUUCUCGUGACUUCGCUAGUGAGGUAUAACUUCACAACUAGAGUCAAUAGAAAUCGUCAAAUGAUUUUUUGACAUCCAAAUUAAGCAAUAAAUUUUGUUUUCAUUUCAUAACAUAUAAUAGUACUACUUCAUGGGAGAUUUUAUAGUUUCUUUAGGGUAUCAUACCUACAAUUGAUAUUUAUCAUUGGAUAGUGAAAGAAGUGUUAAUGUCUCUAAGAUUAAAUAUUGUUAAAUAUUGAAAAUUUGAACUAUUUAUCUCUAUUGAGAGAUACAACUUAAAGAAUCCUACCCAAAAGAGACUAGAAUUUUCUCUGUUUUUCAUCAUCUGUAGACAUAAACUUUCCACGGUUGAUAGCAUUUUUCAUCAUCUAUAAGGAAAUUUUGCCUAUACAAUGUGAUAGCAUUUUUCAAAAAGACAAGAUGGAAAAUUGCCCCCCUUGAACGGAAAAUUGCCCCCUUGUCAAUUCUUUAAAAAAGAAUACCGUCCCGCAGAAUUCUAGAAAGUUAGGCAAAACUAGACAAGUUGACAGGUAUAAUCAGACCCAAGAUCAGGAACAAGCAGUUGCACAUUUCAAAAUUCGCUGCUGCAACAACUAAUUUGAUGACUUACAACACUAAAUGGUCAAACUUUGAAUGGCAAUGAAUCUUUUGUUGUACAUCAUGAUGUAAUUUUCAUGUUACAUAAUAGAUUGAUAUCUAUGUUCUUUAAAUUAUCAUAAUAAUUAAAUUUAACUGAAAAAAAGAACACAUAUCAAUACACAAAAGUGUGCAACGUGAAUGUUAUUUUAGUGUAUUGCAGAAGACCUAUAGUCUCUUCAUAUCUCUUCCUGCACGUAUCAAUUCGUUUCCUCUAGAUAAUAAUCUCCCAACUCAUUUAUUUACAAAUGCACCUUUUAUGUUUUAUUACCUCCAAAAGCCUAAAAAUCAAUUCACCGACUCGCAUUUGGUAUCAGAAAUUCUUAUUACGAAUUCUACUUUACUCAAAGAUUGACUGUUAAUAAUGAGACAACGACCAUUUUGUAUUAUUACACCGUCCUUCUUGAUAGGCAAAAGAAAUAGAGAGGAAAGCGGGUCCGUAUAUGGUCUUUUAUUCAUAGAUAAUACAACAUUACGCCAUCGAGCAUUCACACAAUAUUUCAAAGUCAUUGCAUGCCUAAGGCCUGCUUGAUAAUCUAAUUCCGUACUUAAAUUUAAUAAAUUCAAAUCUUAACACAUUCAAAUCGUUUGAUAACAAAAAAUUGAACAUCUAAAUUAAUUAAGUAACACUGAAUUUUCUAGGCAAAACUUGCUCCCAAAAUUAAGUGAUAAGUUAUUCACUUAUCACUGAAUAUGAUAUGUAUUCAAAUGUAUUAGAUUUAAUACUUAAUAAUUUAAUGAAUUCAAAUUUCAUAUUUCAUAUUUCAGUUUUAUCAAACACACCUUAAGUUGCAAAAUAAUACCAAAACUUGUUAUUACAUAGCUUGAGAUUCAAAAAUUUAGAGCAUAAUUCUCAACCAAACACAAUUGAAUAAUGAAUAUUCACGAGUGUCAAAUCUAUCAAAGUACAAUUUGAGGACAACCCAUUCAAACGCGUACACGAUUUUUAACUUUUCUAAAGUUGUUGAGAGCUGUUGAAAGAGAUUUACCAUGUUUACAUCUUCCAAGUCUUGGGAGUAAAAAAUGAAGCCACUGAGUGCUAUAAAAAGGGGGGUAGAGGCCACUUGAGAUCCUCGGUGACAUGUUUUCUAUGCCAAUCCAAUGCCACCAAUAGUGUUGCGCCAAGUGUCAUGUUAUUAUUUACACUUGUGUUAAACUAAGCCAAGUUGAAUUAUUAGAAAAUUAAAGUGUAAAUAAUAACAUGACACUUGGCGCAAUACUAUUGGUGACAUUGGGUUGGCAUAGAAAAUAUGUCACCGAGGAUCCCAAGUGGAUAGAUGCUGCCUAGAAGCAUAUCAGCCUAAAACAAGAAUUUGUAGUAACAAUGGGGAGCAAAGCAAAAGCAACGGGGUCUAGGCUGACUCCUCUUCUUACCACUGUUUUAGUGGUAUUUGUUGCCCUUGGCUUGCCCUUGGAAACUGCAGCUGAUUAUUACAAGUAUUCAUCUCCUCCUCCUCCUCCUUACCAGUAUUCCUCACCACCACCUCCAGUGUAUUCACCUCCACCAACCCCUGUUUAUAAGUUACCCCCACCAUCUCCUCUAGUUUACAAGUCCUCACCACCACCUUACCACUACUCACCACCUCCUGUGUAUUCACCUCCACCAUCACCAAUUUACAAGUCACUGCCACCACCCCCUCCAGUAUACAACUCCCCGCCUCCACCAGUGUACAAAUACAAGUCCCCACCACCACCUUCUCCAAUUUACAAAUCUCCACCGCCACCAGUUUACAAGUACAAGUCACCCCCACCACCUCCUCCGGUAUACAAGUCUCCUCCGCCACCUGUUUACGAGUACAAGUCUCCUCCACCACCUCCUCCAGUGUACAAGUCCCCACCACCUCCAGUUUACAAGUACAAGUCACCACCACCUCCUCCCCCGGUUUACCAAUCUCCUCCACCACCAGUUUACAAAUACAAGUCACCACCACCUCCUCCCCCAGUUUACCAGUCUCCACCUCCACCCUAUCAUCACUACUACGGUUCUCCUCCUCCUCACCACUACUAAGCAAGUGCAUCUAAGUUUUGAGGUAAUAAUACCGAUCCAAAACUUUAUCAACGCAAACUGCCAUGUAUAUCAUGCUAAGGACGUACACUUGAUCCAUGAAAAUGGCUAGUAGAAGAUUUUUUUUAAGAACCAGAGAAAUACAUUAUUUUUUCGCUCUGUUUUCAAGAAUUUGAGCAGUAUACAGAUUAAAGAGUGUUUUUUUUAAACUUGCUUAUCAACUUAGAAAUGCACAUAGCUGAAAGCCAACUGAAUAUUUGCAGGCAAAGGAGAAGGCAAUCGGUGUUUGAGACCUUCAUGAAGAUGUAGAAGAAUAAGAAUAAAAGCCCAAUGCGAGGAUGAUUUCAAGUUUCUACGUUACCAUUUCUACAUCUAAAUUGACUUUAGCUCCUGAGUUCCAUGUCUAUGGGGUUUGUACUGUUUUACGUACCAUGCAGUACAUGCUUGUAAGGUUUUCUGUCCUGUUGGCAAGCCGCAGGUCCAUAUAAUAAAUGAAUACUAUUUAUAUUACGACACUUUUCUCUCUUUCUCUUAUAUUUUGUCUUUAAUAUUGUUGAUCAUUUUUUUUUUUUAUCAAAAGUAUCAAAUGCUUAGGCAAUUUGGUCUAAUGCUAAUUGUUUUACAUUUAUUUUUCACCUACAUCCCUUUUCAACUCAAAGGAUGCUACAGUUUGUGAUCAUUGUUUAAGACCGAAGCAUGGUACUAAUAAAUAUCUCAUUGAAAGUCAAGGAAACUAACAUUAUGAAAAGUGUAAAUCUUGAUUUGUGAAACUAUUUAUUCGUGGAAUUUAGAGAUACAAAACUCAAAUUGUGACGGUGUUGUUGCUAAAUUAUUUUUUUUUUAUAAUAAAACACAGUUCAUUCAAGGAUUACUGGAAAUCGUCCAGCACAAUUGAGAUACAUUGUUGCCCAGGUGGCAGAUAAAUAUGCACUAAAAUUAUAGAUAUGCAAUUUAACAAAUACAUAAGAUUUGAGAAAUUAAGGACAAAUCUAAAAAGGACCAUAAAUUUGAAAAACAUUUCAUCCUAGAAUAAGUCGCUGCAACUCUCUUUGUGCAUGCUGUAAUCGUCAGAUCUACUAAUCAACAGUUGUAAGGUCCAGUAAAGAUGGUGAGAUCUGCCGAGAUUGAUCCAAAUCUGAAAUAUUCCCUCAGAUCUGCUAUCCAAUUGGUUCAAACUCAAUACUGAAAGUGAAAUCUGAUGAGAAGACUGAAAAAAUUGUAGAUCUAACAUAUAGAUCUAAAAAAACUCCAAGAUUUGAAAAAGUAAAGAAACAAAACUAAAUAAAACUCUCAUUAAGAUAGUUUAGGAGAGACUAAAACUCUCAAUAGGACACCCUAGGAGAGAAGAAAACUCUCACUAGGAUAACCUAUGAGAGACUUUAUUGAAUGAAAGGAAAAGCAAAGGACAAAGGAAGAAGAAGGGAGACCUUGGCUUAAGGCCAAGGUCUCCCUCCUAUGGAGGAGGAAGGGUAGAGGAGGAAGCCUAGAGAGAAGGAAGAGAAUCCCUCCGCUAGAGGGAAGGAAGAGCCUCUGAGAGGGUACCCGUGUUGUUGCUAAAUUAUUAAGGACAUUAUCACCAUUACUUUUCCCUUACUAGUUUCAACUGCAAUGAUCUCAAUCUUUUUGUGACUAAUUCUUUUCUUAAUAAUUUAUAAAUACAAAACUCACAAAGAAUAUGUGACUUAUUCUUUCCUUUCGUCUUCUAAAGAAAAUGCCAACUGUUAGUUUAUCAAGGGAAAAAGGAUCGACAUCAGUUGUUAUUGAAACUAGUAAGGAAUAAAUAAUGGUGAUAAUGUCCUUAAUAAUUUAACAACAGCACCAUCAGAAUUUGAGCUUUGUAUCUAUAAAUUCCACGAAUAAAUAGUUUCAUCAAAUCAAGAUUUACACUUUUCAUAAUGUUAAGUUUCCUUGACUUUCAAUGAGAUAUUUAUUAGUAUCAUGCUUCGGUCGUAAACAACGAUCACAAACGAUAGCAUCCUUUGAGUUGAAAAGGGUAGUGAAAAAGAGAAGUAAAAAAUACAAUUAGCAUUCCCUCAAAUUGUAGAAAGUUAGGUAGCAUUAUAGACAAGUUGAUAGCCGUAAUUAUACUAAAAAUCAGGCAAAAGCCAGCAAUUUUACAUUUCAAAAUUCACCUAUUCAAUAACUAAUUCGAUGGCUUGCUACAUGGUCAAAAUUCACCACAUAUCCCUUUCCUCAAUCAGGGGCUUCUACAAUUACCAGUUCCAAUUGUAUGGUAUAGUGUAAAUAUCAACAAAUUAGAUGUAGACACUAAUAUAAUAAAUAUGGAUGCUAAGGCAACAACAUACAAAAACAUAAUAAAUUUUGGCAUUCCUUAAAAAAUUACGUCCCCAAAUCAAUCUCAUACACCCAAUUUCUAAUUUAUUUAACUCAUUCCGUCUAUUAACUGCACCAUACAAUCCAACCUGCAAUUGCAUGAACCCCAAUCUCGCUUCCUAGUCCACCAUUUUUCUCUAGGUAAUAAUCUCCCUUCUAAUUUCUUCACAAAAUGCACCUUUCAUCACCUCCAAUAGCGUCGACAUGAUCUUUACCCUAGAAGACUAUUCACCGACUCCCAAUUGACGUCAGAAAAUCUAAGAGUAAUUCUACUUUACCCUAAGAUUGAUAUCAACUAGACAAUGACAAUUUAGAAUUAUUACACGCCUCUUCUUAAUAGGAAAAAGAAAUAGAGAAGAAAGUCAGGCCAGGUCUAAUUUCUUUUCGAAGGCAAUACAACAUUACGAAAUCAAGCAUUCAUUCAUACAAAUAUUUCAUAGUCACCGGUUUGCUGAGUAGAAAAGUUUAUACAAAAACUUAAUAUUAUAUUGUUUAAGAGUUAACAAUUUAGAGCUUAAUCUCCUUGUACUUUGGACUAAACUCGAACGUGAAAGGAAAUCCCAAAACCAUAUUGGGCAUGAAUUCACACUUAAAUAGACCCAAAAAAAGAUGGCGACUGGUGAAAGGCAGUGGAGACUGGUGGUGAGAUUUGAGGAAUAGAAGCAGACGGAAAAGCCACAAAUUUUUGCCGAAAGAGGGUCACUUUCAUGGUUAAUUUUGCUACUCUCUACUUGUACUUGACCAAUGACAGGUUGUCAGUCUGUGCAAUAAUAAAAACCUGUUCAAACUAAAAGUAAUUUCUGUAGAUAGUGGUAAGCAGGGUCGAAUCCACAGGGAUUAGGUGUAACUGUUUCUUUUCAAAUUCACAAUAACAAAGGGGGUGUUUUUAUGCAGAAUGUGACAAUCAAAGAAAUUCAAUUAAAAGUAAAAUAAUAAAAAUAAAAUAGCCAACUAGAAAUUAAAUAACAAUUUACUAAAAUCAAAUGAGUGAUAAUUAAGGAUCUAGCCAAGGAAUAACUUCAGCAGUGGUUCACCUAAUUGAUCAUUGGAACAAAGGCAAUUCCAAUUAUUUACUAAUAAAUAGGUUAUAACUGCCAAACAAGCGAUGACAGUCAAUCACUCCUUACUGUGUCGGUGAUUAAGGUACGCCCGUUAAUCACUGCCCUAAUUGAGAAAUAAUCUUAGGUACGCCCGUAAGAUUUAAUUUUCCAAUUGCCUUACAUAUUAGAGGAGUGUCAGGAACAAGGAAAUAGAAUGGGACGUCGUUUAAUGCAAAGGGUUGUGCGUUUAAGGCCUUAGAAGCAAUACUACGUCGUUCUAAUAACAUAGGCGGUGCUGGUGUGAUAGGCCAAGUUAGUUGAGGGUCAAUUACAUAAAUAGCCUUCUGUAACAGAUUUUUGGUUAUGUUUUUGAAUGAAAAGUAUCUCGCUGCUUUCUCUCUCUUGUCUGUUAUUUCCCUCCCUUUUCUUCUUUCUCUCUUCCCUCUUCUUAAUCUUGUUUCUUUCUUCUGAUUCUUCCCCCAAAUUCAAUACAAUUCCAGAAAUUAACCUGCAAGUCUGACAUUUGGUAUCAGAGCGGUCGAUUCUUGGCCGCGAAGGUAUCAGAAAUGGCUGAGAGCACGCGAUUCAGGACACUGGAGGAGCAACUCAAGAAGCAGGAGAAUCGGUUGCAAGAACUGGCGGAAUCCAUGGCUGCACUGCAGAGUACGAGUUCCGAGGAGUUGCGGCAUAAGCUACAGGCGGAAAUGGAGCAGAACAAUGCAAAAUUGGACGCGGUGGUGGGAAGUCUGGACCAGAAGUUCAAUAAAAUGGAACAGAGACUCAGUACAGUGUUGAAGCUGCUGAUGAAGGAGAAAGGUCUCCCUGAUGUCGAAGGAGGAAUUUCUGAUCCAAUCUUGCCGACUCCUCCAUCUCAUCUGAGGUUAGCAUCCUCAGUCGAAGGGAUUGGGCACCAACAAGAGUACAGAGGUAGGCAAUUCACUCCUAAUGUACCUCGAUUAGAACUGCCAAUGUUUAACUCUGGAAACCCUAGGGAAUGGACCAGGAAAUGCCAGAAAUAUUUUUUGAACUAUCAGAUAGCAGAGAGUCAAAAGGUAGAGGUAGCAGAGAUGUUUUUGGAAGGUAGAGCUGACAAUUGGUUUCAAGGAGUGAAAUUGGUGAGGCCAGGGUUGUCUUGGGGGGAAUUUAGUGAACUUUUGUGUGAAAGAUUUUCUGGAAGUAGUUCUCGUGACAUUGUGGAGGAAUUUAACAAGUUACAGCAGAAAGGAACUGUUGAGGAAUAUGAGGAGAAAUUUGAAGAACUAAAAGCUCUAAUGCUGAUGAAAACCCCCAGGUUGGAUGAACUUUACUUUGUUUCCAGUUUUAUUAGUGGCCUCAGGGAAGAAAUUAGACCUAUGGUGAAGAUGUUUAAGCCUCAAACACUGAUGAAGGCCUUUGAAGUUGCGGAGUUGCAGGAGUGUUCCCUGGAAAUCCAAUCGAAACAAAACAGAACUUCAAGGAGGACAGCAAUGGAACCCAAGUUUGGAAUGUAUAAGGGCACUACGAGUGAUUAGGGUCGCCAAAAUUCAUAUAAGUUGCCUGGAGUCACUCCUGUCUCCAGGAGGACUAAUGCAGUACACAAGGAAUUUAGUAAGAUAUCAGCGGAGGAAAUGCAGUAUAAGCGUAAGCACAGCCUGUGCUAUAGGUGUGGAGAGAAGUUUGGAAUAGGUCAUCAGUGUAAGAAAGGAAGUCUGAACUGUGUGAGCACUGAGGAAGAGGAGGACACUGAAUUUGAGGAUGCGGAAGGGGAACAGGAUGAGUUAACAGGAAGGGUCGGGGAACUUGCAGAAGUCUCUUUGAAUGCUUUAUCUGGUGCCAUAAGGAGGAAAUCCAUCCUGUUGAUAGGGAACUUAGGGGGGCUUCCAGUCAAAAUUUUGGUGGACACAGGCAGUUCUAACAGCUUCAUUCACCACAGGAUUGUCAACCUACUGCAUCUACCAUAUCAGGCAGUCAGUCCAUUUACUGUGACUCUAGCAGAUGGAACUGACAUUACCAGUGGAGCCAUCAGUCCCAGCGUGUCUUGGUUAAUUCAGGACUAUCAAUUCCAAUUUGACUUAAAAGUAAUGGAAUUAGGGGGAUGGGAUAUAAUUCUGGGGGUGGACUGGAUGUGCCAGUAUAGUCCCAUUACAUUUGAUUUCCACUCUCUUAGCAUUGCCCUUAGUGAUAGGGGUUCUUUACUACACCUCCAAGGACUUGUGAAGCAACCUACUAUGGAACUGGUGAGGGGCAGGGAUCUCAGCUCGUUUAUACAGGAGAAGCAAAGAAACUGUGCAGCCAUGCAUGCUGAUAGGGCCAGGGAAACAGGAGAGCAGCUUCCAAAAGCUAUAGAAAGGAUCCUGGAACAGCACUCUCAGGUUUUCUCCACCCCAACAGGAUUACCCCCAGAGAGGGAAUUGGACCAUCAGAUCAACCUCAAACCAGGAGCUGAACCCUUCAAGCUCAAACCUUACAGGUACCCCCACUCACAUAAAGCAGAAAUUGAAAAAAAAGUUGCUGAGAUGCUCACUAAUGGAAUUGUUAUACAUAGCACAAGCCCCUAUGCCUCCCCUGUAUUGUUAGUAAAGAAAAAGGAUAACUCCUGGAGAUUAUGCAUAGAUUACAGGAAGCUGAACGAGCUGACUAUAAAGGAUAAGUUCCCUAUUCCCAACAUAGAUGAACUAUUGGAUGAAUUACAUGGAACCAGAUACAUGUCCAAACUGGAUCUCAGAGCUGGUUACCAUCAGUUGAGGGUGAAAGCUGUUGAUACCCCUAAGACUGCCUUCCAGACACACCAUGGCCACUUUGAAUUCUUAGUGAUGCCUUUUGGACUCACAAACGCGCCAGCUACAUUUCAGUCCUUGAUGAACAGAAUAUUUCAGCCAUAUCUCAGAAAGUUUGUCCUAGUCUUCUUUGACUACAUAUUAGUGUACAGCCCCACACUAGAGAUGCAUGCACAGCAUCUACAGAUUGUGCUCAAUAUUUUAGAAGAAAAUCAGCUGUAUUACAAGAGGUCAAAGUGCUCUUUUGCCCAGUCCUCAAUUGAAUACUUGGGGCACGUGAUCUCAGAGGCAGGAGUGAGUAUGGAUGUGGCUAAGGUGGAGUGUAUCAAGUCCUGGUCUGUUCCUAGUACAGUCAAGGAGCUGAGAGGGUUUUUGGGAUUAAUUGGUUACUACAGGAGAUUCAUUAAAGGCUAUGGAGUGAUUAGCAAACCCUUGACUGUAUUGUUGAAAAAGGAAGGUUUUGCAUGGAACCAUGAAGCUCAAAUGGCCUUUGAAGAUUUGAAAAAGGUUAUGACCACAGCCCCAGUGCUGAGCAUGCCUAAUUUCGAACUUCCUUUUGUCAUAGAGACUGAUGCCUGUGGAAUAGGUAUUGGAGCAGUGUUGAUGCAGCAAGGACAUCCUAUUGCUUUCCUUAGCAAGGCAUUAUCAGUUCAGAAUUUGGGGUUAUCAGUCUAUGAAAAAGAGCUUUUUGCCUUAGUGCUAGCUGUAACUAAGUGGAGGCAUUACCUGGUGGGUCAUCACUUCAUUAUCAGGACAGAUCACCAAGCUCUCAAACAUUUGAUAGAGCAAAGGCUUACUCAUCCACUCCAGCACAAGUGGCUAACUAAGCUACUUGGUUUGGACUAUGAAAUACAGUAUAAAAAGGGUGCAGACAAUGGGGUGGCAGACGCCCUCUCCAGGAGAAGGAUUGAGGGAAACACUGUUGACUGUGGAGAGACUGGGCAUCAGACCUGCGCCAUAACCUCAGCUCAGCCUAGUUGGAUGCAGGAAAUGCUAGAAAGCUACAUUGGAGAUGCAGAGGCUCAACAGAAGUUAUCUGAGCUAUUGCUGGAUCCCAAUGCAGAUCCAGAUUAUCAGUUAAAGAAUGGGAUGCUCAAGUUUAAAGGGCGGCUGUACAUAGGAUCUGCUAACAACAUUAGGACCAAGGUGGUCAGAGCAUUGCAUGACUCAGCCCUUGGGGGGCACUCAGGUCCUGGAAUCCGUAAGGAUGUCCUUCAAUAUGUGAGAUCUUGUGAUGUGUGUCAAAGGAACAAACAUGAAAAUGUUCCUUAUCCUGGGUUGCUGCAACCAAUUCCUGUACCUCAGCAGGCUUGGUCACACCUCACCAUGGAUUUUAUUGAGCAACUACCCCCAUCCCAUGGAUUUGAUACCAUUUUGGUGGUGGUGGAUAGGUUAACCAAGUUCAGCCACUUCAUUCGACUCACUCACCCUUUUUCUGCACAGCAGGUAGCACAGCUUUUCCUUGACAACAUAUACAAGCUGCAUGGACUUCCUGAGACCAUUAUAACUGACAGGGACAUAAUCUUUCUUAGUAAGUUUUGGCAAGAGUUAUUUGGUAUGGUAGGGGUAAAGCUGCACUACAGUUCAUCGUAUCACCCUCAAUCAGAUGGUCAAAGUGAAAGGGUCAAUCAGUGUUUGGAAAACUAUCUCAGGUGUAUGUGCAGUGAGCAUCCUUCUCACUGGAGCAGUUGGCUUCCUACAGCUGAGUUAUGGUACAACACUAACUUCCAUACUAGCUUGCAGGUGACACCAUUCGAAGCACUAUACGGGUAUAAACCAAAUCACCUUCCCUUAGGACCUUUUCAUGAUAGCCUGGUACCUGCUGCUGGUAACAUGGUGCAGACUAGGCUCCAAAUUCUAUCCCUCAUCAAAGAGAAUCUAGCCACCGCCCAGAAUCGAAUGAAAAUGUUUACUGAUAAGCACAGGACUGAACGUGUCUUCCAAGUGGGGGAUUGGGUAUUUCUCAAGCUGCAACCUUACAGGCAACAAUCAGUGGCCUUACGGAAGAAUUUGAAGUUGGCUGCCAAAUACUUUGGACCUUUCCAGAUCCUUGCGAGAGUAGGGGAAGUCGCCUACAGACUUAAGUUGCCAGAGGGAGCUCGAGUUCAUUCCGUGUUCCAUGUGUCCUUACUUAAAAGGAAAGUGGGAGUUACACAGCAGGUAAAGCCCAGCUUGCCAGAAGUAGACGCAUCAGACCAAUGUUUGCUGAAGCCAGAGAAGAUUCUCCAGAGGCGUGUUAUCAUACGAGCUGCCAAACCAAUCAUCCAGUACCUGGUGAAGUGGAACAACUUACCAGAAUCCGAAGCAUCAUGGGAGGAUAAAAGCUUCAUUGACAGACAAUUUCCGGAAUUUCAAGCUUGAGGACAAGCUUUGCUUAAGGGGAAGAGAUUGUCAGGAACAAGGAAAUAGAAUGGGACGUCGUUUAAUGCAAAGGGUUGUGCGUUUAAGGCCUUAGAAGCAAUACUACGUCAUUCUAAUAACAUAGGCGGUGCUGGUGUGAUAGGCCAAGUUAGUUGAGGGUCAAUUACAUAAAUAGCCUUCUGUAACAGAUUUUUGGUUAUGUUUUUGAAUGAAAAGUAUCUCGCUGCUUUCUCUCUCUUGUCUGUUAUUUCCCUCCCUUUUCUUCUUUCUCUCUUCCCUCUUCUUAAUCUUGUUUCUUUCUUCUGAUUCUUCCCCCAAAUUCAAUACAAUUCCAGAAAUUAACCUGCAGAUCUGACAAGGAGCCCUAUUCUAACCAAAUAACACACUACCAGGGUUAUUUUAGGUUAGCCCGCGUAUUCCCCUGACAUGAAUCCAAUCAUGCCAGUUAUCACUAUUUUGAAACAAUUAAACAAUUACGGAUUUAACGUCCCAAUUGACAAUAGAUUAUCAAAUUAACUAAUUAUCCGGAUCCAAAACAAUCAAUUAAUUAAAUAAUCAUAAGCACUGUAAUCAGGGAAUAUUUGAAUACCAAUAAAUAAAAAGAAAGGACAAAAUUAAAUCGAUUUCACAAUUUUUAAACGAACCACAACCUCAGUUGUUCCUCGGCUAGAUUGAGAAAAUUAGCUCAUGUUCGAUGCGAAAAAUCCACAAGAAAUUGUUAAGAGAGCCGCGGCCAUUGUCCCUUGAAAUUGGGGAAAUUCAAUUCGGUUGAACUACGAAAGAAAAGUAAGCUACAGAGAGUUGCCGAUUGGGUUUUGCUUGUCCCUAACAUGCGAGGGAGCAAAGCCACGAAAGGACGACAAAGGUCAAAAAGAAAGGCUACAGAGCAUGUUCCAGGUCUUUUUGUGCUCUCCACAUCCGAGCCAACGAAAAGAAAUAAAAAACUACCAGGAGCUAAAGGAAAACCGCAAGAAAAGUCAAAGGCUAAAAAAACUUCCUAGUGCUUGUUCUCUGCUUAUCUCUUUAUCUAAUUCUAAGUCCCCGAUUUUUUGCUCCGUGCGGCGGCUCCCCCGGAGAGAAAGGAUUGCAUCCGCUGCCCUCUUCCACCAAUUACCAAAAUGGGCACACCGCUUCUUUUUCAAAAAUGCUCCUGGAUAAACUCUAUCAUCUGGACUUUUUUUCUGUCAAAUUGACAUUUAUUAUUAUAUUUUCGUUCUACUCCCUGAAAUAAAUGUAAAAUAUUAAAAAUGAGUAGAAUCCGACAAUUAAUUCACAUCAGGUCAGAUAAUAAAGAAAAUUAAUAAUAAAAUAAAUAAAUAAAUUGCAACCUAUCAACCAAAUACAACAAUUUCAUGGAGUUUGAUACACAAGCCCAAAUACACGAGAGUGUGUAACCUGAAUUGUUACUUAUACAUUAGUGUGUAAUAGAACGGCAAGCAUUAUGGUGGUCAUUGAGCAACUUGUAGGAGAAAUAGUCCUAUAAGCUGUUCAAUGACCAAUCACAACUUGCUAAUUGGAUGACUAAUAUAGCUCUAGCUGUAAUGUUUUAAUUAAAUUCCAUCACUAACGUUGGGAUGACUUUUUAAUCAAAAAAAAAAAAGCCUUAGUUCAAGCUUUUCCCCUUAUUGUGCAUUUUUUAAAACAUUUGAUAGGCACUGCAAAUCUGUCAUUUUGGACAUUUUAUUAUUAACUAACAAUGAAAGCCGUGGACAUCAACCCAUAUCCAACAAAAUAUUAAAUUAAUAUUAGAAAAAAUUAUUAAGUAAUUGGAAAAAAAAAGAAGAGGCUAAUUUUCAUUGAAACCCACCGACAAACUAUACGCUGCUUUCAAUCAGUUUUAACACGGGAAAAAGAAAAGGCAUGAAAAGCAAAAUUUGUGGGGAUAAUUUCGGAAACCUCCCAUGAAGUUUUUGACUAUUUUACUGGCCUCCCUUCAGAUUUUAAAAAUUGGACUAAUCUUCCUUAAAGUUAAUUAUCUUGUAACAUUUAGAUCCGAUCAAUAAUUUAAAAAAUAAUAUUAUGAGAGAGAAAAUAAUAUGAUUUUAUUAUUGCCCCCAUCUCACCACAUUAUUUAAUUAAUUUAAUAGCAACCCACACAUUAAAGAAAAUGACAGGUCGUCAACCUGUGCAAUAAUAAAAUUAAACCUAAUUGCCAGUUAAAAUGACCAAAACCCAAUUCCAAGUACUGGAGCAGGGACUCUAGGUGUGCAAUGGGUUACUUGAUUCACCCUGUUCCCGAAGAGUUUGCUUGAUCCGAUAUACCCGAAUGGAAUGGUUAUUCCUUUUCACAAAUGAUUAGGAAUUUGUAGACAGGGCAAGUAGGGUCGUAUCCACAGAGACUGGGUAUAUUUGUUUCUUAAGAAAUCCAAAGUAACACAGGGGGUGAUUUUGUAGGAACGACGAUAAUUAAAUAAAUUCAAAUGAGAAAGUAAAAAUAAAUAAUUAACUAGAAAUUAAACCACAAUUUACUGAACUCAGGAUAACAAUAGUUAAAGGCCUCAAUUAAUUAAAAUAAGGAAACAAUCAAAAAUAAAAUAAAGUAGGUAAUUAAAAGUCAAAUGGCAAUCCACUACAAUCAAGGAAAUAUUAACUAAAGAUCUAGCCAAGAAAUAACUUCAGCAAUGGUUCACCUAAUCGAUCAUUGAUGCAAAGCAAUCCCAAUUAUUUACUAAUAAAUAGGUUAUAACUACCAAACAAGCGAUGGCAGUCAACCCCUCCUUACUGUGUCGGUGAUCAAGGUACGCCCGUUAAUCACUGCUCUAAUUGAGAAAUAAUCCUAGGUACGCCCGUAGAAUUUAAUUCCCCAACUGCCUUACGUAUUAGAGGAGCCCUAUUCUACCCAAAUAACACACUACCAGGGUUAUUUUAGAUUAGCCCGCGUAUCCCCCUGACACGAAUCUAAUCGUGCCAGUUGUCACUAAUUUGAGGUAAUUAAACAAUUACGGAUUCAAUACCCCAAUUGACAAUAGAUUAUCAAACCAAUGAAUUAUCCGGAUCCAAGACAAUCAACUAAUUAAAUAAUCAUAAGCACUGCAACCAAGGAAUAUGCGAAUACCAAUAAAUAAAGGAAAAGAUAAAAUUAAAUCGAUCUCACAAUUUACAGGUGACCCAAAGCAUCAGUCGUUUCUUGACUAGAACGAGGGGGUUAGCUCAUAUUGGAUGAACUAAGCCCGCGGGAAAUUCCAGCAAAAGUCACGGCCGUUGUAUGCAUUUCAAGAGCCGCAAUUCGUCAAACACUUGGAAAGCGAAUGUAAGGCACGGGUAACAAUUGAAACUUUCUAAUUGUUCCUAGCAUUCGUAAAGCAAAUUCACUCCAGAAGUACAGUGAGGAAAAGUCAAAGAAAGUGGGCUUCAAUUCCUUGCUCCUGACAUGCGUGGAGACAAGCCAAUGCAAGACUACAAUAAACUAACAAGGAAAAGUCAAGAAUUGGAGCUAAGCUCCCCUGCCAUGCGCAGGAAUCCCAAAAGUAAAAAGUAAAGCUUCAAAGAAAAGUCAACAAUUCUUCCUAAGCUACAGACGGAAGAUCCAGCACAAAAGCCAGCUCCCUUUUUGAUCCCUUUUUCCCCCUUCUUAUUGCGGCGGCUCACCAGGAGAGGAGAGCCCUCCGUCCGUCCUUUCUUCCGGAAAUUACCAAAAUGGGCAUGACAUCUUCUCUUCCAAAAGUGCCCCUGGGACAAGCUUUCUCAUCUGAAUUCUUUUUUUUUCCAAUUUGGCACCUGUUAUCAUAUUUAUAUUCUACUCCCUGAAAUAAACGUCAAAUACUAAAAGUGAGUAGAAUCCAGCAAAUAAAUCCACAUCAAGUCAGGUAAUAGGAGGAAUUAAUAAUAAAAUAAAUGAAUAAAUUGCACCCUAUCAAUUCCCUCCACACCUAAACCAUGCUUGUCCUCAAGCAUAAGAAAAGUAAACGAACACCAAAAUUCGACGAUAGCCAUUGCCCAAUCUCCUAUAUUGCCAAGACAUUCAAGAGAAAAACACAUAUCGAGCAUUGGUGAUUAGAAUCCCAGAAGCAUCCCCCCGGUUAGCCUCUAACCCCCAGAUUCCUUCAAUUUCCAACUUAACUACUCUAAGAAAGAGGAAUGGCACACAACAUUUAUCAGCUAGUGGUCCGAAUAUUCACACAAGUCUUCAUAUCCAAUCCAUAAACCGGCAAGCUUCCCUAUUAUUUAGUCUCUCUUUUUUUCCGUUUUUUUUCAUUUUCAUUCUUCCCCUCUUUUUUUUUUUUUUUUAAAGCAGUAGCAAUCAACACAAAAGACUUAGUCGUUAGCCGUCAGGGCCUUUUGAUGCGAACUCCAACAUUUUUAGAAGGAGGAGCCCGGUUACUCAGCUCCUACCGCUAUACGACCACGCACUCAUAUAAAAUACCACCUUUUGACGCGAGAAUCGACACUUUUAGGUGCCGAUCCCCGGUUACUCAGUAGUAACUUAAUAGCGGAGCACAGUCAAGCUUAUUCUCAGCCAAACAAUGCACAAACGCAAAAUAACAGCACUAACAAUCAAACAUAGGAGCAGCUCGCCUCAUUAUUGUCAAACAUGGAGAACUGGAGUCAAUAUUGGACCAGUUCACAUUAAAAGGCCAUAUUCAUUCCCUACGCCUAGAAAAGUUAACAAAGAAAUCGAAAGAGUCAAACAGUUAAAUAUUCACCAAGGGGAUAUUCAGGACCCAACCACACUAACCCGAUACAUUUUGUAUUUUAAAAACUUGGCAAAAGUAGAUUUGGAGUCAAUGAGUCCACAUCUCAAUUUUAGCCUUCACAUGAAAGGCAAUCACCAAGAAGAAAGAACGGAAAAAUAAGCAACUAGAAAUGAGACUACGAAAAACUACUAAAACUAAAAACUCACUUUUUUUCUUUUUCUCUUUUUUUUUCUUUUUGAAUUUUUUUUUCAUUUUUAUUUUUUUUUAUUUUUUUUAUUUUUUAAACAUUAACUAUAAACAUUAACUACUAAAAACUAAAAACUAAAACUACUAAAAACUAAAAACACUAAAAACUGCUAAAAUGAAAAGCUGAAAACUGAAAACUACUAAAAACGGAGCACACUAGCAUAACUUUAGAUCCCCCCCACACCUAUAGGACACAUUGUCCUCAAUGUGACAAAUAAGAACCAAAAGUGAAGCACAAGUGAGAGGGGAAUCAGCCAAACUUCCCUGAAAUCGGGUCACAGCGGAGGGCGAGGUGGAAAUGGAGGUGCAAAGCCUGUAUGCAUCAGGAACUGUGCCAAAUUCUGUGCUAUGCCGGCGACAUUGGCGUCGACGUUGGUCAUCCGGGCCUGCAAAUCCUGAACCAGCUCCCUGAGAUGCUGCCAAUCAUCGGUCCCAGGUGGUGGAGGUGGCGCAGAAGUAGAGGUAGACGGCCCAGCAGUGUCCGCGGCCGACCCAGGGAAUGAAGAUGGCCCUGCCCGGGCCGAAUGGUGUGCACCCGGGGCUCGAGGUGGUCCCGGACGGGUAAACUGGUGAAAACCAUCUGGCAGACGCUCGACGACCCCCAUUUUCUCUAAGCAAACUACGUCCAAGUGCUCCAUCUCAAAUGCCAAAUGGAGGUCGUGGUCAUCCAGGUUAAGAACUCCCAACUGGGUCGCCAAGUGAGUGAUGUAGGACCCAAGGAUCAGUGGUUUGUUCUUCUUGGUCAAGACCGUCUUGAACUGUGCGGCCAACCAACAUCCCAAGUUCACCUUGAUAUUGUUCUUCAUACUCCAGAGAAAGAAGAAUUCGGGCCGAGAGAGUAUACCGGAGCUGUCCUUGCGCCCCGAGUAGCUAUAAGCUAAGAAUCGCUGAACAUAGCGGGCGCUAGGGUCCUUAAGAAAGGAGCUCCUGGACCGGGAAGGAUCGUAGCGUUGCCUAUCGACGGACAUGUCCUCCCAUACAUCAUGGUAGUGGGAGAGGAAAGGCUCUACGUAGUCACAGGCACUCUCCGCAUACUCCCUAGUCUCAGCAUACUCUCUAGUGAUAAACCCAAAUGCCAGAUUGAAUUGAGUAAUGGAGAAAUUGAAUUCUCGACCCAUGAGCCGGAAAUGAAUGACAUUCGGUGUUUCACCCGUGUAUCUCGUAGGUAAUUCGAACUCAAAGGUGGAGUAAAACUCCCGGAUCAGCUCAACAAAAGCGGGACAAGAAAUAUGGAAAUAUGGGCGCCACCCAAUGGCUGUGAACAUUUGCUCAACCUCCUCCCGUAUACCCAGGGCAGUUAGAGAGAGUCUAUGACAAGACUUACAGGAUAUUAUACGCCUCUCGCAGACCUUAGCGUACCUCUGCCGAUCGGCGGGUCUGGUAAAUGUUAAGUGCCCCCCAAAAUGAACAGGUGCAUCUACCUGAGCACCCCUAUCCCUACCCAAACGGGUUCGAACACUAGAAGAGGAGGGUAGGUUGGUAGGUGAGUUGACAGGAAUAGAGGCUUGUGGAGGGGGUUGAGACUGAGAGGUCCUAGACCUAGAGGAGGAUUUCGGUCUCACCAUUCCCCCCAAAGUAAGUUCAAGGCAACAGAAAAUCCGACAAGUAUAGAAACCAGCAAUUGACAAAGCAAAAAUCUCCCAGUAGUAACCCAGCCAAUAGCAAACAAAAGAGUUCCAGCAAGUAAUCAACAAGCAAUUCAGAAAUAUCUCAACUAAAAUCUCAAGAGAAACCCCAGCGAGUUAUCCAGCAAUUCAAGCAAUAUCCCCAAGCAAUGUGGUGGUCAAAAUGUCAUCUCCAAAUUGAACAAAUAAUCAGAGCAUUGCAACACAUUGAAAAUCUCAAUAAACGGCUCCAGUUGGCCAAGAAAAAUUGCUAACUCAUACUCAGCAAUAGUAGUGCAGCAAAGGGACAGUAACCACGCAAUAAAAACACUUAGCUUGCACUCAAAUGGUCACCCCAAAUAACAACCCAGUAUGAAACCCGCAGGCAGAGUAUUCCUCAAACCGUUAGCCUAAACCCAGUCAACAACCACGGCCAGAAAUAACCCCAUAAAUAGUGCAAUGAGUAAUCCCCAGCAACAUAAUCAGGUGUAAUCAACUGGAGCAAGCAAUUUACAUGGCAUAGAAACCUCCCAAUCAAACAAGUGCAUUAUUCUAGCGCACCCCAAAAUUCCAAGAAAUGGCUCCAGUUGGCCAAUUAAUUUCACAAUGUCACCCAACUCAGGAGAAAUAGCAAUUCCACACAAAAAUAGUCAAACCAGUACCACUGGCGAAAAAUCUUUCAAAUAUGCACAAUUUGCUACCAAAUAUCACCGGCUAACACUGAAAAAUUGAGGGCAAGUGUCAAAUACCUCCACAGGGACUACCCCAGGCGGCAGACAGAGAAGCGGCGUUGAAGCUGGUGGUCGAGCGGGGCGGCGCUCGCGUCGGCGUGCGCAGCGGCGACGGCGCGCGAGGAUGGAGUUUCGGGAGGUUGCGUGCGGGCUUGGCUGAAGACGCGGCGCGCGCUAGGGCUUCGCUGCGGCAGGCGUGCAGCAGGGGAGAAGAAAGAAAAGAGAAAGAAAGAAAGAAAAAGAAAGGAAAGAAAGAACAGAAAAGAAGGAAAAGAAAAAGGAAUUUUUCUUUUUUUUCUUUUUCUUUAGGCUACGGUUUAGAGGACAAAUUUUUCUUCUUCUUGUUUUCUACUUUUUUAUUUUUUUAUUUUUUAGUUUUUAAUUUAUUACUAUUAUUAUCAUAUUUAAUUGAGGAAAAAAAAUGUUUUUUUUUAAAUCCCUACCUUUCCCACGAACGUGACGCGGGCACGUCAAGAGGGCAAGAGAGCUCCCAGAAGUUUCAGAAUUUUCUGAUCGUAAGCGUCCUGCACAUCACCACGCGGGCACGUCAUGAGGACAGGAGAGCUCCCAGAAGUUCAGAAUUUUCUGAUCGUGAGCGCCCUGCACGUCACCACGCGGGCACGUCAUGAGGCCAGGAGAGCUCCCAGAAGUUUGAAGUUUCUGAUUCCUGCCCGUCAUCACGCGGGCGCGUCAUGACUGAAGGUCACCUACAAAUCAGCAAAAACGAAAACUAACACCCAAAAUCAGUCAAAUUCAGGGAAAGCAGAUUUAAACUAUGCUACAAAACCAACAAACAAUUAAAAGAAAUAAUUAGGUUGCCUCCCAAUGAGCGCCUUUCUUUAAUGUCUUUGGCUAGACAUGGUAAAGUGUCACUGAUUAGGACACGGUGGUGCGUCAAGCCUUAUUGUCUCCACCUCUCUACCUGAAAAUCCUUCGUAAUAAUAUUUGAGACGGUGUCCAUUCACCACAAAUUUGUUGUCUGUCUUAGCACUCUGGAUCUCAACUGCACCAUAGGGAAAAACAUGAGUAACAAUGAAAGGUCCAAUCCAACGGGAACGUAGCUUACCUGGGAAUAGCUUGAGCCUGGAUUGGUACAGGAGGACCUUCUGACCAACUUCAAAUGUUUUUCUUGAAAUUUGUUGGUCAUGAAAUGCCCGGCUUUUCUCCUUAUAUAUCAAGGCGUUUUCGUAUGCUUCGUUCCGGAUCUCCUCCAAUUCUUGCAAAUCCAACUUCCGUUGAGCACCGGCCUCCUCUAAAUUCAUAUUGCAGUGCUUUAUCGCCCAAAAAGCCUUGUGCUCGAACUCCACUGGAAGGUGACACGGCUUCCCAAAUACCAACCUGUACGGUGACAUCCCAAUAGGAGUCUUGUACGCCGUCCGAUAGGCCCAGAGUGCGUCUUCCAACCUUUGGCUCCAGUCUUUUCUAUCAGGGCGCACCAUUUUCUCUAAAAUGGACUUAAUCUCCCGAUUCGACACCUCCGCUUGACCAUUGGUCUGAGGGUGGUAUGACGUUGAGACCCUGUGGAGUACACCAUACUUGCGAAACAACGCAGCUAUGGUUUUGUUGCAAAAGUACGUUCCCCUAUCACUGACAAUAGCUCUAGGCAUUCCAAACCGCACAAAGAUAUUAGACCUGAUAAAAUCUGCAACUACUCUCGAAUCAUUAGUUCGAGUGGCCUUAGCCUCCACCCAUUUAGACACAUAAUCAACUGCCAGCAAAAUAUAUAAAAAACCAAAUGAAGUAGGAAAAGGCCCCAUGAAAUCUAUACCCCAGACAUCAAAAAUUUCAACAAAAAUCAACGGGACCUGGGGCAUUUGAUCUCUACGGGCUAUAUUACCUACCAUUUGACAGCGAUCACAUGACUUACAAAACACAUAGGCAUCUCUAAACAAUGAAGGCCAAUAAAAUCCACUUUCUAAAACCUUAUGAGCAGUUCUCUUAGGUCCAAAAUGACCUCCACAGGCAAAAGUAUGACAAAAAGCUAAAAUUGAUUGAAAUUCCAUUUCACUUACACAUCUCCUCAUCACUUGAUCGGCACACCUCUUCCAUAGGUACGGGUCAUCCCAGAUAAAAUACUUGGCAUCGCUCUUCAAUUUAUCCCUCUUCGAUUUCGGCCAACCUGCAGGAAAAUUACCAGUUACCAAAUAAUUGACCAAAUCAGCAUACCAAGGCAACUGAGAAUUUAAGAAAAAUAGGUAUUCUUCGGGGAAUGCAUCCUUCAAUGGCUCGCUAUCCUCUUCAACUAGUAUGCGACUCAAAUGGUCCGCUACUAGAUUUUCUGAGCCUUUUUUGUCCCUUAUCUCCAAGUCAAAUUCCUGUAGGAGCAGUAUCCACCGUAUGAGCCUCGGUUUUGCAUCUUUCUUGGUCAUCAGGUACCUCAAUGCUGCAUGAUCAGAAAAUACAAUCACUUUAGCACCUAACAAGUAUGACCUAAAUUUUUCCAAAGCAAAAAUAACUGCCAGAAGCUCCUUCUCAGUGGUGGAAUAAUUCAACUGGGCUCCAUUCAAGGCCCGGGAUGCGUAAUAGAUGACAUGAGCCGCCUUGCCUAUUCUUUGCCCCAGUACAGCCCCAACAGCGUGAUCACUGGCAUCGCACAUGAUCUCAAAUGGCAAAUUCCAAUCGGGGGGUUGGAUGAUUGGGGGUGAAGUCAGCAAUUCCUUCAGCUUGUUAAAGGCUCUCUCACACUUAUCAUCAAAUUCGAAGGCUACAUCUUUUUGUAGGAGUUGGAACAACGGGGCUCCAAUCUUUGAAAAAUCCUUGAUGAACCUUCGAUAAAAACCUGCAUGUCCAAGAAAAGAGCGCACCUCCCGCACACUCGCGGGGUAAGGUAAUGCAGAAAUAAUGUCUAUUUUAGCCUUGUCAACUUCUAUGCCCUUAGACGAUACAAUAUGACCCAGGACUAUUCCGUGCUCAACCAUAAAAUGACAUUUUUCCCAAUUAAGCACAAGAUUAGUCUCUAUACACCUGAUCAGGAUUAAUUUCAGGUUAUCUAGACAAGUAUCAAAACUAUCACCAUACACACUGAAAUCAUCCAUGAAAACUUCUAUUAUUUUCUCAACAUACUCGGAAAAGAUGCUUACCAUACAUCUUUGGAAAGUCGCAGGUGCAUUGCACAACCCAAAUGGCAUUCGUCUGUAGGCAAAGGUCCCGAACGGGCACGUGAAGGUUGUCUUCUCUUGAUCCUCCGGGGCAAUUGCUAUCUGAAAGUAUCCUGAAAAUCCAUCCAAAAAGCAAUAAUAAGCCCUACCAGCUAAACGUUCAACCAUUUGGUCAAUGAAAGGGAGAGGGAAAUGGUCCUUUUUGGUGACGGCGUUUAGCCUACGGUAAUCUAUACAUUGCCUCCAUCCAGUGGGUUUGCGCACUGGCACGAGCUCACCAGUUUGGUUGGCCUCUACCGUCACUCCUGCAUUCUUUGGGACUACCUGGACCGGACUCACCCAAGGGCUAUCAGAUAUUGCAAAAAUGAUGCCCACAUCUAGCAAUUUUAGAAUCUCUUUCUUUACGACUUCCAUCAUGAGGGGAUUGAGCCUUCUUUGAGCCUGCCUAACAGGUUUGGCAUCGUCUUCCAGCCUAAUCCGGUGCAUACAAAUGGCCGGGCUGAUCCCCUUAAUGUCUGCGAUUGUCCAGCCUAUUGCCUCUUUAUGCUCCCGAAGGACCCGGAUCAAUUUCUCUUCCUGGGUCUUUGACAGUGCCGAUGAGAUAAUCACUGGGAGUGUCUCAUUAUCACCUAGGUAUGCGUAUUUCAGGUGCUCUGGUAGAGGUUUCAACUCCAGUACAGGUGCCUGCACCACAGAUGGCAAUACCCUCUGGUGAGCCUUGGGAGUAAAAAUAGGUAAGACUUCAUACCUUUUCGUGGUGGUCUGCAACGAGUGUAAUGCACCUAUUGUGCAUUUUAAAUCCUCGCUCCACUCCACCUCAGGAGUUGUCUCCAACUCGAGGUGCUUGGUUAAAGCCACCUCCAGCUCAUCCCUGCCAUCAGUUUCAAACACUUCCUGCACUACAGGGUCAAUAGCACUCACAGAAAAAACUGAGCUAAAGUUGGAGUUAGAGGGGUACUUCAUAGUAUCAAAAAUAUUAAAAUGCACAAUUUACCCAUCAAACUCCAUGGACAAGGUACCCUUAUUAACAUCAAUUUUCGUCUGCGCAGUGCUCAUAAAAGGUCUACCCAAUAACAAAGGUGAGGGAUCAGGGGAGUGAUCAUCAUCCAUAUCUAGUACAUAAAAAUCAGCUGGAAACACCAAAUCAUUAACCUUUACCAACACAUCUUCAAUCAACCCAUCAGGAUAUGCAUUAGUUCGGUCAGCUAAUUGAAUAAUUAUUCCAGUUUCUUUUAAUGGACCUAGUUUCAAAGAAGCAUAGAUAGAUUUAGGCAUGACAUUAAUUGAUGCUCCCAGAUCCAGCAUGGCCCUUCUGAUCACAGUAUUACCUAUCUUACAGGGAAUAGUAAACAUACCUGGGUCCCCGCACUUUGGUGGGAGCUUUCUCUGCAGGACCGCAGACACAUUUUCUCCAACUAUGACCCGUUCAUCUCCCCUCAACCGCCUUCGGUUGACACACAAGUCCCUUAGGAACUUGGCAUAUUUUGGUACUUGUUUGAUGGCGUCUAAGAGGGGGAUAUUUAUCUCAACCUUGCGAAAAACCUCCAAGAUCUCCUUCUCCUUAUCCUGCUUCUUCGAUUUUUCCAACCUGCUAGGAAAAGGAGGCGGGUUAGUUUUAACUGUAAUUAUUGGGUCAGGAAGUACCUCUGGAUCUGCACCAUUGCUGUCCUCCCUUUCGAGCUCAUUUUCGAUCUUCUCUUCAUCCUUGUCCUUGGGAAUCACAGGUUCAGGCCCCUGAAUUUCUUUCCCACUCCUUAGGAUCAUUGCGCUCACGUUCUUCGGAUUCAACUCCGGUUGAGAUGGCAGCUUCCCUUGGUUCUGGGACUCCCAACGGUUCAUUCUGGUGGCCAAUUGACCUAUCUGAUUCCUUAUGUCCUGCAUUUCGGAGUCCGUCUUUUGCUGAUUUUGCAUAAUAGCUGCCUCCGUCCUUUGCUGAUUCUGCGCCAUGGUUGUCAUCAUUUGUUUCAGCAUCUCAUCCGUAGAUGAACCAGAUUGAGGGAGCGGAGGUGGUCGGGGUUGGUAUUGCUGCUGGUACCCUGGUGGCUUAUUUGGCACAAAGUUAGACUGCCUGUUUGGCGUGAAGUUGGAUUGCCUAUUUCCACCAUAACUGAGGUUGGGAUGAUCUCUCCACCCGGGGUUGUAGGUGCUUGAGUAAGGGUCGUACUGCUUCCUUGGCGCGGGCGCGUGGUCAGCCAUGUUCACCUGUUCCGCAGUUUCUUCCUGAAUCAUUGGGCACAUGUCUGCAGAGUGACCUAUACCAGUGCAAAUCCCGCAUACCCUGGCUUGUGAUGCAUUUCUCACAGCCUAUUGCCUAACGAACGCAGUCAACUCAUUUAGCUGCUGCUGCACAGAGGGUGUCUCUAUCUCAUUCACCCUACGUAUUGGGACAUCCUAUCUUGUACUGAAUUGCUGUGAAUUCUCUGCCAUCCCCUCUAUUAACUCCCGUGCUUCCUGAGGGGUUUUGUUCACCAGUGCCCCUCCACUUGCAGCAUCAAUGAUGCUCCUGUCUCUAAAAAUGAGCCCCUCAUAGAAAUAUUGUAUGAUCAACUGCUCACUUAUUUGGUGAUGGGGGCACCUGCGCAACAAGCUCUUAUACCGUUCCCAAUACUCGUAAAGUGACUCCUCGGGAUGCUGCUUGAUCCCACAAAUUUCUUUCCUUAGACUCGCAGCCCUGGACGCAGGAAAAUAUUUAUCCAGAAAUUUUUUCUUCAAUUGGUCCCACGUGGUGAUGCUACCUGGUGACAGGUAGUACAGCCAGUCCUUCGCAGAAUCUUUCAAGGAGAAGGGGAAUGCCCUCAUUUUUAUCUGCUCUUCUGUGAUUCCCGGGGGUUUCAUACUGUUGCAAACGACAUCAAACUCCUGCAGAUGCUUAUACGGCUCUUCACCUGGUAAACCAUGAAAAGAGAGUAAAAGCUGAAUCAGACCAGAUUUUAGUUCAAAUGGAAUGUUGUCAUUUAAAGCUGGGAAAGUAAUGCAUAACGGCUGCUGAGUUAAAUCAGGAGCAGCCAACUCCCUUAAUGUUUAUGCAUUAGCCAUGGUGCCUUCCUGCUGGUCAGAGUCACUCGAAGUGUUACCAAACGAAUCUGUUGGUUCAACUUCUGACUCGGGUCUUUGAGAUGUAGCACUAGAGUGCUCUUCUCUGAGCUGUCUGGUUUCCUUUCUCGUUCUACGCGCGGUCUUCUCUACCUCAGGAUCAAAAACCAAAUCACCUGUGCGACAAGAUCGAGGCAUACACUAGAAGAAAACCAGAAAAUUAGGACAAAAUUGAAUUUAAGAAGAAACAAAUAAUAACGCCAGUCCCCGGCAACGGCGCCAAAAAUUGACAGGUCGUCAACCUGUGCAAUAAUAAAAUUAAACCUAAUUGCCAGUUAAAAUGACCAAAACCCAAUUCCAAGUACUGGAGCAGGGACUCUAGGUGUGCAAUGGGUUACUUGAUUCACCCUGUUCCCGAAGAGUUUGCUUGAUCCGAUAUACCCGAAUGGAAUGGUUAUUCCUUUUCACAAAUGAUUAGGAAUUUGUAGACAGGGCAAGUAGGGUCGUAUCCACAGAGACUGGGUAUAUUUGUUUCUUAAGAAAUCCAAAGUAACACAGGGGGUGAUUUUGUAGGAACGACGAUAAUUAAAUAAAUUCAAAUGAGAAAGUAAAAAUAAAUAAUUAACUAGAAAUUAAACCACAAUUUACUGAACUCAGGAUAACAAUAGUUAAAGGCCUCAAUUAAUUAAAAUAAGGAAACAAUCAAAAAUAAAAUAAAGUAGGUAAUUAAAAGUCAAAUGGCAAUCCACUACAAUCAAGGAAAUAUUAACUAAAGAUCUAGCCAAGAAAUAACUUCAGCAAUGGUUCACCUAAUCGAUCAUUGAUGCAAAGCAAUCCCAAUUAUUUACUAAUAAAUAGGUUAUAACUACCAAACAAGCGAUGGCAGUCAACCCCUCCUUACUGUGUCGGUGAUCAAGGUACGCCCGUUAAUCACUGCUCUAAUUGAGAAAUAAUCCUAGGUACGCCCGUAGAAUUUAAUUCCCCAACUGCCUUACGUAUUAGAGGAGCCCUAUUCUACCCAAAUAACACACUACCAGGGUUAUUUUAGAUUAGCCCGCGUAUCCCCCUGACACGAAUCUAAUCGUGCCAGUUGUCACUAAUUUGAGGUAAUUAAACAAUUACGGAUUCAAUACCCCAAUUGACAAUAGAUUAUCAAACCAAUGAAUUAUCCGGAUCCAAGACAAUCAACUAAUUAAAUAAUCAUAAGCACUGCAACCAAGGAAUAUGCGAAUACCAAUAAAUAAAGGAAAAGAUAAAAUUAAAUCGAUCUCACAAUUUACAGGUGAUCCAAAGCAUCAGUCGUUUCUUGACUAGAACGAGGGGGUUAGCUCAUAUUGGAUGAACUAAGCCCGCGGGAAAUUCCAGCAAAAGUCACGGCCGUUGUAUGCAUUUCAAGAGCCGCAAUUCGUCAAACACUUGGAAAGCGAAUGUAAGGCACGGGUAACAAUUGAAGCUUUCUAAUUGUUCCUAGCAUUCGUAAAGCAAAUUCACUCCAGAAGUACAGUGAGGAAAAGUCAAAGAAAGUGGGCUUCAAUUCCUUGCUCCUGACAUGCGUGGAGACAAGCCAAUGCAAGACUACAAUAAACUAACAAGGAAAAGUCAAGAAUUGGAGCUAAGCUCCCCUGCCAUGCGCAGGAAUCCGAAAAGUAAAAAGUAAAGCUUCAAAGAAAAGUCAACAAUUCUUCCUAAGCUACAGACGGAAGAUCCAGCACAAAAGCCAGCUCCCUUUUUUAUCCCUUUUUCCCCCUUCUUAUUGCGGCGGCUCACCAGGAGAGGAGAGCCCUCCGUCCGUCCUUUCUUCCGAAAAUUACCAAAAUGGGCAUGACAUCUUCUCUUCCAAAAGUGCCCCUGGGACAAGCUUUCUCAUCUGAAUUCUUUUUUUUUCCAAUUUGGCACCUGUUAUCAUAUUUAUAUUCUACUCCCUGAAAUAAACGUCAAAUACUAAAAGUGAGUAGAAUCCAGCAAAUAAAUCCACAUCAAGUCAGGUAAUAGGAGGAAUUAAUAAUAAAAUAAAUGAAUAAAUUGCACCCUAUCAGAAAAAUGCAAAAAUUUGUUAUUUAUCAUUAAGGAUCAUAUCGCAUAUAACAUCAAAAAAUAGUAUAUUAUUUAUAUCUUUCACUUAAUAUAAUAUCCAAAUUACUCUUUUCAGUUACAUACCCAUUGUUAGACAAAAUCAACAACAAAUAACCAAAAAAUUUGCAACCAAAAUAUUACCAAAAAAAUAAACUUUAACAUCAUAAAUAUUUUUAUCAACAUAUUAAAGUUAGUUAUUGAAAUUUUUAUGGUGUUAAACUUCACUCUUAGCAAUAUUUUGGUUACAGAUUUUUUUGAUUAUUUAUUGUUGAUCGUGUUUGACAAUGGAUUUGUAACUGAAAAGAAUAAUUUGAAUCUUACAUUAAGUGAAAUAUAUAAAAUAUUAUACUAUUUUUUAUGGCAUAUGUGAUUCUUUUUUUUUUUUUUAUCAGAACGGCAACAUUGUAUUAAUAGUAAACCAAUUACAGUAUAGGUGGGCAACCGCCCUCACAAUCUGCCUGGACUUGUUCCAGCAGCCAAACUGGGAAGUUUUCCUUCCAUUCAGUAUUUUGUUCCAAAGUAAUAGCUACUUUAGCUAGUUUAUGGCUAACAAAGUUGUUCACCCUAUUUGCAAAGGUAAAACAACAUUCAUCAAAUUUUAUUCAUGUACAAUUGUUGCUAUCACCACGUCCUCCUCCUCCUCCUCACUGCACACUACUUGACUACCACCCUUCGCCAACCUUGCUGUUGCAUGUGCAACUAUCAUGGCCUCUCUUAGCGCCUUUGCUUCUUCGACCUUUGGACUGGCACAGCUAAAAUUUGGAACAGCCCAGGCCCACCCGCAAUCUUCCCAACCAAUCCCUGGCCACCCUUUUCCCACCCAGCUUCUAUGGCAUGUGUGAUUCAAUCCUUCUUGAUAGGAUUGGUAAUAGAGGCAGAGGGGGGAGCCGGCUGCAUCCGGUCUACUUUUCAUAGAUAGUACAAUAUUGCGAAAUCGAUCGCAUUCACACAAGAAUAUUUCGAAGUCAUUGCAUCGCUAAGUUGCAAAAAAGUACAAACACUUGUUAUUAUAUAGCUUAAGAUUCAAAACUUUAGAGCACAACCCUCCACCUAACACAAUUGAAUAAUGAAUAUUCACGAUUGUCAAAUCUGUCAAAGCACAGUUUGAGGACAACCCAUUCCAACCUGCAAAAGAUUUUUGACUUUUUUAAAGUUGUUGAGAGCUGUAAAAAGACUUACCAUGCUUACAUCUUCCGAGCCUUGGGAGUUAAAAAUGAAGGCACUGAGUGCUAUAAAAAGGGGGCUAGAGGCUGCCUAGAAGCAUAUCAGCCUAAAACAAGAAUUUGUAGUUAUGAUGGGAAGCAAAGCAAAAGCAAUGGGGUCUGGGCUGACUCCUCUUCUUACCACUGUUUUAGUGGUAUUUGUUGCUCUUGGCUUGCCCUCAGAAACUGCAGCUGAUGAUCACUACAAGUAUUCAUCUCCUCCUCCUCCUUACCACUAUCCCUCACCACCACCUCCAGUGCAUUUACCUCCACCAGUGUACAAAUACAAGUCCCCACCACCACCUCAUCAUGUUUACAAGUACAAAUCUCCACCACCCCCACCACCACACCCAGUUUACAAGUAUAAGUCGCCACCACCACCUCCUCAUCCGGUAUACAAGUACAAGUCUCCUCCGCCACCUCCUCAUCCGGUACCACACCCAGUUUACAAGUAUAAGUCACCACCACCACCUCCUCAUCCGGUACCACACCCAGUUUACAAGUAUAAGUCUCCUCCGCCACCAGUUUACAAAUAUAAGUCUCCUCCACCACCACCUCCAGUGUACAAAUACAAGUCUCCACCACCACCAGUUUACCACUACAAGUCUCCACCACCUCCUCCCCCAGUUUACAAAUACAAGUCUCCACCACCACCACCACCAGUUUACCACUACAAGUCACCACCACCUCCUCCCCCAGUUUACAAAUACAAGUCUCCACCACCUCCUCACCACUACUAAGCAAUUGCUUCUGAGGUAAUAACACUUGUUCAAUAUACCCACUUCUGCAUGAUAAAGCAUAUCUCUAUCAACACAAACUGUCAUGUCUAUCAUGCUAAGUGCCUUCACUUCAUCCACCAAAAUGACUGCUAGAAAAUUUUUUUUAUGUUACCAAAGAAAGGCAUCAUUUUUUCCCUCUGUUAUCAAGAACUUGUACAGUAUAUAGAUUAAAGAGUAUUUUUUUAACUAGCUUAUCAACUGAGAAAUGCAUAUAGCUGAUAGCCAGCUGAAUAUUUGCAGGCAAAGGAGAAGGAAACCAGUGUUUGAGACCUUCUUGAAGAUGUAGAAGCAUAAGAAUUAAAGCCCAAUGUGAAGAUGAUGAUUUCAAGUUUUUCUACGUUACCAUUUCUUUAUCUAAAUUGGUUGUAGCGCCUUAGUUCCUUUGUUUAUGGGAUUUGUAUCGUUUUACGUACCAUGCAGUACAUGUCAUGUUUGUAAGGUUUUCUAUCCUGCCGGCAAACCGCAGGUUCCAUGUAAUAAAUCAAUACUAUUUAUAUUACGACACUUUUCUCUGUUUCUCUUAUAUUUUGUCGUCUUUAAUAUUCUUAAUCAUAUUUUUAACAAAAAUAUUCAAACACUUAGGCAAUCUGGUCUAAUGCUAAUUGUAUGUUUUACUUUUCUUUUUCACCUGCUCCCCUUUUCAACUCAAAAGGAUGCAAUAGUUUGUGAUCACUGUUGAAGACGGAAGCAUGAUACUAAUGAAUAUAUCAUUGAAACUCAAGGAAACUAACAUUAUGAAAAGUGUAAAUCUUGAUUUGAUGCAACUAUUUAUUCGUGGAAUCUAUAGUUACAAAACUCAAACUCUGACUGCGCCAUUGAUAAAUUAUUAAUGACGCUAUCAUCAUUAUUUAUCCCCAACUAGUUUCGACUACAACUGAACCCAAUAUUUUCCCCAUGAUAAAAGUUUUUUACUAUUUUACUGGCCUCUCUUCAAAUUUUAAAAAUUACACUAAUCUUCAUUGAGAUUAAUUAUCUUGUAGCAUUUAAGUCCAAUUAAUAAUUAAAAAAUAAUAUUAUGAGAGAGAAAAUAAUAUAAUUUUAUCAUUGCCCCCCAUCUUGCUAUAUUAUUUAAUUAAUUUAAUAGCAACCCACACAUUAAAGAAAAAUACUAAAAUUUGCUGCUUUUCAUUAAAGAUCAAAUUGCAUAUGCCAUAAAACAUAGUAUAUCAUUCUAUAUGUUUCACUUAAUGUAAGAUCCCAAUUGUUCUUUUCAAUUACAAACCCAUUGUCAAACAUGAUCAAUAACAAAUAACCAAAAAAUUUGCAACCAAAAUAUUACAAAAAAAAACUUUAACAUCAUAAAUAUUCUUACCACCUCUAGUGCAUUCACCCUCAUAAAAUAAUUCAAGACCCUACUGUCAUAAAAUGACUGAUCAACUCCUGUAAACCUAAUUUGACAACAUUUAAAUGGAGAACUUUAGCUAAAAGAAUUAUGGUCAAGCUAAAGAAAAAACCAGUUAUUUUCCAACAUAUGCAAUCAUUGAUCAGGGAAAAAAAAAAGAAGCAAAAAGACAUCUUCAAUCAUUUAAUAGCUUACAGGGCAAAUUAACCCCUAAGCGAAAACUGGUUGCUCUAGAAUCAAAAUUUUACUUUAGUUACCCAGGCAACUUUUUUUGUUGCCUUUUCUUUUUCUUUUUUGGGUAUAUAUAUAGCUCCAGUUUUGCCCCCUCUGUCAAGCUUAUAUAAUUAUUAAGAUAAUAAAAGUGCCUUUAAUAGUAUUAAUAUAUCCAUUGACUUGAGCUGUCAUCGAUCGGUUUGGGCUACUUCGAUUCCAUGAGAACAAAUGGUAAUAAAAGUACUCAGAAAAUGGGGAGUCAUGAAACCCUUUUGUUCUAUUCAUUGCUAAGAUGCUUUUCUCUAUAAAGACACUUCCUAACGAAAAUACUUUGUAGAUUUCUUUACUCCAAGUGGUGCAUGGAAAAUUAAUAUUUUCAAUUAUCAAAUAAAAUUCCCUUUUUUCGGUGUAGAUUUCAUCCAUUCAGCUGUUAACACUCCGAAUUGACUAAUCUUUUCGUUUCCAUUUUCCAACUUGCGAAUACGGCAUCUUACAUAUUGUCUGCUGAAUAUGAAUACAUAUCCCUUUUCUGAGCAGGUGCAGAGUCAUUAUCAUUUUUAUUCCCACCUAACAAAUUAGUUAAUAAUCUUUUAAAGAACAUGUUAAAUUAAUUUAUUGGUAUGAAUAGUAGUCAAAGAAGUAUGUUAAAGUUAGUAAUCUUUAAAAUAAUAUGUUAAAAUUAUUCGUACAAAUUAGCCAGAGAAGUAGCAUAAACACCGCGAUGCAAUUAAUACUUUCAAUCUCAAGGUCUCUAUUAUGGAAAUUUGCAUCGGUCAACAUACACAAAGCAUUAUUGUAUGCACGUCUCUCUAUUAUGGAAAUUUGCAUAGGUCAAUAUACACUUGGCAUAGUUGCAUGCACGUCCAAUUUUUUUUUAUUUUUAUUUUUGGUAUUUUACUUCCUGCCUUAAGUUGCCUGCAGAUGUUUGUAUUACAAAUAUAUGGUAUACUAAAUAUAUAGUAUGCACAUUAAUUUCUUUGGGUUGCUUAAGGGUAUAUUGUUAAUAAUAGGGGGUUUAACCAUAAAUUAUAACAAUGAUGAAGUAAUAUAUAUUAGAAAAUUAACACAAUUAUGAUUUUUUUUUUUGUAAAAUUCAAAUUUUAUUAAUAAGAAAUGAAAUAGGCAGUAAGCAUUUACAAACCGAAAACAAAAUCCUACAACAACUCUAGGACUCUACACCUUAUUAAAAAAAAACAUUUUGAUAGCGUUUUUCCAAAAGCAGAAGAUGGAAAAUUGCCCAUUUGUACUGGGGAGUUCGUGAUCUUUUCCUCAUUCUAGUCUACUUACAAUUCUUGGAAAAAGGAAUACUCACAUCUCAAACAACAGCCUGUUCAUCUGCAGUGUCCUGCCGAAUUCUAGAAAGUUUGGUGGCAAUGUUAAUUACAUUUCAAAAUUGACUGCUGCGAUAACUAAUUCGAUGGCUUACUACAUGGUCAACGUUUGGAUCUCUUCCUGUCCUUUUUGGAUGCACAUUUUUUUUCUCUAGGUAAUAUAUAAUCUCCCAACUCAUUUCUUUACAAAUGCACCUUUAAUCACCACCAAAAGGUGUGGACAUGAUCUUUACCCUAGAAAACUAUUCACCGACAGGCAAAUUGACGUCAGAAAUACUAAGAGGAAUUCUAGUUUCCUUCGGGUUAAUGCCAUUUUGUACCCUUCAACUGUAACUCAAUUUCUAAGCUGUAAUUUGUGACAUUAUAGUCCUUAAACUAUGAAACCCUUUCUUAUUUAAUUACAAUGGUUAAUACAAUGCCCGUGACUAGACAAGUAUGAAGCAACCAUAACAAAAAAAAAAUCCAAAAUUAGAGAAAAGAAAGAAGUUGCGACCAAAGUAUGUAUCAAGGCAUAGUAUAGAAAUAAAAGUGUCAAAAUUAAGAGUUUAGGGAUAAAAAAGAAUCAAAAUAUAGUUUAGGAAUUGAUUUGUCUCAAUUAGAGUUUAGAUGUCAACUAAGAAGAGAGAUAUAGUUGAAGGGUAGAAUAUAGAUAUAACAGUUCAAUGAUUGAUAUCAACGAGACAAUGACAACUUUGGAUUAUUACCAACCUCUUCUUGAUGGAAAAGGAAAUAGAGAAGAAAGUCGGGCCUGGUCUAAGCCUGUUUCGGAGGCAAAACAACAUUAUGAAAUCACCGGCAUUCACACAAAUAUGUCAAAGUCACCGGCAUGCUAAGUUGCAAAAUUUAUACAAACACUGAAUAUUAUAUUCUUCUCAAAAUUUUUGUUUAAGAUUUAACAAUUAGAGCACGGUACACGAAUUAGCAAUAUUAAAUAAUGAAUGUUCACGAUUGAUAAAGUUAUCAAAGUACAGUUUGAGGACAACCCAUUCCAACGUGUACAAGAUGUUUAGCCUUUGAAAAGUUAAUUAGAGAAGGUGACGAGAUUUUACUAGGCUUACAACUUCUAGGCCUUGGGAGUAAAAAGUGAAGACACUGAGUGCUAUAAAAAGGGGGCUAGAUGUUGCCUAGAAGCAUAUCAGCCUCGGACCACAUUUUGUAGCAAUGGGGAGCAAAGCAAAAGCAAUGGGGUCUAGGCUGACUCCUCUUUUUACCACCGUUUUAGUGGUAUUUGUUGCACUUGGCUUGCCUUCAGAAACUGCAGCUGAUUACGACAAGUAUUCACCUCCUCCUCCUCCUUACCAUUAUUACUCACCACCACCUCUUGUGCAUUCACCUCCACCACCGCCAGUUUAUAAGUCACCCCCACCACCUUAUCACUACUUCUCACCACCACCUCCAGUGUAUCCAUCUCCACCACCAUCUGUUUACAAGUCACCUCCACCACCUUCGCCAGUAUACAAGUCCCCACCACCACCUUAUCAAUAUUCCUCACCACCACCUCCAGUGCAUUCACCUCCACCACCACCGAUUUAUAAGUCACCUCCACCACCUCCUCCAGUUUACAAGUCCCCGCCACCACCUUACCAUUAUUCCGCACCAUCACCUCCAGUGCAUUCACCUCCACCACCACCGAUUUACAAGUCACCUCCACCACCUCCUCCAGUUUACAAGUCUCCAUCACCACCUUACCAUUAUUCCUCACCACCACCUCCAGUGCAUUCACCCCUACCACCACCGGUUUACAAGUCUCUGCCACCACCUUACCAUUAUUCCUCACCACCACCUCCUAUGCAUGCACCUCCACCACCAAUAUACAAGUCACCUCCACCACCUCCUCCAGUUUACAAGUCUCCACCACCACCUUACCAUUAUUCCUCACCACCACCUCCAGUGCAUUCACCCCUACCACCACCAGUUUACAAGUCUCCGCCACCACCUUACCAUUAUUCCUCACCACCACCUCCUGUGCAUGCACUGCCACCACCAAUUUACAAGUCACCUCCACCACCUCCUCCAGUUUACAAGUCCCCACCACCACCUUACCAUUAUUCCUCACCACUACCUCCAGUGCAUUCACCUCCACCACCACCGAUUUACAAGUCACCUUCACCACCUCCUCCAGUUUACAAGUCUUCACCACCACCUUACCAUUAUUCCUCACCACCACCACUCUUCAAUUUGGAUGUAAUUCAAUUUUCCUUGUAAUCGGUGGCCCUCCUUCGGAAUCCAAAUAGUCAUUGAGUGCAGCCUUCUUUCUUUAUUUUUUACUCAUUUUCACCUCAUAAAUUGCUUUCAUCCCCUAAAACUUGUUCGCUGGAAUUUUGAAUUUACCCAUACAACUAAACUCAGAAAAUUCUUACACAAAGGGAUUAGUAGCAUGAAUAGCAAACACAGAAUAAGAGAUAACAGUAUGUUUUAUUGUAUUAAAAAUAUUAAAGUGGAUUAUUUCUCCAUCGAAUUCCAUUGUGAGAGUAUCGUUACUAACAUCAAUCUUAGUUUGAGCAGUACUCAAGAAUGACCUUCCUAAUAUAAUGGGUGAUGGAUUUGGGACACUUUCAUCAUCCAUAUAAAACACAUAAAAAUCAACAGAAAAAAUUAAUCCAUCUACUUGAACUAAAAACAUCCUCAACUACCCCAUUUAGAUAAGCAAAUAUACGAUCAGCCAAUUGAAUUAUUAUCCCUAUUUCUUUUAAAUGUUCUAAAUUUAGGGAAUCAUAAAUUGAUUUAGACAUCACAUUAAUAGAAAUCUUUAAAUCUAUCAUGGCAUUUUUUAUAUUAGAAUGUCCAAUCUUACAUGAGAUAGUAAACAUACCUAGAUUCUCGCAUUUAGGUGGUAGUUUCCUUUGUAAAAUUGCUGAAACGUUCUCAUCUACCACAAUAUGCUUGUCCUCCUCAAUUUCUUCUUGUUGACACACAAGUUUUUCAAGCAUUUAACGUAUUUUGGAACUUAUUUGAUUUGCGUCCAACAAAGGGAUAUUGAUUGCCACCUUGCGAAAAUCUCUAAAAUCUCCUUUUCUUUAUCUUGUUUCUUUGAUUUCUCUAACCUGCUUGGAAAAGGUGGUGAGUUAGUUCCAACUCUAAUUAUAGAAUCAACAAUUACCUUUGGAUUCACAUUUCUCAUUCCUUCCUCCUCAAGCUCUUUGUCGAUUCGAUCUUCAUUUUUAUCCUUUGGAAUCACAACUUCGGAUCCCUGAAUUUUCUUCUCGCUCCUUAAGGUCAUUACACUUACAUUCUUCAGGUUCAGUUCAGGUUGAGACGACAAUUUUUCAUAGAUUUGGGAUUCCAGGCGGUUGAUUGCUAUUACCAUCUGACUCAUCUGACUCUGCAGUGCUUGCACCUGUCCCAAUUGAUUCCUCAUACUUUGCAAGUCAAAAUCCAUCUUUUGUUGAUUAGCAAUUAAUUGCUUCAUUAUCUCUUCUAUAGAUGGACUUGAGUUUGAAAGAGGUGGUGGCGGGCGAGACUGAUACUGUUAUUGAUACCCUUGCUAUCUAUUUGGUGCAAAAUCUGGCUACCUAUUUCCUCCAUAGCUGAGGUUGGGAUGAUCUCUCCAACCAAUAUUGUACGUAUUCGUGUACGAGUCGUAUGGUUUUCUUGGCACGGCGCGUGACCAGCCAUGUUCACUUGCUCCGUACUUUUCUCUUGAAUCAUUGAGCACAUCUCUGUAGAAUGACCCAUAGCAGUGCAGAUCCCACACAUCUUGACUCGUGAUGCAUUUCCUAUAGCUAAUUGCCUAACAAAGGAUGUUAAUUCGGUCAACUGCUGUUGGAUAGAAUAUGUUUCUACCUCAUUUACUUUGCGUGUUGGGGCAUCCUCCCUCGUACCAAACUGUUGCGAAUUUUCCGCCAUUCCUUCAACUAGCUCCCACGCUUCUCGAGAAGUCUUGUUCACCAAUGCCCUUCUACUUGCAGCAUCAAUUAUACUCCUGUCUCUAAAACGCAGCCCCUCGCAAAAAUAUUGGAUGAGCAAUUGCUCACUUAUUUGGUGUUGAGGGAACUUGAUGCAUAACUUCUUGAAUCGCUCCCAAUAAUCAUAAAGCGACUCUCCUGGAUGCUACUUGAUACCGUAUAUCUCCUUCCUUAGACUUGCAGCUCGAGAUGCAAGAAAAUAUUUGUCCAAGAACUUUUUCUUCAGCUGAUCCCACGUGGUGAUGCUACCUGGUGGUAGAUAGCACAGCCAGUCUUUUGCGGAGUCCUUCAAGGAGAAGGGAAAUGCCCUCAUUUUUAUCUAUUUUUCUGUAAUUCUCGGAGGUUUUAUGCUGUUGCAAACGACAUCAAACUCUUGCAAGUGCUUAUACGGUUCCUCACCUGGUAAACCAUAGAAAGAUGGCAAGAGAUGAAUUAGACCAGAUUUUAACUCAAAUGAAGUGUUAUCAUUUAAAAAUAGAAAAGUAACUGAGAUGCAGCACUGGAAUGUUCUUCUCGAAAUUGUCUGGUCUCUUUCUUUGUUCUACGCGUAGUCUUCUCUACCUUAGGAUCAAAAAUUAAUUUACCUGUACGAGAAGAACGAGGCAUACACUAGAAAAACACUAGAAAAUUAGAACAAAAAUGAACAUAAAAAGAAACAAAUAAACCAACGUCAGUCCCCAGCAACGGCGCUAAAAAUUGACAAGUUGUCGAUGCCUGUGCAAUAAUAAAAAUAAACCUAGUUACCAAUUAAAAUAAUCAGAGCCUAAUUCUGAGUACUAGAGCAGGGACUAUAGGUGUGCAAUGGGUUACUUGAUUCACCCUAUUCCUGAAGUUUGCUUAACCCGAUAUACCAGAAUGAGAUUGCUUAUUCAAAAGGAAUUAUUGAUUUGUAAACAGGGCAAGUAGGGUCGUAUCAUCAGGGAUUGAAAAAAUUUGUUUCUUUUCAAAUCCACAGUAACAAGGGGAUGUUUUUGUAUAAAUGAUAACAAUCUAAGGAGUGCAAAUAGAAAUAAAUAGAUAACUAGAAAUUAAAUGACAAUUCACUAAAAUUAGAGUAAUAAUAAUUAAAGGUCUAGCUAAGAAAUAACUUCAGCAAUGGUUCACCUAAUUGAUCAUCGACGCAAAGGCAAUUCCAAUUAUUUACUAAUAAAUAGGUUAUAACUGCAAAACAAGCAAUGACAGUCAACCCCUCCUUACUGUCGGUCGGUGAUUAAGGUACGCCCAAUCACUGCUCUAGUUGAGAAAUAAUUUUAGGGACGCUCGUAAGAUUUAAUUUUCCAAUUGCCUUACGUAUUAGAGGAGCCAUAAUCUAACCAAAUAACGCUACCAGGAUUAUUUUAAAUUAACCCGUGUAUUCCCUUGAUACAAAUUCAAUCAUGUCAGUUGUCACUAUUUCAAGGUAAUGAAACAAUUACGGAUUUAAUAUCCUAAUUGACAAUAGGUUACUAAAUCAAUUCACUAUUUCGAUCCAAGAUAAUCAAUCAAUUUAACAACUAAUAGCACUGCAAUCGGAGAAUAUGUAAAUACCAAUAAAUAAGAGGAAAAGAUAAAAUUAAAUCGAUCUCACAAUUUUUAAACAAAUCAAAGUAUCCGUUGUUUCUUGACUAGAAAAGAAAAUUUAGUUCAUUCCUAAUGUGAAAGACCCACGUGAGAAUUCAAAAAUAAUAUUCACGGAUAUUGUCUUGAUUCAAUAGAUUCAAUUGCGUUGGAAUAAGGAUAAAAAGCCAAACUAUAGAGAGUGAUUCAAUGUUUUGUUUCGUUUGCAUUUUUUCUACACAUAUGGAAGAAGAAAAACAACUAAAGGACGAAAAAAAAAAGUCAAAGAAAGGCACCCAAAGUAGUGCUUGGUCUCUACCAUCCUAUUUCCUAUCUAAUUACUACUUCCCUUCUGCGGCUGCCUAGAGGAAGAAAGAGAAAGCAGACUUCAGGUCUUGUUCCAUCUCCUCCCUUUUCGGCAAUUCCCCAAAAGUAGAAAAGUUCCUCCGUUUACCAAAAUGCCCCUGGAAUGAGGACUGCUACUUGAACUCAUUUUCUUGAUAACUGUCAAAUUAGCACUUGUUAUGGUAUUUGCGUCUACUUCCUGUAAUAAAUGUAAAUUGCCAAAAGUGAGUAAACUGAUAAUUAAUUUACAUCAGGUCAGGUAAUAGGAAAAAUUAAUUAUAAAAUAAAUGAUAAAAUUGCAACCUAUCACUUAGAAUAACCAGAAAUAAAACAAAACAAGAAAUGAAAGAAAUAAGAGGGUAGCAUAGACAUUUUGGAUUUUUCUGUUAAUUUGGAUGAUUUCCACCUACGGUCUAAUUUAAUCCAAAACACAAAUGGAUUAUGUGGAGAUUUUUAAACAAUGAGGGAGUAUCGUGACCGAAUCCCAAACCACAAAGGGGAUUUACUAUAUUUUACUCUUAAAUUUUGGUUUCAUCUCAUAGCAUACAAGAGUACUAUUUCACUGUCUGUCGACCAGGGAGGAGGGUUGGGUUGGGUGGUACGGGGGAGGGAGUCUAAGUAAGAGGUCUCAGGUUCGAAUCCUCCUGUUUAUACUAAAAAAAAAAAUUUACUAUCUGUCGACAAAGAUUUUCUAUGGUUGAUGUACCAUAGGAAAAAUCUGCCUAUACAAUUAUUUGGAAAAAUUAUCCAUCCAAACAUAGUCACGAUAGCAUUUUUUCAAAAACACUAGAUGCAAAAUUGUCCCCUUAAACGUGGAAAUUCAUGAUCUUUCCUCGACUAGUCUACUUGUCAAUUUUUGAAAAAAGAAUACUCACGCCAAAAACACGGCCUCUUCAUCUGCAGAAUUCUAAAAAGUUACGUAAACUCUAUAAACAAGUUGAUAGGUACAAUCGUACCCAAGAUCAAGUACAGAUAGUUGUACAUUCACUGCUGCAAUAACUAAUCUGAUGACUUACAAACACAUCAUGGUCAAUCGUUGAAUGGUAAUGAGUCUUUUGUUAUGCAUUAGUAUUAGUGUGUACACUCUAAUAGAUUGAUACUUAUACUCUUUAAAUUAUCAUAAUAAUACCCUUAAUUAACUUUAACCCUUAAAAAGAAUACGUGUUAAUACACGAGAGUGUGUAACCUGAAUUGUUACUUAUACAUUAGUGUGUAAUAGAACGGCAAGCAUUAUGGUGGUCAUUGAGCAACUUAUAGGAGAAAUAGUCCUAUAAGCUGUUCAAUGACCAAUCACAACUUGCUAAUUGGAUGACUAAUAUAGCUCUAGCUGUAAUGUUUUAAUUAAAUUCCACACUAACGUUGGGAUGACUUUUUAAUCAAAAAAAAAAAAGCCUUAGUUCAAGCUUUUCCCCUUAUUGUGCAUUUUUUAAAACAUUUGAUAGGCACUGCAAAUCUGUCAUUUUGGACAUUUUAUUAUUAACUAACAAUGAAAGCCGUGGACAUCAACCCAUAUCCAACAAAAUAUUAAAUUAAUAUUAGAAAAAUUAUUAAGUAAUUGGAAAAAAAAAAGAAGAGGCUAAUUUUCAUUGAAACCCACCGACAAACUAUCCGUGUCCAUAGCUUUUGAAUAGUGCAUUCAACGUUUAAUUGUAUGGUCCAGUUCAUUGCCGAUUACAUGGAGUAAAGAUUGUGCUCUUUCCUUUUUCACCCCUUUUGGAAUCGAUACUGUGGAGAAUUGGGUUUUUCCCUCCUUUUUUUCUUUUCUUUCCUUCUGUGCUUUGCAAAACAUACGUAAAAAUAUGAAAUCCGAAGCAUUCUUUAAUUGGGAUUAAGUAUUGUUGUUGAAAUUAAAAAGAAGAAAGAAAGAACAACAAAAAUCCCAAUCUGGGUUGAUUGUUGAGCUCUAGAUUGGCUGCAUCGUGCUUCCAUAGAAGUUCUCUUAGUGUGAUACGCUGCUUUCAAUCAGUUUUAAUAUUUAAGUAGAGUGCAAAAUAACUUUACUAUUUAAUGGGUUAUAAUGCACCAUUUGGUACCUCUCACCCACCUAUGAUUUGAUUUACUACUGGCAUGGUAAUGGACAGAGUUGGGGGAGCAGGAGGAGGGAGAUGGCGGUACCAGUCCGUCAACCACAGCACACCCUCCCUCGGACUUUGCGUGGUAGCGAAGUGGAGGCAGAUCGAGCACACAUGCACUAACGCCUUAAGUAUGUACAAUAUAUGUAUGCCAAAAGCAUAGCCAAGCCUACCAGCGCAUUUCAAUAAUAUAACCCGGAAAUUAAGGGCAUUGAAUUAAGUACGAUGAAUCAUAUUGGUGCACAAUUACAGUUUGAAGCUACCGAUUCGAGUAAAUUUAAGCGUAAGCACAAUCAAUCGCCAGUCAAAUGCUGAAAUAUGCAUAUGCAUGGAUGAAUGUAUGGGUUUCUUAGUUCCAGACCAAAGGCCAACAAUAAGGGAAGGAAGGACAGUUCUCAUUUUUAGCACGGACAAGGAGAUGAAGAAAAGUGUAUGUAGCUUGAGACAGAACAAUGGCAUGUGACCGCUCCUGAGACCACAUAACGUGGGGUGGGGAUGGGACGGCCAAGAAUGAAGAUGCCUGUCGGUCUCUCCGUGCUGCUACCAUAUGAAUCCCCCGUUAACCAAUUCAAGAUAAGCCUGAAGUUCUUUUCAUCCCCAAACCCUGUCCCAUCUGUGUAAAUCCAACAUCAUCAUUUACGACCUGCAACUCAGGUUAAGCAUGUUCUAUUGAGAUUCAGACACCACCCUUCAAAAGAUAUACUACUGUGAAACCAGCAGCUUAAUAUCAUUGUAUAAAAAAAAAAAAAAAAGAAAGAAGAAAAGACAUGAAAAGCAAAUUUUGUGGGGAUAAUUUCAAAAUCUCUCCUAAAGUUUUUUACUAUUUUACUGGCCUCCUUUCAAAUUUUAAAAAUUACACCAGUCUUCCUUGAGAUUAUUUAUCUUGUAACAUUGAGGUCCAAUCAAUAAUUAAAAAAUGAUAUUAUGAGAGAGAAAAAAAAUAAACUUUAACAUCAUAAAUAUUCUUAUCAACAUAUUAAAGUUAGUUACUGAAAUUUUUAUGGUGUUAAACUUCACUCUUUGUAAUAUUUUAGUUACAGAUUUUUUGAUUACUUGUUGUUGAUUUUUUUUUUUUUAGUGUAAACAGGAGGACUCGAACCUAAGACCUCUCACUUACACUCCCUCCCCCCGUACCACCCCAACCCAACCCAACCCUCCCCUCGUUGUUGAUCAUGUUUGACAAUGGAUUUGUAAUUGAAAAGAACAAUUUGGAUCUUACAUUGAGUGAAAUAUAUAGAAUGAUAUACUAUUUUUUAUGGCAUAUGUGAUUCAAUCCUUGAUGAUAAAAGCAAAUUCAAGUGUUUUCUUUAAUGUUUGUGCUGAUAUUAGAUUAAUUAAAUAAUUUAGUAGAUGAAGGAAAAUGGUGAAAUCAUAUUAUCUUCUCUUUCCUAAUAUCACUAUUUAAUUAUUGAUUGAACUUAGAUAUUACAAAUAAUAAAUCUCAAGGGAGAUUAGUAUAAUUUUCAAAUUUUGGAGAGAAGCUAAUGAAAUAGUCAAAAACCUUAAGGGAGGUUUACAAAAUUAUCCCAAAUUUGUGGGAAUUAGAAUAAUUGUACUGGACGGCACUGCCGCAACAGAGGGAAAGAGGAGGAGGUGCAGUUAACUUUUUGUUGUUUGAAAUCCUUGGUGAAAUAUUACAGAAAGACAGAUAAAACAGUUAGUACAUAGAUGUAUAUGACAGGGAAAAUGGUACGUCUGUUAAUCACAUUUGAAACACUUUCAUUGGUGAAUGACGAAAACUAUCAGGCUUGCCCAAUAGUUGAUCAUUGACCAAGACAAAUCUUGCCAUGCUAGAGGUACCAUCUUUUCGUACCUCUUUAGUGCACAGGACAUUCCUUUGUUUCAUCUAGCUAAUAAUCUACCAACUCAUUUCUUUGCAAAUGCACCUUUUAUGGUCACGUCUACGAAAGCUUUACAGGAUCUUUACCCAAAAAAUCAAUUCACCGACUCGCAUUUGAUGUCAAAAUUUCUUUACUUUACUCCAAGAUUGACUGUUAAUAAUAAUGCCACUUUGAAUUAUCACACCAUCCUUCUUGAUAGGAUUUGUGCUAGAGGUAGGGAGGGAGUCGCUGCAGCCGGUCUUCUCUUCAUAGACAGUACAAUAUUGCGAAAUCGAUCGCAUUCACGCAAUAUUAUAUUUCCAAGUCGUUGCAUGGGUAAGCUGCCAAAAAGUACGAACACAUGUUAUUAUAUAGCUUAAGAUUCAAAACUUUCGAGCAUAACCCUCCACCUAACACAAUUGAAUAAUGGAUAUUCACGAUUGUCAAAUCUGUCAAAGUACAGUUUGAGGACAACCCAUUCCAACCUGCAAAAGGUUUUUUUACUUUUCUAAAGUUGUUGAGAGCUGUUAAAAGAUUUACCAUGCUUACAUCUUCCGAGCCUUGGGAGUUAAAAAUGAAGGCACUGAGUGCUAUAAAAAGGGAAUAGAGGCUGCCUAGAAGCAUACCAGCCUAAAACAAGGAUUUGUAGUUAUGAUGGGAAGCAAAGCAAAAGCAAUGGGGUCUGGGCUGACUCCUCUUCUUGCCACUGUUUUAGUGGUGUUUGUUGCUCUUGGCUUGCCCUCAGAAACUGCAGCUGAUGAUCACUACAAGUAUUCAUCUCCUCCUCCUCCUUACACUAUCCCUCACCACCACCUCCAGUGCAUAUACCUCCACCUCAUCCUGUUUACAAGUACAAAUCUCCACCACCCCCACCACCACACCCAGUUUACAAGUAUAAGUCACCACCACCACCUCCUCAUCCGGUACCACACCCAGUUCCUCAUCCGGUGCCACACCCAGUUCCUCAUCCGGUGCCACACCCAGUUUACAAGUAUAAGUCACCACCACCACCUCCUCAUCCGGUACCACACCCAGUUCCUCAUCCGGUACCCACACCCAGUUUACAAGUAUAAGUCACACCACCACCUCCUCAUCCGGUACCACACCCAGUUUACAAGUAUAAGUCACCACCACCACCUCCUCAUCCGGUAUACAAGUAUAAGUCUCUCCGCCACCAACACCCAGUUUACAAGUAUAAGUCACCACCACCACCUCCUCAUCCGGUGCCACACCCAGUUUACCACUACAAGUCACCACCACCACCUCCUCAUCCGGUACCACACCAGUUUACCAUACAAGUCACCACCAAUCCUCACCCAGUUUACAAAUACGAGUCUCCACCACCUCCAGUUUAUAAGUACAAGUCACCACCACCUCCUCCACCAGUUUACAAGUAUAAAUCUCCUCCACCACCACCACCAGUUUACCACUACAAGUCUCCACCACCUCCUCCCCCAGUUUACAAAUACAAGUCUCCACCACCUCCUCACCACUACUAAGCAAUUGCUUCUGAGGUAAUAACACUUGUUCAAUAUACCCACUUCUGCAUGAUAAAGCAUAUCUCUAUCAACACAAACUGUCAUGUCUAUCAUGCUAAGUGCCUUCACUUCAUCCACCAAAAUGACUGCUAGAAAAUUUUUUUUAUGUUACCAAAGAAAGGCAUCAUUUUUUCCCUCUGUUAUCAAGAACUUGUACAGUAUAUAGAUUAAAGAGUUUUUAUUUUAACUAGCUUAUCAACUUAGAAAUGCAUAUAGCUGAUAACCAGCUGAAUAUUUGCAGGCAAAGGAGAAGGAAACCAUGUUUGAGACCUUCUUGAAGAUGUAGAAGCAUAAGAAUAAAAGCCCAAUGUGAAGAUGAUGAUUUCAAGUUUUUCUACGUUACCAUUUCUUUAUCUAAAUUGGUUGUAGCGCCCAAGUUCCUUUGUUUAUGGGAUUUGUAUCGUUUUACGUACCAUGCAGUACAUGUCAUGUUUGUAAGGUUUUCUAUCCUGCCGGCAAACCGCAGGUUCCAUGUGAUAAAUGAAUACUAUUUAUGUUACGACA